CAGGCUUUGACCGAUAGUAACCCCUGCGCUCGGCGCAGCCGAAUCUAUAAAAGGAACUAGUCGCGGCAAAACCCAGUAAUUCCGAGGGAGAGUGAGUGGGGCCGGGACCGGCCGAGCCGAGCCCACACCUCUCUUCCCCUACGCGCGUGGGCAGGGCAGGGGGCUCCGCAGGACCGCGCAGCAGAAGCCCAUUUCCAGGGGCGCUUUGCUCCCCGUUUUCCCACACUUCUUUCUCUGCCCUUCACCGGAACGGUUGGUCAAGGGGUGGGGGAAAGAGACGCAAACACAAAAGUGGAAAACAGGUAAGAGGCUUUCUAGAGACUCGGACAUUAUUGUUUUGCUUUGGGGCGGAAGAGGCUUUGGGAAGUACCCGGUUUCGGGGACUCUGUUCCCGGCCCCCACAUUCCCACUCCUUGCAAUACAAAUGGGGUAGGAGCGGCGUAAAGGGGGAGAGGAUGCCUGCUGUGCAGACCCCGGGUCGCCGCACUGCUGCUACCCCCGGGGCUCGCCCUGUCAGGGUGUCCGGAGAGCAUCUUUGGGCAUGGAGAACCGGGAGCAGUACCUUGGGCGCAGUGAGGUCGGGGUUUCCUGGGCAUGCUGGGGGCGCUGCUACUGAGGUGGGGAGAGUGGCAGAUCGGACGCAAAGCGCUUCCCUUUGUUUGGAAGCGCUGGGGCCGGCUGGAAGCCCCUCUAGCUGCGAGUGAGCCGGCGCCCACGGGGACAAAUGCCAGCUUUGAGUCCUCACUCCUUUCUUAAGAAACUGGUCGGUGUUGAGCUCUGAGCUCGGGAUCAGCUCAGCGCCCCAGGACUGGAGAGGCUCGUCGUUGUAUCCACAGAACUGGAGUAGUUGUGUCCCAAACGGAGUCGGAUGUGAUAUGGCUCGCUUGAGGCCCGGGGGCUUUGUUAGACCUGGGGGUCCUGCCUGCAGUUUCCGUGCGCUCGCGGAGCUGUUGUCCCUGGCACAGAGGGUGGGGGUGGGGGAAUGAGUUUUGUUCCUUUCAAGACUUAGAAGAGCCUGCGGAAACCAGAGCCGGGGGACCCAUUCUGCUUCACCUUCUGCCCCAUCUUCUGCCCUUUGCUGCUCGUCCCUUGGGACAGCUUGAGGACCGGCGCGGGUGGCAAAGCUGGGGCGAGGUGGUGCAGCGAAAUGACCGCGAGUAACCCCAGCGGGCGGCGCAGAACUCGGAGCUGGCGGCUGGGCUGGGCUGGGCUCUGCGCGAGGAGAUGGGGGCUGGGCGCCGGCUGCCAGUGGCCCCUGGAGAAUGGCCCGCAGCGCCUCCUGGCCGGGUGGUCCAGGUAUUGGCCCGUGGCUGGAGCAGGGCGGCCUCCACAGUGGUGGGCUUCACUCCCGAAUUCAGACUGUGAAUCUGGUGAAGACCGGUGGUUGCAGACUGGAGGAACCCGGAGGCUCAGGAGAAAGAAAGCCCAUCUGAGAGAGAGGAGAGAGAGAGACAGAGAGAGAGAGAGAGAGAGAGAGAGAGAGAGAGAGAGAGAGUGUGUGUGUGUGUGUGUGUUCGCCUAUUUCUCGACUCCCAGGCCAUUGCUAAACCAGAGGUUUUUGGAGAGUUGCCUGGAUCUGGGUUGUGUGUAGAUGCCUGUUUUUAUCAGCACUUAUCAGAAAGAAGGAAAGAAAUAAGAUUAAAGUUAAAGAAGAAAGAAACAAAUAUCUGGCACUAGAUAAUUGGCCUUCCUCUAUUUCCAUGGAUAUCACCAGCUUUUAAAUCCUCAGAUUUUUCAAUAAUACUGCACAUAAGAAGUGGAUGGUAUAUGUAUUCAUAUAGUAGAGGACAGCUUUGGUAUUUUUAAAAAAUUUCUUUGGUGAUGGGAAUCACCAUAUCACUAUUUUGGCUCAGUCCUCAUCUCCUACAAACAUCUGAAAGUUUUCUCCCCAAGAGCAGAGUUUGACUCUUUUACAACCAAGUUCUGAUUUUCUUUUCAGACAAAAUUUAAAUGCCUACUAAAAAAAGUACUUAGUUUCUCAUCUCGCCUUUUAUUUCAGCCUGCUUUUCUCAAACUUACCACAAAAAUAAUGGAGGCUUUCUGUUGUUUGUAGCAUUCUUUUAAGAAACUCUUCCCACAUUAAAGAAAUAUUUGGAGAAUAUUCCUUAAUAGAACAUCUUCAGUUACUAAAGUAAUUUUUAAGUACGAAAUUUCCAUUUUUUAGACUGUUUCCCAUAUGUUCCCAUAACCCAUUAAAAUAAUUCAGGAUGAGGAAUUUUUGGAAAACCCUGGUUUCACAGAGUGAAUCAGUAUUUAUUUGAAAACAAGCAGUAGAAUCAGAGGAACCAGGGAAGAGGGUCUCUGGCCUUCAUGAUGACCACAGUCCCUUUAUGGGACAAGAAUUGCUACUAUAGUCAAAGUAAUUAAAGAGUCCCUUUGCAAAACAGCAUUCUCCCAAAAUGACAUAUCUGACUAUGACCCAAGAUAUAUAUGUCUUGCCUAUAGAUGAGCAUUUGAAAUCUCAAUUCUUAAAAGUAUUUUGAUUGGCAUCUAAAUGCAGGCUUAUAAUGGACCUUGGGCACAUUUUGGCUUAGAGGGUAUUUACAGUUCAUGUGAGACAAUGCAUUAGUCUGGAAUUGGAAAAGAAUACUUAGGGCUUGGUUGUUUCCAACCUCUGCUCAGGAAAAGUUCCAAUCCAAACAUUAUUAAAAAUGAAUGAAACUCAGCAACUCAAGCUUUUUAUUAUCCUUUGUAGUACCUACCUUAUAGGAGAGGGGGUUGGAUAUUUUUACAUUUAAACUAUUUGAGGGGAGGGUAUCUUCUUCUUCAUAAGCCAGGAUGCAUGUGCUUACUAUAUUUGUAGAGGCAAAUUAUUAGAUCUUUGCUAUUUCAAAUUUUAGCUAUUAAAAUAGUUAAAUGGACACUGGUCUCAAACUCUUUAUAAUCAUGAACCUUUGGCUAUCUAGAAAAUACCAAAAUGCAUGUUGUUUUUAAAUUUCUGAAACACUCUAAGUCUAAUAUUAACGAACAAAAUUAUAAUGUCCCAUAUGGUAAUUACUCCAGCAUCAAAUUUUUUUGGGGGGAGGAGUACUAGUGCUUGAACUCAGGGACACUCAACCACUGAGUCACAUCCCCAGCCCUAUUUUGUAUUUUAUUUAGAGACAGGGUCUCAGUGAGUUACUUAGCACCUCACUGUUGCUGAGGCUGGCUUCAGGUAUUUAAAUGUGGAAUGUCACAGACUUGCCACAGACCUGUAAUCCUCCUGUCUCAGCCUCCCAAGUCACUGGAAUUACAGGCAGGAACCACUUCUCCUGGCCAGCAUCAACUUUUAAAAGAUCAUUCUGAAUGCUUGUUUUAUGUAACUGUGCUGAGAGAGGGCCUACACUAAAAACUGAAGCCAUCUUCACAUCUGCAAGUGAAACUAGCAUGAAUGCCCAAGUUAUUGCAGUGUUUAUGUAGUAGACACUUUAUAUAGCACUGUGUCAAGUACUGCUCUAAAUGCUUCUCAAAUACUAAUUUAAUCUUUACAACAAACUCAUUAUCUUAAUUUUGCAGAUUAAGAAGCUCAGAGGCUAAAUUGUCCCUGGCCAUACAGCUUGCCGGUGGCAAAGCUUAUAUUUGAACUCAGUUCCAGAGUUCUUAACUCCUACAUUAAGUAGACCAAUUUCAGCUUCUAUGAGAAGGGAACUUUGAAAGAUGCCCAGUGUGGUCUCUUUGUAUAUCCAUCUGCUAUAGUCCUUAUCAGAAUCUACAACAUUUAUUAUAUAUUUCCUUGGCUGCCUUUAGUGGGCCAGCCAAAUUCUCUUCAGCUUGUUGAGACCUUAGUUGCAGAGGGAUUGUGACACUGCGUGACACACAGUGACAUUUACUCAACUCUAAUUUUUUAAACUUGGUUUAAACUAAAAAUUAUAUGAUUGCUUUAGCCAAUUAUUUGUGAAUAAUCUGUAAUCUCAAAAGUGUUUUUCUGUGUGAUAUACAGUAUAGAAAAUGGAAUGGUGGAGUAUUUGGCUGCAAAUGUAAGGAACAAAGAAAAAGGGAAGAGAAAUGUUAGCUUAGCUGUUAAUCCUAGCUUUGGUGAAUUUUUAAAAAAUUGGUUAUUAUACUGUGUGAUUCUUACUUCACUUACCUCCUAAAUGGGUUGUGAACCUUUUGAAGUAAGCUGUUUCUGUUACUGCUAUUAUCGUCUAGAAAUGAAAUCAGCUUUUUCUUAGGUUUAUUCUCUAGAAGUAAGUACAGUUUCAGAGUCCGCCUUAUAAAAGUGAAAUAGAACAGAACACUGCAUUUCUUCUCAAUUGGUGUAGCAAAUUAGAAAUAAACUCUUUGAAAACCCUUCUCAGUAAAGCAGCUUGUAUUUACUCUUGACUUAGUGUGUGCUGAAUGUCCUUUCAAGGGUUUUACAUGUGAUAACUCAGUUCAUGCUCAUGUGAACCACAUGAGAUGGGUCCUAUCAUUAUCUUUAUAGAUUGGGAAACUGAGUUAACUAGCCUGGUUAUGGUCCCAAGUUAUCUCCUAACUAGUUCCGCUUGCAUGAGUUUACCAAUCUUGGGGUUAAAAACUUUGUUAAAAUAUAAAAAAGUUUUGAUAAAUGAAGUACUAGCAAAAGGAAAAAAAAUAUGGAUCUUCCUUUUGAGUAUUUUCACUUGAAAAUAGUGUCCUGAGUUACCAGCACCGAUGUUAUUAGAGCUACACUUUAGAAAUACAUGAAGCUAGUGGAUGCAAAUCUCAUAUAUAAGUGUUUUCAAACCAGGGCCUUCAGUUACUCUGCAUCCCAUUAAGACCAUAAACUAUUAAAGCAAAGAGCUUUUACUGUUAACCAUGCAGGAGCAUCACAUUUGGUUCCCAAGACAAACUGCAGUUAGAAGUCCUAUCUUUUUUCCAUUCUGAAGAGGAACUUGGAUUCAAAACCCUGAGAAGUUUUUGCAAACCUGCUUUAAGACCUGAUUUGAACAUCACCAUCCUCACCUGGGUUCACACUUCCCUUCCAACACUGAGUUAAAAUUAGUUAUCCCCUUCUUGCCCCGCUGUACUCUUCAUGUCCUGUAUUUAGUAUUUUUUAAAAUUAUAGUUAACAUUUAUUUGUCUUUCUUUUGCACGCAUGCUUCUCUAAAAAAGGUCUUUGACUCACUCUCCCCUGUCCUUAAUCAUUCCCAGUUAUACGGAAGGGGUUUAAUAAUAAGUGGUGACUUGCACAAAUGCAACAGGGAAUGGAACCUCAUGCUUGUUUCCUGUUUUCUUAAAGUUUUUUGAGUUGAUGGGAUAACCACUGAAAAGCAUUAGCAAUAAAAUUACAGGACAAAUAACUGUAGUUUAAGCUAGGUUUAUGAUAGAUAAAGUUUAGUGCGUAUUUAAAUUAUUUAGGCAAGAUUACUUCUUGUAGAACAAACAAUUCUGUUUUGCUCAGUUUCAUUUCCCUUUUGGAGGCAGCUGUGAUUUGAGAAAAUGUGCAAGUCUGUGACAUUCCACAUUUAAAUACUUUGAGUUGUACAUUGAUUUAUUUUUAUGGAGAAGAAGGAGAUAACUCACCAAGUAAUUCAGAGAUUUAAGCACUUUUUUAAAAAACAAAAUAACCUGGUGUGCAUCGGAUCUAUUCCUUUAUACUUUUGUUUUUGUUUCUGUUUUUUGGUGUUUGCUGAACUGUGCAAUGUUUUCUAUGCCAAAUACAACUUCCAAGAAGCAUUUGGAAGUCAAAGAAUUUUAUCUGGCUAGUCUUAAAAUCAAGAUGUUUUAUCAUAACUGGUAUUUAUUAUAUGCCAUUUUCUAGGUAGAAUUUGCUGUUAGUGAUCCAUUUAUAAAAUACUCUUUUGAGGCUAUCUUUAGAAUAUUUAUUUAGUUCUUUCUAAACAAGAAAACAGACAUAUUGUUUCAGGGCAUCUUGAACUACAGUGCAGAUAUUAUGAAAAUGAGCAUGGAUAUUAAACUCAAAUUAACAUAUAUUGGAAUUCUGGUCCUAUCAGUGAAUAUAUGCAUUAGGCAAGUUGCCAGUCUCUUUACCUCAUAAUACAUAUUUAACCUGUUAAAUAUGUAUUUUUUUUUGUGUGUGCAGGGGGCGGGGUACGCGUUUAUAUAGUGUUAAGCAUAUGAUAUGAUGCUUGAAAUAUUGCUAUUCAUUUUACACUGAUUUUUAAAAACUUGAUUUUUAGUUUACUUCCACCUCAGACUGUUUUAUUGCAUGUUACUUGCAUUGAUAUCUCACACAUGGAAAAAGUAGAUGAUAAUUAUUGAAUUAGGUUUUAAUCUUACUAAUGAUUAUCAUUUUGGGGGACAGGGGCUCCUUAGAUAAUUUCCUUAGGAUGUGUUGAAAUUUAUGGAUUCUCUCUUAAGAAGAAACGUGCAUGGGCUCAUAUACUCCAGAUUCUAUGUUUAAUUACAGUAUAUUCAGAAACUACUCCAAAAUCACUAAGAAACCAUGAGGCUCUGGGAAAGUCAUUUUACUUUUCUGAGAUUUAGAUUGUGGGCCUAUGAUAUGAAACUUCAUGACUUUUAAAAAGCCCUUCAAGCUUUUAGAUCCUCUGACUCCAGGCCUGUACAUAGGAGAAGGGGCAGUCUUUUGAUUUUGGACAUCUAGAGAUGUGUUCUAAGGGACAUAUUCAGCAUUAUUGUAAUGCCUCGUGUGAUUUGGAGUGGUGGGGAAAAGCACCCCAGAAAUGCUUCAGAGCAUUUCUGAGGAAGUGAGGAUGAAAGAAAGGAAAAUAAUGGAAGAGGAAGGUGGAGGAGAGAAAGCUGUUGAAUUUGCCUAUUUAUCUGUAUUGAGGGGACAGAGAGUUGGAUCAAAGUCUCAGAAUGAGGUUCUUAUCUGAAAUGCAAAGAAAGAAAGUUGGUUCAGUUUUAAUAAAAUUCAAUAGAGCAAACUUGGUUGAAUGAAGACUCUUGUUUUUCCUCUGAUUGACCAUUUGGAAAACCCCUCCAAAAGAAAGUAUGUUUCCAUCUUGGACAGCUCCAAUUUGGGCAUAGGUUUUGCUUUUUAUACUUAAGCCAGGUCAAAGGAAAAAAAUAAAAGACUGCUAAGACUCAUUCAGCCUCCAAGAAAAUAGCACAGGUGCUUGUGCUGUAUGACAAUUGGGCUAACUUUAUAGGGAUAUUUCUAAAGAGCUUGGAAGAACUUCAUUGUGAGUAGGUGGAUAAGACCCAUUACUUCCUAAAAUAUUUCCUGAAUUUGUUGCUUCAAAAAUCAUAUUAGAACUGGGAGGAAGAACAAAAGGUUCUUGACAGGGUUAGGGGAUGGGGAAGGAGCUGCUAAGAGGUUGCUUGGGUGUCAAAUCCUUGCUUGUUCUCGUUUUGCGAAGUUCCUUUUGGGGACCAGGUUUGGAAUAAUUUAUUUUUAUUUUUAAUUUUAAUUUUUCUCCACAAAUCAAACUAAGCUUGUUUUCUUAAAGAAACGAGUCUCUGGAGGUGGCAGUUUGAAAUCGAUUGGAUCUGGUAUUUAGAUGAUCCAGAUUUGACAUAAAGGCAAUACCGAUGAAAGCAGCAUUAUUGGGAAUGCAGAGAGAAAGCAAAGGCCCAAACUGAUGAGCUCAGAUGACCUGCAGACCUUUCUUCACUUUCAGACACAGGGCAUUGGAAUGGAGGUGGCAGUUUACUUUAGCUGGAGUGUGGUUGAUCGCUGCUGCUGGGAAAAGGAUGUAAGAGGAAUUACACGAUUGACAGUCACAACAACAACUACAAAAUAUUUACGUAUUUUGAAAGUAAAUGUGCUAAUAUCCAUACAGUAUUGUUAAACUGAAAUUCAUUUGUUCGGCAAAUGUUUAUUAAACACCGCGUACCAUAUAAAAUAUUAGGCUCUGAACAAACGUCAAGACGUGUAAGGAUCUGUCACUGUAAAUGACUUCUUUAGCUUGGCAUUCAAGGCUCUUUAAAACAAGCUUCAGAUCUAUUUUGACAACUUUGUCCCAGAUUAUAAGAAGUGUAUUAGAAGGAACUACCUGGUGAGUGACUGACGUAUUGUAUCGCUCAGUAACUGUUAAAUGAAUCUCCCUCUACAGUUUUUAUCUUUUCUCUGACUUCUGCUUUGAGAACUUGUCCCUCCUUGUUGUUCUAGAAUCUCACAUCCAUCUUUCAUGUUUGCCUUUGUUUUCACUGUGUCCUAAACUCAUAUAUUUGCCUACUGAAAUUUGACCCAUCAACCACACCACAUGGCUAAUGAAAGCCCACUGUGAGUUGGGGCUUCCUGCACAUCAUCUUUUUAUCUCAUUUAAUAUUCACCCGGGACAGGUAGCAUUCAAGAUGGCUCAAGUUAUUUAAAUUGGCUUACAUUUUUGUAAUCAUCAAUAUAUUUUAAAAAUUAACAUUCCAUUAAGCCUACAAUUUAAAAAAUGUUGUUGUAAAUAGAAGGUAAUUUAAAAAUAAUUAGAAUGAAAUGGAAUCACUUUUGUUGAUGUCUGUCUAUAAAAUAUUGCUUUCCAAAAGCACUAAUUAACUCAGAAACUUGUUCUCAUUUUCUUAAAAAGGGAAAUUAUCAAGAAAAAAGAGGUGCCGAAGAAAAGACUAAACAAAAACUAUCUCCUUUAUGUAAUUAAGUUUUGAGCUAAAGAAGUGCGAAGCAACAAUAUUUUCCCAUUUUGUGAUUCAGUGUUUAGUACUGUGCCUGUCCAUCUUUUAAACCCCUCUGAGUAUUACUUUAAUCUGUCUUGUGUGACUCUUUCACAUUUGAGGAAAUGUUGAGGUUGUCUGUUUUAGUCCCAUUUUCCACAUGAUGCACCUGACAGAGAGAAGUUCAUGGUUCCUGUAUCUGGCUAAUGGCAGAGCCAGGGAUUCAAAUUCAAGUCUUGCUGAUUCCUGAGUUUGUACUGUUUAACUUGCUGCAUUUGUGUUAGUUUUCUAUCACUAUGACAAAAUACCAGAGACAAUCUACUUGUAAAGAGAGAAGGCUUAUUGUGGCUCACUGUUUUGUGGAUUCAAGUACCUCAAUUGGCCCUGUGGCGAGGCAACACGUCAUGGUGAUAGUGGCAAAUAAAAUCACUCACCUCAUGGCUAGGAAGCAAAAGAGAAAGAGGAAGUCUCUUAAGUCUUUUGUGUCUUUAGUCCAGGCUUCUUUCUACUGUACCCGUAGAGUAUUCUUUACAGUGCCAUGUGGGAGAGAAAAAAGAAUUUGUAUCUAUAAAUCCUGUCCUUGUCAGCUUAAAUUGAAACGGAAAUCUUAAAUAUCAGGCUGGUCUCAUUUUUUUUUUUAUUCUAUCUGUUGGGCCAAUUUGAAUGAGAAGGGAAUAUUUGUAGAAAUCCUGAAUGUUGAGAAUUUUCAGGCACUGUUUCUUUAUGCAAAAGUAUAAAAUCCUGUGCUAAUUUUGCCUGGUUAAGAUUAGUUGUGAUUUGAGGCCAGAUAUGUGUGUGUGUGUGUGUGUGUGUGUAUAAUAAUUUUGAUGACUGUGUUAAUUGUAGUAAAGGACCUUGAGUUCAAAAUAAAGAAAGCUUUUGGUCAAGUAGUAUUUAUUCAGUUGUCAGUCUUGCUGCAGGAUUUGCAAAUUUAAUGGAAUUAGUGUCAUUUUCCAGUUUAUAGUGCCAGUAACAUUUCACAUGGUCACAGCAUGGCUUUCUCCUCUGGGGAGCAAAUGGAGGGUUGUCUGACACUUGGUUCAAAUGGCUUCCAUUAAGGGGAGUAGAUUGCCCCAGGAGCCUGCAGAGAGGAACAGAGUUCUUGUCCUCAGGCGGAGCUGCAUCUGGGGAAGUUGGCGGUCUCCUGAAGUAGACACUUAGCACACUGUUACUUAAAUGCCACCAUAAAACCACAGUUGAAAAACAGGAGACUAGCAGAAGUUCCGCCUAAUAAUUUAGUUCCAUUUUUCCUUGAGAACAUUUUCUUUGAUAUAUGGAAUAUUUGACUUGUGAAAAUCUUAACCACAUUGGCACUUUUUACAAGGAAUAAACAGAAUCUUUGAUAAUACUGGAGUAAUACAGGUGUAUUUCCUUUUGUGGGAUCCUCCCAGAUCUCAAAUAAUAGUGUUCAUGUUGCAAUUUUUUUUUUUUUAAAGCUGAAAGCCUUAUAAGUUCUUGUUUUUCAGAAUCACAAGUAGAAUGUGGAUUUAAACUUAUGAUCUGAUUCCUCUUUCUUCUCUUAACUUAGGCUGCCAACAAAGUGGCUUGUUUUGGUUUACUUUAGAGGAGGACUUCAGUUAUUAGGCUUGGAGGGCAGGACCUGUUCCUCUGUGCCCUGCCUGGCACCUUGAUGAAAUCCUCACUUAUCUCGUCAGCUGGCUCUCACUGGACUGUGAAAACAGAGGUGCCUGGGACACAUGACAUCCUGCACUGCCUCAAAAGCCGGCUGGUAAAAGAACCCUCUGGAGAAGGGUCCUGGUAGUGGUCACACACUCUCUGAGCUAGAACUAGAUGUGAACCUGGAGAUUAGAUGACUCAGUUUGGCCAAAGUGGAGGGAAUAAAGUAUUAUUACGGAAAAAUCUUAUACAGGUGUCAACAGCUUUUGAGUGAGUUCUUGACUUGAGCCUGUGGGUUUAGAGUUCAAGCUCUUGAGCAAGACUGAAAGUCUUGUACUUUAGGGUGAGCACCUAGGGAAGGGGUCUCUGUCAUGUUCACAAGGGUUCCAGAGCUUCUGCCUGGCCAAUUCCAUAUUCUCUCUUAUUCUUACAAAGUUAAUGAAGAUGAAUGACUUUCCCAACAAACUACAGACACUUUGAGGGAAAUUGAAUAAAAUGUUCUUCUGUUUAAACUUGCUUCUUUGAACACAACUGGAAAUAUUUCGUGGUUUUGGGUACCUGAACCUUUUCUUUCAGUGAAAUUUCUGGUUUGUUGCUGUAGUAAAUCUACCCUGUUUUCUCAUCCCUGAGGUUUUUUCCCAAGGGCCUCAUUCUACAAAUGUUUAUGUAGCACCAGGUCAUCCUUGGGCUCAGGAUGGCAGAGAAUAACAUAUGGAGACACACUAGCUUGCUGCAUACAGCUUAUAAUUUAGUACGGCCCAUCUGAUAAUUUGAUCUGUUGAAGAUUAUUAUAGAUAUCUUUAAAAAAGUUGUAGGAAUUACAAGGCUCAGAUUUCUAAUAUAAGGAGUGGAAAACUGAAGUAUUUGCUGAAGAUUUGGAGGAAAGCAGCUGUGGGUUAGGAAAACAGGAGCUGAGGGCUGGGUUGUGGCUCAGAGGUAGAGCCCUUGCCUAGCAUGCAUGAGGCACCAGGUUCAAUCCUCAGCACCACAUACAAAUAAAAUAAAGGUAUUGUGUCUACCUAUUACUAAAAACAAAUAGAUAAAUAUAUAUAUAUAAAAAAAAGCAGGAGCUGAACGCCAUGAAAGUGUGGGGAGAACAGUACAGGUGAGUGGGGACCCCUGAAAAGGAAUUUUAUGGUAAAACAAUGGCCAAAAGUGAUUCCAGGAUACCCAGAUAACACUGUCACUUCUUCCAGUGAGUUUGCUGGGCAUUGGAGAAAGCUCCAGUUUGCUCUGGAAAGGCCUUUAAGGGAAAUGAUAUCCUGUGAAGACAAAGAAGAGAGAUUCCUUUACUUAAUGCCCCACCCUCGCUGGGCCCCACCCUGGAUGACAGCUUCACUCUGCAGGUCGGCCUUUCUCAUCACGGUAAUAGCUACUGUGUGCUGUACUUACUCUGUUACAGGAACUGGAUAAAUGCUUUAUACAUUAUUAGCUCAACUUUAUGGAGAGGAUACAGGGACUCAGAGUCGCUAGGCCCAGAGCCAGUGAAUAGGAGUGUCGCGAUUCAAAGGUGGUUUCUCUGACUCCAGAACUGUCUUUCUUCCUACUGGACCAGUUGAUUCAGGAAAACAGAAGAAUUAAGGAUUGGGGGAGUUUGCUGCAUAGCAGAAUAAAUCCAAAGGAAAGGAAAGGGUGAAAGAUUUGGGUUUUCCUAUCCCUCAUAUCUUUGAGCAUUUUUAAAAAUAUACGCUCUUUUAGGCUUGGGGAAUGCUGGAUGUCUGAAGACCUUUCAGAGAUUAAGCCAAACAAAUAAUUUUUGCUAAAAAUCAUUUUCCUAAAAUCCUAUUGGAAAACCAUACAACAGGGAAUAUUAAGCCAUCAAGUCUUUCUGCAGCUCACAGAUUGCUGAGUGGGGCUUGUUUGCUGGUGUUUCUAUAGCUCACGGUGUUUGUAAAUGCGAGAGUCCCUAUUCUUUAGGUUGCCUUUAUUCUGGCAUUAUCAUUAUGGUUGGAAAUGUGAUUUUUUUUUCUUAUGACCUAAAAUGCUGAUAGUUGUUUCUUUUCUAAGAGAAAAUUUCAUUUUCUUAUGUGCUACAUAGACUCACCAAAGAAAAAGCAAAUAGUUGUUUUGUUUGCUGAAAUCUUCCUUUGAAGGUCGCUCUGUGGAAGGGGAAAAGGGGCUCUCUUAAGAAUUCUCCAUAAUUCUACUACAAUGAAACAAGGAUGUGGGUUUAAAACAGGCCUUCUUCCACAAAGCCUGACUCUUCAAAGAUUUGUAGGUCCUAAGACCAUUUAGCUGGUAGCAUCUGGAUUUUUGAGAGUAAUGCAUAGAAUCAUUGGUUGUCUGUCAAUGGCAUGAUAGAAACAGCUUUAAACUUUCAGGAUCUCCUUUAAAACAGAAUUGUUGAUAACAUGAGAAAUUAUGCCUCUCAAGCACUAGUUACAGCCGGGCACGGUGACACAUGUCUGUAAUCCCAGCAACCUGAAAGGCUGAGGCAGGAGGAUUGCAAUUUCUAGGUUAGCUCCAGCAACUUAGUGAGACCCUGUCUCAAAAUAAAAAAAAUAAAAAAUAAAAAGGGCUGGAGAUAUAGCUCAGCGGUAAAUUGCCCUGGGAUCAAUCUCCAGUACCCCCAAAAGAAAGGCUAGUUAUAGAUUUAUGCACUAUUCUUGGAUUUCUUCUUUCUUUUUUUGUAUAUUCACUUCAUAGACACUUCAUAGAAAAUUGGCUAUUAACAAAUAAUUUUGUCUGGAGAAUUGGAUAUGUAUUCCUGAGUGAAAGAAGGGUGUGCAGUUAUCAUAUCUUAUUGUUACUAAUAAUCAAGUAUGCAUGAUGAAUUUGGUACUUUUAACCCCCCACCUCAUGUUACAGACAGUUAGAAUUAAUAAAAUUCAUUGGAUCUAUGUAUUUUUAAAAUGGGAUGUGUGUUGGUAGAGCUUCUUCUAGAAUGAUGGAAUUCUUCUGGAAUGGUAGAAUGACUUCAUUUUAUCCUUGACAUUUACCUUGGAUGAUUUCUUAGCCCUUGUUUUCUCAAAUUUGAGUAUUAAAAUCACAAUUUAGGGACACAAUUUCAGGGGGACUGAGUAUCAACCCUUUAUACCAUGGCCCUUUGGUAGCUCUCUUUUUAAUUCAGGGUGAUGUCAUUGGAAUUGACGGUCCAUGGGAUGGUUGUAGAAUUUAUAGGGUGUGUGUGUGUGUGUGUGUGUGUGUGUGUGUAGGGGUGCAAUUUUAGGGGUACUAGCAAGUAUGUCUUUAAGGACAGAGAGCCCAUUAGCUUCUGGAGGCCAGAAGAGUUAAACAGAGGCAGUCAGAGUAGCCUAAGGCUUGCUAAAGCUGAAGGGAGAAAUCAGGGAUGACUCAAAAUCCUCUCCUGCCCCCUUGGCAGCCACAUUCUGUCUUCAAUCAUGGGUGCUGAGCCUGUUUGAGCCAGAUCUUCUGGCCUUUAGUAACCUCAUUAGACUUUUCCCUGAAGAUGGCUACUGAUCCAGAGAUGGCCAAUUCAGAGAGGCAAUUAGAGAACAGGCCUUUUCCAAAGCAGGCAUGCUCUGCUGGGCUUACAAGUUUCAUAUCCUAAUAUUACAGGACCUUGUACAUCUCUCUGGAGCCUGGGCACAUGAUUCACAUCUGUGAUUCUUGCUUUUGCAUCAACAUUUCAUAAAUAGAUGGUCAGUUGAGCCUUAGCACCGGCAUCUUUCUGUUCAUGUCUAAUGUCAUUUACAUUAAACUCUUGCUUUGUAGUUUACUGGCUAGUUGUUUAUUAACAUAAAACAUCUAGAACACUAUAAAUAUGUACACUCUUUGUCCAUUUCUUACCUCAAGUAAGAAAAGGAUAUUUAUGAACAGUUUCAUCAAGAGAGAUACUGAGCUGUUGUCAGAAAUUGCAACUUCUGUCUCACUUCUGGUAAUGAUGUGGACACUUGUCUUAAAGCACAAUAUUCACAUAUACAUUUCUCUCUCUCUCUUUUUUACUUUUAGUUUAGAGAAAUAGCUAUCAUAUAAUCACUGGUUUUGAAGAGUGAAAUUAACUGCUGCCUGUACAUUCUGGAUAUGUGAACUGUUUGGAUAGAACUCAUAAGAGAAAUGUGUUCAGAGGAAUAAACAGUCAUAGGAAAAAUAGCUUGGUGGGAAGGAGUAGUGCGAGUCAUUGAAAAAGUGAUCUCCUGAGCUCCCUUGGAGCAGCUCUAAGUCACUUGCUCUGGGUUCUUAGCUUCUCUAUCUACAUGACUACAUGACAUGUGGUAGGAUUGGGUCUCCAAAAUCCCAAGGCCCUCCAUCUACUACUAAUACAGCAAUCCGACAGAGUAUCAACUUGGGAAGGCCCUUCUCUCCUGCCCAGAAGGGGUGGCUUCUGUCUCCUUGGGACCUGACAUUGAUGUGGUCCCUGCCUGGAGAUCUUGUUCCUGGGAACAUGCCUGAUUAAGGCACGUAUACUGACUGCCACCCUUCAAGAGGAGCCCGGUACCAGAGCUCUCAUGCUGGCCAUUUCUUGCAAGAAAGAGCAAGACCAGAUCAGCCUUUUGUUACAUGUGAGGACGGCUUCUGGUAGCAGGGCAGUCCUGCACAAGUUCCCUUCCUCCUUUUCCAUAGACUGCGUGCUACAGAGGGUAGAGCUCACAGGAAGGAGUUCCUGUUUUUCUUUCUGCUGUGCCAAAUUGGGGGAAAAUAAAUCCUCCUCCCACCUUGACUUUUUAACUCUUCCUUUCUUCUUUUUUAAAGUUAAAAAUUUUUUUUUAAACUCUUCUUUCGUCUCUCUUGGAACUGGACAUGUCAAGUUCAAAAGGGAAAAAUGUUUUGGUGAGAAAGGGAGGUGAGGAGAAUAGCUUGGAGCCCAGGGUCAUCAUUUCUCCUGUCUUACCAAGCUUCUUGUGAGCUAUUCUUCUUCUUAUUAUUAUUAUUUUAAAAUUAUUUUUAUAUUUUAUUUUUUAAAUUUUUUCCUUUUGCAGCAUCACUGGGCCUGACUGACAUUCCAAGUUCUGGUCUAGGGAAAGUAAAAAGAAUGUCUGAUACUGGCUGUUAUUUCAAUGACCUCUUUGUGGGUAGCAUAUGACUGGGCCACUGUCACUUCAUUAUCCUCAAGAUGCUUCCUCAGAGGAGUUAUUUUCCUUUCCCUGUUAUGCUCUGUGUCCUUCCUCUUCCUCCUCUUCACCCACUGUCUUGGCAACCCACAGUUAUUGUCUACUUUCCAUCUUCUCUGCUAGAACAGAGAUCCAAUGAAGGCUGGAAGCUUGUGUCUCUUGUUCCUUGCUGAACCUCUAGGGUCUUGCAAGCACCUGGCACAUGAUAGAUGCUCGACAAAUAUUUGUUGUGGCUAAUGGGAGCCUUUCGAGUUAAGGCUGCAGUUGUGUGUGGAAUUAAUAAGUAGUUAUGAAUGUUUAUCUACUUUUUCUUUUCUGAGGGGAUCACACAAUAAUCAGGCUUUCUACUCUGUGGUUCUUAGAUCUUCCAAGGUGUAAUUUGACCUUUAGGCAUGUUAAUUAUUAUAGCAGAAGGCAGAUUUUUUUUUUUGGUGUUGGGUUUAUUGAUAUAUAAUUUAAAUACAGUAAAAUUCACCCCUGUAAACUAUGCAGUGUGAUGCGUUUUCACAGAUGUACUACCACCACUCUUCUAAUAGAGAACAUUUCUAUGCCCCUACACAUUCUAUCCUCUUCCCCUGCCAUAACCCCUGGUAACCAUUGUCCUGAUUUUCGUCUCUUUUGUUUCACCUUUUCCAGAAUGCCAAAUAAAUGGCUUAUUUCUCCUAGCAUAAGGUAAUUGAGAUUUAUGCAUGAUGUUGCAUCUAUCAGUAGUUGGUUCCUUUGUGUUGCUAAGUAGUAUUUCAUUUUUAUUUAUUCUCCUGUUGAUGCACAUUUUGAUAGUUUGCAGUUUGGGGCUACUCUGUAUAAUACUUCUGUAAACAUUUAUAUUUAUGUCUUUGUGUGGACAUAUACUCUCAUUUUUUGAAGGGUAAAUACCUAGGUUGGGAUCGGUGGGUGAUGUCCCGAGUAUAUGUAAACCUUAACAAGAAACUGCCAAACUUCUUAAAGUGUCUCUUUCAUCGUGUAUUACCACAAUCAGUGUCCUGAGCUCCAAUUACUCCACAUAUUCCCUAGCACUUUUUUUUUUUAACUUUCAAUGGAUAUGUAGUGAUAUCUCAGUGUAGUUUUAACUUGCAUUUCUCUGCGAUGUGUGAUGUUAUGCAUCUUUGCUUAUUGGGAUGAUUCUAUUUUUAGCAAUCUUUGGUAUUCUGUAGAUAUGAAUAGCUUCAGAAUAUCAGUGGCAUUUGAAGUGAAAAUUUCAGAAAAACAUUUGUCACAUUUGAGUAGUUACUUCUUCCAGAUCCAUGAUGCCCCAAACAAGUUUGAGAUAUGGAAAUUACCAAAUUCUGGCCAGGAGUGACCCACCUGAGUGACUGAUGACAAGACCUAGAGAGCCCGCCACUAGGACUUGAGUCUGAGGAUUGGCAGAAACGGAUUUCAGCGGUCCCUGUGGCUUCGGGAGGGUUGCUCAGUCCGUAGCUAAGCCUGAUGUUUAAGCGAAGCAGAUUUAGAUUCAAUUACAGUUUCCAGGAUGCCCCAGGAGCCACCUGGCAAGCUCAGCAGUCCUUUGUGACCCUCUUCAGUGUGAGGUGGAAGGCUGCUGUACACAGAGCUUCCUCUCUGGGGACAAUUUGUCUGAAUCAGUUAGUAAAGCUUAUGAAAUCAGUUACCACAGGCCCGUGAAUGUCACCACCCUUGAAUGCUGAGACCCUAUUUCUCAUGUCUAUCAUUUUCUUAAUUAAUUAAGUCAACAUCCCCUGAGUUUUGCCUGUAUUGUCUUUGAAAAUAGUCAUGAAGGAACCGGGACCCAGAAGAGGAAUACUCGUAUAAGGGAAAACAGAGGUCUCCCUGGGGCCACCUAGGAAGGGGAGGUGAUCAGGAAAGGAAGCUGAGGAAGUGAUGACUAAGUGGAGACCCAAGGUGGAGGAAGACUUGGCCAGGGUGACAGUGCUGGAGAAAGGACAAGGGAACACACCCGAGAAUUCCCAGCGGUCCUUGAGUGUACCACAGCCGGAGCCUGUGAUUCAGAGCUCCAGGCAUUGCUGAGCAGGUGGGGAAUGGUGAGAGAGUAGGCUGGAGUCCCAGCCAGGAGGCCAGAGGCUGGUGAACCUUGUGGAGGAUUGGACCUCAUCCUCAGGGCGGUGAGGAGCUGGAAAGGAUGGUGGAAUGGCAUAUUUGGUUUGGUCAAAGAACUUAGGUGCUGUGGGUCAAAGGGAUGGACAUGGGGCAAGACUGGAGGAAGGGAGGCCAGUAAAGUGGCUGUUGUGGUUCUCCAGGAGCAAGAUGAGAGUAGCCUAUUGACUGGUGAUGAUUGUGAAGUGGGAUCCUUUCCAGCCAGUAACUGGAAAUGUGUAGAAGGGCAGGAGUGAGCCUGCUAUGCUUUGAAACAUUGAGAAAUCCAGUACAUUACGUAGUACUGGCUUUUUUUUUUUAUGGUUUCUGGUUUUGUUUGUUCACUUCCUUGGAAAACUGAUGUGGUAAUGUCCCUUUGGCUUUGUUACCUGGGCAGAAGGGUUCAGGCAUUGACAAACCCUUCUCUUUGGAGAGACUUGCUCCCAGCCUUGAUCAUUGUGCUCUGAGACGGGGGCGGAGGUGGGGGAUUGUGUAGGAGGCCAGGAAAUGCCAAGGUAGGCGGGAGGAAUUGGGGCAGGAAGCCUGCCUGUUUGCACACAGUGAAGCCAGAGUAGAACUUUCUCCUGCUGCCCUGGGCUACUUCUUGCUAACCAUCCGUUUGUCUCUUUAGGGUCUGUGGGGUCCGCACCCAUGUUUGAAGACCUAAAAAUGCAAUUUUAUAUAAAUGCCGUCCAAGAAACCCCCUCCUGGUUUUCCUUUCCUCCUUUUCUCAUGAGCAUUCUGGUGGUUCUUCUCUUCCUCUGAGCUUCUCCGUGCAUAGUUGAGGGAAGGAAAUUCUAUACUUGGGUUCAGCCCUGGAGACCCUGGCUCUAGGCCACUCAGAUUUCAUCCUUCUUACUUGAUCUCUCCUUCCUUUCCAGGAACUCACAAUGGAUUUGCUAGAAAUAAUGGAAUGACCAGUUUGAACAGGUUGGAACCAUUUAUCUGGGUUAUACUAAAACAGAGAAAUAUAAGUAGGAAGAUGGGAACUCAUAUUUCUUUGGCAACUUAGGUUUUGCCUUGGACUGUUUUGGGAACUUAUUUUAUCUCAUUUAGUCCUCGGAUUGCCACGGCAGGCAGGUAUUAUCACCCCCUUCAGCGACCCUGAAGCCUUGGCCAUGGACACAUGCUUGGGAAACUGGGGCUAAUUCUGCUUUCUGUUGGUUAGUUUUUCCUUUUUUAAUAGCAAACUUUGUUCUAGAUUCCUCAAUGUUACCUUGGGGAUCUGAAAAGGUUCCGGUAGUAUAUAAAUCAACUAAGUGAUUCCCUGAGAGAAGCUUUCUGCAGGAGAAAAAUCUAGUUAAUCAUUUAUUUUUUUGGCAGUUCUGGAGUACAAACCCUGUCCUAAUCCUUAGCCAUUUACAAAACAAUUUGAGAUUAUAAACGCGGGCCUCCCGAUGCCUUUCUGGUUCUCAUGCCACGAGUCCAGUUGACAUCUUUAAACAAGGAACUGCAAACCAGUGUGAUAGUUCUGGUUUAAGUCUUUCUCUUUGUGGCAUGAGAAACUUUGGAGGUUUGUGUCUAUUAGCAGUUUGCUGAACAAAUAAUAAAGAAAAGAAAGUCUUGACUAUCUCGAAAGAAUUCCUGUUUUAUUGAAUUGCUAAAGAACGAAGUAGAAUAACUUAUGAUAGGUCAUCCUUUCUUCUCAGACACUGGAAAUUUCCUCCAGUCUCUUUGCUUUCCUAGAAGAUUUUAAUCAGAGUCUUUGUAGAGUGGGGAACAAAGGAUAAUAUUCUACUGCAGGGUGACCUUUGCACACUGAGAGCUCCUCUGGAUUCAAGGAUUUUUGGUCCAGUUUUUGGUUUCUUAUCCAUAAAUGGUUUCUACAUCCUUAGCUCCUUUUGCUGUUGGUUCCUUAGGCCUAAUGUCCCACCCUGUGCCACUAGAAGCCACAAUCAUCAUUUAUUUAUUUAUUUAUAUCAAUAAAGUUUCUGGUUCUGUUGAGGGUUCAUGACUACCAAGUACUGACAGGGUACGACUUUAACCUGUGUGUGCCACACUCUUCUCUCUCUCUCUUUUCACUUUUCAUUUUUUUUGCCUCUUUCUCAACUUUAACUUUAGCAUAAUUCCUUGUGAUUAUUUCAGCAUUCAAUAAAUACAGCUAUUGGGUGGACAGCUGGAACACACAGAAUCUUGUAUCUCCAGUUUAUGAGAACUCCUUGUCCCAGCGUGGUGAAACCCUUCUCCAAAGGAGGCAGCUGUGACACCUGACAAGGAGUAGUCAGCCGUGCACCCAGGUGCAGGUUGAACAGGGCCAGAAGUGUGCAUAUGCCCGGGGCCGUGGGAGCUUGUCAGUUUCACAGACGCUGCGCUGUAUCUGCCUCAGCAGCCCUUGCUUCUCUAUGGGAUGUUGUUUUCUUUCCACAGAGACACAGCUCUCGGGUUGUCUUUAUCACCCGGGAGCCAGAUAUUGUGGCAUUUCUUUGGUGCUUAUUCACAGUCAUCAAAGUCACGUUGAGGCUUUCCAGACAGGGAAACUGCUUUAUUGAUGGUGCCAUUUAUCAUUUGAAGGACCCAACUUUGUGGCCACAUGAAAAUUUUGUCUGCAGUGAAUUUUAGGAAAUAGCAUAAUAGUCACGCCAGGCUUGAGGCAAAAUUUAUCAGUGCUGCUGACACUUUAUGUAAGGGGAGCUACUUUCUUAGAGAAGGGAAACAGGUCUGGGAUUCCAAUGUGCCGUUUCUGUCCUCGGUGUUUUGAUCACCUAAGUUUGCUCCCUUGAAUCUGUUUUUCUGAGUGCAUUUUUCAUUCCCAAAUGAUCACACCAAUGGAGUUCAAAUGAUUAGGACUAUAAUGAUUAGCUCCCAGUCUGCUGCCAGAAAGCAGCAGUUUGAAGCCCUGUUUGCUGGAGUAUCCUGAGGCUGGCUGGAGUCCAGGAUACCUGACCAUGGAGGAGCAGUUAGGACGUAGACUUGGGUUUUGGCGGUCUCAGGUGAGAGGGCUGGAGCCACGGCCCUCAUUGGUGUAUGACUUUGCAUCAGUAACUGACGGCUGUCUCCUCUUCUGCUUUAUCUUUCAGUUAAUGACCAGCCACAGCGUCUGCUGUGAGCUUCGGCCAGUGCCUCCAGGGCUCCUGAGCCACACACAGGUUGCUUUGGGUGCCGGCUGAGGUAACAUGGCUUAUUGGCCUCAGUUGAGGUUGCUGCUGUGGAAGAACCUCACUUUCAGAAGAAGACAAACAGUAAGUGUGGGUUUCUCUGCGGGACUCUCUCAUGCUUUCCUCCAUAGCGGGUUAGAGGAGGGAGGGAAGGGAGUAUUCUGGAUUUCCAGAGAGAUUGAAUGGAUCUGGCACUUGUGGACCCAGGACUCUGCGAUCCUGAUGUGGCCUUGUGGCUUGGCAUAGAGGGAGGAUUUGCAACCAGGCAGGAAUAUUGUCUUUGGUUUGUGCUAGCCCCUAGACCCAUGAGUUCUGACUUCUGAAACCUAAUAGAUAAUUGCCACUGGCCACCUCACACCAGUAUUUCCUUUUGCUAUAGCCCUGGGAGCUUCCUGGCUUUCUAAGAGCAACACAUGGGCCCCUGUAUUUCUGGGAAUUGGGAGUGCAGUGAGAUAAUGGCACAGCUUUAGAGAUCAAUUCCUGGAUCUCUUGGUGUCAGACUGUGCUCUGUCCUUCCAACUUUGUAGGCCUGGAGGAAUAUGAUAAGCAAGGCCUGUCUUAUUUCUGUGGAGGAUUCUAUGCCUUUCACCUCCCAGAUAGGUCAGUAAUGCCUUGAGUAAUCCUGAGGAGGUCAUCUUUAAUGCACAGGUGCUUGGUAUUUUUCCAAAGGAACAGGAGUGCUAAAAGGCAGGGUGAGCUCCCUGAAGCUCAGGCAUCAGUUCUUUGCUGCUUUACCUCUGGCUACCCCUCCUUAGUGAUUCUAUCUAGUCCUCCUGGCUUAGCUACAUCUCUCUGUAGUUGGUUUCUAAAUCUCUCUUUCCUGUUCUGCCUAUUUCCCGAAUUCCAAGCCUGCAUCCCCACUUCACUGUCUUAAUGAAGCUCAACUUAUCUGGAUCCAAAAAAUGUUCAUCUUUCAGAAACACAAAUAGCAGUAAAUAACCUUGGAGAGAAUUUAUUUCAGUGUUUCUCAAAGUAGAGUGAUGCUUGGACCUUCCUUAAAAGAACAAAAAAUGUCAGGAUACCCUUUUGUUCAUGUAAUUUUGAUUUUAGUGUUACUUAAGUCUGCUCAUAUAUAUAACUAGAUAUAUAUCUUUUAUAGGCUGUGAUAUAACUAUAUGACCCAUGUGUAUUUUUACAAAUUAAAUGCAAACAAAAUUGCAAAAAAAAUACAAUUAAAAUUUAACACAAUAAAUGUGAUAAAACAACUGACUCUGUUUAGCUAAAAUGCAUAUUAUAAGCUGCAACGUGAAUAUAGUAGUGGGUGGUACAGGACUGUUCCUUUUGAGUUUGGCAAGUCUGUAUUUCUGUGUGCUAAUUAUUCAAAUCUCUGUACAUUUUCCUGCAUGAACAAGUUUCAUUUGAUGUCAUUUGGUUCAUUCCCAUCAUUCAUAAAUCGAGUUUCAUCUGUUCCUUUCUCAGUCCUCUACAGUAAUUCUGAUGCCAACACAAACGCAUGCACGAAUAUAAACUUGGGCUUUGAAGUCUUGUGCCAGCACUUGAUUCUAAAGUAAGCAUUCAGAAAAUCCAGAUACUUUAUCAGGAUUUGUUUAGAUAAUCAUUGAAAUGAAAACACAAAAUGUUUAAAAUCCUUGCAGAGAACUCACGUAUAAUGCUUCCAAAGUAUGCAUACUGCUUCGAGAUUGAGAAACACUGAUUUUGUCCAGCCUCUCAUGUUACAAAUGGGGAACCUGAAUCCCAAGGUCACUAGUAAGAGAGCAGGGACUAGCUCUCUAAAUGUAUCCUGUCUGUUUUAGUCAAAAUAGUAGUGAAAUAUAAUGCAUAAUAUUAAUAUAAAAACAAACAUAAGCAUCCAUGUUUCAGGCAUGAAGUGGAUUAUUAACUGGAUUAUUCCUUUUAAGGCCUCAUAAAGUGCUGUUUUUUCUCAUAGCUGUCAUUUCUCAUGUUAUGAGGGAUUUGAUAGAGAUGUUAAAGAGAGGGAUUUGAUAGACAGAGUUCCACAUUGCUGACAAGGAACACAGGUAAGGUUCAAAUCCAGAUAAUCUCAUUCCAGAGUUGAUAUUCUACACCACUGUGCCAUCAUUAUUAGUAACAACAUUAUUUUAGUAAUGAUUAGUAGCAUCAUUAUUUUUCUAUCCUCCAUCGAAAAUCUUGAAGUUUCUGACUUCUUCCUUGCCUUAACUCCUGCCUCUUGCAGUUGUUCCCAGUCUCUGAUAUUUCCAUUUUCUAGUAGGUUUGUCCUUAUCUCUUCAUUUCUUAGCUACUAUGUGGUCCAUGUUCCCCGCUUCUUUUCAACCUAGUGGCAGCGCCUUCUUAGUGGGAAAUUAUCUUUGCCAUGGUGUGUCCAUUAGUGAGUCAUGGAACGAAUCAUAUUAACAGUGAAAGGGGGCCGGGAUUCAAGGACAGUCCAGUUCAAACUUGUGGUUUUACAGAUGAGAAAGCUGAGGCACAGAGCAUGGGAGGGAUCCCCCCAGUCAUCAGGUAGCACCUGAGCUAGGACCAGAGGCUGUGAUUUUCUCAUUCCGUCCAUCACAGUUCUUUCCUUCUCUCUUCCAAAUGCUUAGCAGCUGCCUAGCAGUGCCCAGCCUGGGAGAGGAUUAAAUGGCAGGGAAAAGGUUUUCUGUGCUUGACCAGGAAAGGAAUCAGGGAAAAGAGUAGAACAGGAUGUGGGCUGGAUCCUCCCGUCUGGGCCAGUCUACACUGGUUUUGAGCUUGUUUUGAGCUUUUUGCUCAAUAUUACUUAUGUCUUUACAGGGGUUGGGAUUAGAGAGAUAGGGAGGCUUAGUUAAAGGCAAUUUGUGCAGAGUUCUUGUUGAAGAAGGAAGUAGGAACACGGUCCCCUGACACAAAAGGCCUUUUUUAGACUCUGUGCCAUUACCUGCUAGCCUGUUUGAGUUACUUCUCUUCCAAGAUUUCUAAAGGAAUGCCAUUUUGUUGAAUCAGAAAGAAAGGUGGUUUAUUUUAAGUCACAGAUGCUCAGAUUGUCAGAUGGGGCUGGAGCUGGAAAGAUCUGACUUGCCUCUUGUAUAUUUGAUGGAAUUAGGGUUUGGAGGGAUGGAGGGGUCCAGAGAGGGUCCAUCAUGAAAGCAGCACCAGAACUAAUCUUCUGGUGGCCUCAGUUGGGUACAAAUAAUAAGGCUGGAUCCUUCUUAGCAGGGUUUAUUUUAUCGACAUGAAAGUUUUUAUAUUCUUGAAUCUGAGAUUCUGACUGGUGGAUACCUCUCAAUCCUGGCUUGAGUUUUUACAUUAUAUUGUGUAGACGUUGGAACCUGCUAAAGGUUUUGGUGCCACUUUGUUAGCUCACAUAGUCAGAGCCAGCCCUGACUAUGAUACCUGCAUGACCAUGAUAUGACCAUGAUAUCUGCAUGAUAGCUCUUGCCCACAAUAAAUGCCCAUAUUGCAUGUUUCCUUGCUCCUGAGAUCCAGGAAUGCAUAUACUUGGUCCCGAAGCCCAGCACAGAACCUGGAACUUGGGACAUGAUUAAUGAGAGUUUGCUGAAUGAGCGGUCAAUGUAUUCCUGGUUCGUUAGUGUGGAUCUUGAGGAGGUCAGGGGUCUGGUUCAGGGGUCUUGUUUGUUGCUUCCAGGAGGAAUAGAGAGAUCAUGUCAAAGCCCAGAACUGAGCAGUACAUCCCAGAGCAACCUUGUUGAAAGGUAGCUUUGCCCUUCUUGGUGUCCUUGUUUGCUGAUGUGUCCCAAGGACCCCUGUCCUGGGCCUUCAUUGUGCAGACUCAUGAGGACCAUCAGUCAGGGUUAGUUUUCCACUAUUUCUGUUGGGCAAAGAGUUCACUGAAUUGAGUUGCGAAAGUUGGGUGCAAAGCUCAGUUUGGGUUCAAAGUAACAGUUAGCUUGUGUGGGUGGCAGUCAUUCAGUGCAAACAGGUUUUGGGACAGGAAGGGGGAGGGCCUUCAGAGCUUUUAGGCUCUUCAUCUGGUGUUAGGCUGAGCCAGAGGCCAAGGUCUCCGUGGAACAGGUGGGACAGAGUGAGGGUGACCAUGUGGCCUCUUUCCUUUUUCCUUUACCAUUACUUUUUUUCAGUUAGAUCACUUUUUCAAUCAUGUGGCUAAGAAAAUAGAUAAUGUUUUUUAUAACUUAGAAGUACUACUAUUUGGGUACUCUUUAAUAUUAAGGAAUAAAUUAUCAAUCAAUAAAUAAAAUUCCUCCUUUCUGAGCCAUUGGAGAAUUUUACAGUGGAUGAAUAAUCUGUACCCCCUCCCGACUUCCAGUUUCACUGACACAUUUUUUUCCCCUGACUUUAGUCUUAGCCCAGCUCCAGUGGCCAUGAUCUAAACUCACCUUAUCCACUGUGUGCCUCAGUGGUCAUUUCUUCCAAGCUUUAGUUCUCUCUUCUAUGGAAUGAAGAAAAUCAGAACAAAUAGCUAACUGUUGUUUCAUUUGGAUAAAUAUUUAUUUAGCAUCUAUUACUUUUGGGAGAUUAUGCUGGGUAUAUAUUGAUAAACCACAUAGUCAUGGUCCCUGUCCUUGCAGAACUCCCAGUUUAAUGAGGGAGGCAGAUAUGAAACACAUUGCACAAAAAUAAAAAAUAUAAUCAUAAACUAUGAUAAGUGUUAUGAAAGACACAACCAAACGAUGGUACUAACAGGAGUAGGGACUUGAGUUAGAAUGGAAGGUCAUGACAUUUAACUUAGAUAGAGCCCUGAAAUUUGAGCAGCAGUGUUGACCAAUGAUCAGGGGUUCUGAGAUCAGAGGCCCUGCAUUCCAGGCCAAGAGACUAGGGGUAUAUGUUCUUGGAUCAAGGAACAAAAAGAAGCCAGUGGCACUGAUGGAAUGAAGGAAAACUGGCUGGGGAAUGGAUGGAAAGAGGCAGGGCCAGAUCAUACAAUGCCUUGUAGCUGUGAUUUUAUGUUCACAAGGAAUCUUUGAUGGUGGGCUGUGAUCUCUAGGAUCAGUCUUGUGGUUCUUGACACUUAAGGAACUUGAGUGAGAAGAGCCCCAGGGGGUAAUUAUAAUCAUUACAUACAUGUGUACCAUCUUAUGCUGUUUUCUUCUUUAGUUUAACAGUACUUAUUGUGUAUAAUCCCAUGUUUCCAAAUAAUCUUUAUAUUUAUAAUAAAGAUACCUGAGGGUAGGCUGUGUUUGGUAGUAGUGGAAGUGCUUUUAUACCUAUUAUAACUCAGUUUUCACAGUGAUGCUGAGAGCUGUGCAUUGCAACUUCUGUUCCACAGGUGAAGAAAGUACUGUUAGUAAGUUAGUAGGAGGAAAGGCUGGACCUUUGGCUCCAACCAUAGGAUGACACCAUUUAUGUUCUCUAGUAAGCCAUCCAUGCAGUUUUCAUUUUAUAAGCUCAAACCCUAUUGACAACAUUUAAUUUGCUCUCAGCAUUUGCUGUUACAAUUAAAUUACUGUAAAGAUUUUAUAGACUUAGACUUUUCUUACUUUUGUAUUAUUUCCUCAGGCUAAAAUCUCAGGACUAGGAUUACCGGGACAAAGGGAAAUGGUCCUUGAAGUAUAGGACCAGAUGUCCUUCUAAAGGAUAGACCCAAUUUAAAAAGCCAUUAUCAAUGUAUCAGGCUCAGUAGUUCCAGGAGGGCAGCCUGGUUUUAAAAAUUGUAUUUCCCUCUAGCAUUGGUCUGAUUUAAUCUUUCAGAUUUCACUUCAGUUUUCCCACACCUCAUUGAAACAUACACGGUGUUAGGAAUGGGUCUAAAAUUAAUUUUUCUUUACAUUCAUAUAAUGUUAUCCCUGUAGCUUUUGUAGCCUAGUUAUUUUGGGGACAUUCAUAAGACCUUAUGUCUGUGGGGGUCUAUUCUGGAGUUUUUUGUUUGGUUGACAGGUGUUGGUUACCUGUGUGUUAAUAUAGCCCCAGGAGUGUCCUUACUUUGGUGACCAUUCUGAUACCUGGGGGAGCUUGUGUUAUAGGUUCCUUUGAUUUGACCUCUUAGGAUAUCCUUUGUUGUUUCCAUCCAUUUCUUUUUCUCAUUGAAUCUUAUUUCCAUAUGAAGUUCUAAAAAGUAUCACUAUUUCAAGUGAAAUUAUGUUAAAUCUAUAAAUUGGUUUGGAAAAUUUGGAUAUUAAAUGUUCCCAUCAAGAAGCAUGGCUUAGCUCUCAUUAAUUCCCAUCUUCCUUUAUUUACCUCACCAAAGUUCAGGAAUAUUUAACAUUAAGAGAAUGUCUAACUUUUCUGUUUAUGUGUCUGUUCUUGCUGUGAAUAGUAAUUUUUUUCCUCCUAUCACAUAUUACUAAUUUAGCUGAUUAUCACAGGCCUCCAGAAAUACCAUUAUUUAGAUUUACCUUGGUUCUGAUUAAUUUACCCCUAUUUUCAAUUCAGUUUCAAUUUCAGCUUUUUAAUAGAUUUUGUGGGCUUUCCUAGAUUUGUGACCAUGCUGUAAAUGGAAAGGACAUUUUCAUCUCUGCAUUUCUGAUGUAUAUUCUUUUUGUUUCUUGUUUCAUGCCCCAUUGAAAUCUCAAGCAUUUUUUAACUCAGUACUAAGAAACAGUGAUUUCUUUUUUCAGUAUGAAGCGAAUUUUUUGGGCUUCCAUUAUUCAGGAGACCUUUGCCUAAGGCCAAACUUUAUUUCACUGGUUUCUGUGUUCUUUAAACAUGGUCCUUGCUGUGCCCAACUUUGAAUUAAUAUGCAUAAAUCUUGAGAAUUCAGGAGUUCCAUGACUGUCCUCAGGCUAGGUAGCUAAAUGCUUUCGCAGAGUGACUGGAUUGUGGUAUAUGAACUUUUGCAACCAGCAGCAAUGAACACUCAGGGGACAGUGAACAUGCAUAGUGUGUGAGGUCUUGGCACAGUUCUGAAUGAGGAUUCAAAAAUGGCUUGAUGCAUAUUGAAUAACAUGAUGAUCAUAAUAGCCAUGACGAGCUGGACUGUGUCCUCAAUCCUUUACAGGAAAUGAUAUUUAAUUUUCACAGUUACUCUAGAGCAGUGAUUCUUAUCUAGAGGCAAUCUCCCUCCCCCACCCUGGGGCUUUUGGUAGUAUCUGGAGAAGUUUUUGGUUGGCACAAUCCUGGGCAUGUGUGUGCUGCUGGUAUGAAUGGGUGGAGACCAGGGAUUCUGCUAAACACUCUACAGUUAGUAGGAGAGUCUCCCACACAGUUAUCAGGCUCAAAAUGUUGGUGGCACCACUGUUGAGAAAUCAGGCCCUCAUGAUGAUGAGGAAUAUCAAUGGGAAGUACACAGUAGUGCUCUGGCUCUCCCCAGAGCGUCUUAGACUUUGGUGAAAAACACUUUUUUGGAAGCAGUGUUCCUCAUCUUCCCAACGCCGUGGUGGGGAGGUGUGGAGUUUGGUGGUGUACCAAAGCAAGACUUAAGUUUUCUACAGAAGUGUAUUAUGGUAAAGGGUUAUGGUAAAGGGUCCACUUUUAUUUAUAAGUUAUUUCUGAAAGCCUGUGCUUAAUAAAAGUACUAAGCUUAGUGGUGGAGGAGAAAUCUGAUUUUGAUGAGUGGAGCAAGAACUGCAUUUCUUUUUUUUUAUUUUUUUUUAUUGGUUGUUCAAAACAUUACAAAACUCUUGACAUAUCAUAUUUCAUACAUUAGAUUCAAGUGGGUUAUGAAUUCCCAUUUUUACCCCAAAUACAGAUUGCAGAAUCACAUCGGUUACACAUCCACAUUUUUACAUAAAGCCAUAUUAGUAACUGUUGUAUUCUACUACCUUUCCUAUCCUCUACUAUCCCCCCUCCCCUCCCAUCUUCUCUCUCUACCCCAUCUACUGUAAUUCAUUUCUCUCCUUGUUUUUUUCCCCAUUCCCCUCAUAACCUCUUAUAUGUAAUUUUGUAUAACAAUGAGGGUCUCCUUCCAUUUCCAUGCAAUUUCCCUUUUCUCUACCUUUCCCUCCCACCUCAUGUCUCUGUUUAAUGUUAAUCUUUUCCUCCUGCUCUUCCUCCCUGCUCUGUUCUUAGUUGCUCUCAUUAUAUCAAAGAAGACAUUUGGCAUUUGUUUUUUAGGGAUUGGCUAGCUUCACUUAGCAUAAUCUGCUCUAGUGCCAUCCAUUUCCCUGCAAAUUCCAUGAUUUUGUCAUUUUUUAGUGCUGCGUAAUACUCCAUGGUGUAUAAAUGCCACAUUUUUUUUUAUCCAUUCAUCUAUUGAAGGGCAUCUGGGUUGGUUCCACAGUCUAGCUAUUGUGAAUUGUGCUGCUAUGAACAUCGAUGUGGCAGUAUCCCUGUAGUACGCUCUUUUAAGGUCUUCAGGGAAUAGUCCGAGAAGGGCAAUAGCUGGGUCAAAUGGUGGUUCCAUUCCCAGCUUUCCCAGGAAUCUCCAUACUGCUUUCCAAAUUGGCCGCACCAAUUUGCAGUCCCACCAGCAAUGUACAAGAGUACCCUUUUCCCCACAUCCUCGCCAGCACUUGUUGUUGUUUGACUUCAUAAUGGCUGCCAAUCUUACUGGAGUGAGAUGGUAUCUUAGGGUGGUUUUGAUUUGCAUUUCUCUGACUGCUAGAGAUGGUGAGCAUUUUUUCAUGUACUUGUUGAUUGAUUGUAUGUCCUCCUCUGAGAAGUGUCUGUUCAGGUCCUUGGCCCAUUUGUUGAUUGGGUUAUUUGUUAUCUUAUUGUUUAAUUUUUUGAGUUCUUUGUAUACUCUGGAUAUUAGGGCUCUAUCUGAAGUGUGAGGAGUAAAAAUUUGUUCCCAUGAUGUAGGCUCCCUAUUUACCUCUCUUAUUGUUUCUCUUGCUGAGAAAAAACUUUUUAGUUUAAGUAAGUCCCAUUUGUUGAUUCUUGUUAUUAACUCUUGUGCUAUGGGUGUCCUAUUAAGGAAUUUGGAGCCCGACCCCACAAUAUGUAGAUCGGAGCCAACUUUUUCUUCUAUCAGACGCAGAGUCUCUGAUUUGAUAUCAAGCUCCUUGAUCCAUUUUGAGUUAACUUUUGUGCAUGGCGAGAGAAAGGGAUUCAGUUUCAUUUUGUUGCAUAUGGAUUUCCAGUUUUCCCAGCACCAUUUGUUGAAGAUGCUAUCCUUCCUCCAUUGCAUGCUUUUAGCCCCUUUAUCAAAUAUAAGAUAGUUGUAACUUUGUGGAUUAGUCUCUGUGUCCUCUAUUCUGUACCAUUGGUCCACCCGCCUGUUUUGGUACCAGUACCAUGCUGUUUUUGUUACUAUUGCUCUGUAAUAUAGUUUGAAAUCUGGUAUCGCUAUACCGCCUGAUUCACACUUCCUGCUUAGAGUUGCUUUUGCUAUUCUGGGUCUUUUAUUUUUCCAUAUGAAUUUCAUGAUUGCUUUAUCUAUUUCUACAAGAAAUGCCAUUGGGAUUUUGAUUGGCAUUGCAUUAAACCNUCUGAGUACCAUCCAGAGGAGGGACUUCCAGCUCAGUUGGUAGAGACGUUUAUUUUGAGUGUCACGGCUUUGUUCUGGCAGAAAGGAUAGUUUUCUUUUUUCCCUCCAGCUUUAUUGAGGUGUAAUUGACAGAUAAAAGUUGUAUAUAUUUAAGGGGGGCAAUGUGAUAUUGUGAUAUACAUAUAUAUUGACUUAAAAAUUAGUAUGAAAUAAAGAGACAUUAAUAAAAAUUGGUAUGAAAUAAAAGGGAAGAAGCUGAAUGUCAUUUGCAAGCUUGGACAUUUCAGUGUGUUUUGUCUUUGGGGGAUUAUUUACAGAAAUAUUUAGCAAGGCCAACCCUAUCUUGGUCUUGGUAACCCCAUAGUCAGAAUGUUUUCUUCCAGAGAUGGAUCCACUUGCCUUUAUAGUUUUAUGGUGAUAGUGUUUUUUUUUUUUCCAAUUAGAGAACUAAUACAGGGUUAUUGUGGAAAAUUUAGAACAAUAAGAAGGCAUUUUUUUUUAAAAAGUCACACGUGUUCUUAUCACCCUAGAACAUACAUGGUUAUCAUCUUGUAUUUCCUUCCCCAAAGAAGAUUUAAUGAUGAGUUUAAUGGAAACCAUAUCAAAGUUCUUGGGAAAUUAAAAGUCAAUUAUUUGAAACAGCAAAAAAUCCAACAACAAAUAAUCAACAAAACAAACCCUCCAUUAAACACUCUGAAGUACCAGCAGUAGCAGAAAGGUUAAAUUAUGAUCUUGUCAUAGAAUGGAAAUAUGAAGUGGCCAUUAAGAGCCAUAUUUUAAGAGAAUAUUUUCUGCAAUGGAAAAUGUUCCCAGUGUGAUGUUAAGGCUAUGGUGGGGAAGCCAGUGAUGCAAACAGGUGACUUCAAGGGCUCAUAGAGAUGCACUGGGAGGAGUGUGCCUGGGUUACUGGGGGGAGCCCAGGAGACUGGGCUUCUCAAACUGAGAAUUAGUAAAGGACACCAUGGUUGAGUCUUGAAGACUAAAUAGAAAUGAGCCUGAUGAAGCUGGCAGGGAAGCAUCUUUCCUGACUUAAGCCAUGCACAAAGGUGUGGAAUGGAAUGUUACAAGGUGAGACCUGCAGACAGUUCAGUGUUAUCAAAGCUCAUGGAAGGAGAGGCUGCAGAAGAUGGUCAAUUGUUAAUGAAUUUCUCUGUGGAUUUUUCAGAACCCAGUAGUGUUGGGUAUCACUACUUUUUGAAUUCACAUUGCUCUGUCUUAUUUCCUACUCAGUGUCAGCUCUUGCUGGAAGUGGCCUGGCCUCUGUUUAUCUUCCUGAUCCUAAUCUCUGUUCGGCUGAGCUACCCACCCUACGAACAACAUGAAUGUGAGUACCUGUGGGUCAUGCCUGAGACUCACUUCUCCCAUGAAAAAUUCAGGCAAUAAACAUGGUCUGAGUUUACCUUUCCCAAAGACUCCAGGAAACAACACAAAUAGCUUGGCACAGAACAUCUAGUCUUCUAAUAGUUUGAUUUUGAUCCCUAGUGAAUAGUGAUAAGAGUAAUGACAACAAUCGCUACCAUCUGUUUCAUACAUUUUUAAAUCAUGAAAAUAAAGUAACUUUACUUUAUAAAUAGAGUUCAGACAGUGGCCACUAAAAAGCAUCCUUAAGGCACUGCUCUCUUUGGUCCUGCUGGUCUUUACCACUGUAUUAAUGUCUUAAACAUGCAGUUAAAAUUAUAGAACAUAUAUUUUUAAGUAGCCUUUGUGCAGAACAUCUGACUGAUAUUAUUUGACUGAUAUUAUUUCAUUUGAUUCAGUCACAACCCCCUAGACUUUAUUAUCAUUUGUUUCAAUUUCUUGCUAAGUAAGUUAGGACUCACACAGAUGCAGGGACUUGGUAAUAAGGAUAGAGAUGGAAUCAGUUCAGGUCGUCUCUCAGUCAUGUGUUUUGAAGGACAGCCCUUUACAGUGAGAAGUGAUGAAGAAUGCAUGGUUUUCUGGGUUUGAAUCCUGGCACAGCAUUCACUAGGCUUACAUGGUGGGCGAGUAACUUUACUUUCUUGUAAAGGAGGCAAUAAUAAUACCCCUGUCAUAUUAUUGUUGUCUGUGUUGUCACCCACAGCCAUAGUCUUUCUCUGUGGCAUGGCUCAAUGGGUAGAUUGACAUGGCAGAGCAGUCCAAGUCUAAAGGACCGACAUUUAUGUAGGCGUUUAGCUGAGUCCUCAGCUCCACUGUCCUAGGGACUUUUCUUGCCACUAGCCAACUGUAUCUAUAUCUCCCACCAGACCCAUAAAUUUAUAGGACUCUGUUCUCCUAGGAAAGCUGUGGAGGCCAAGGCUACUUUUAAUUUUUUCUCUUGGUCUGGCCUCAUCUCUCACAGCACAGAGCAGAAGUUAUUUACAUGCUAAUUUGCUAAUACACCAUCAUACAUAUUCAAGUUACACACACAUACACACACACACACAACUGAAGAACUCUCCCUCAGGCAUGAUUUUCUUACUUCACCAGAAAGGAAUGGAACAUCUAAUGAAAUCUAUACUCAAUUUAUGGGCCUGUGAGGUAAUUCUGCUUUCUCUUUUACAAUCUCAAAGAGAGGUUGAUUGAUUAGCAAAUGGAUAUUUGGUUUUAUUUAAACAUUACCCUGAGCCCCACAGAAGUAUGUUUCAGGGCGUGCUCAGCAUUUUCAUCCCCUGGGCAGUUCUCUUUCUGGAAUGAUCACAAAGAGGGAAGGUAGUGUAAUGGAAUUGGCACAGACUUUGGCACCUGACAAAUGGGGUUUGUGUGGAUGCUGCCUCUGCUGUGCAGUGGGGUUGUAAUCUUGAGUAAGUCGUUGAAUUCUGACCCAAAGCCCUCUGACCCCAGACCAUAGAAUUUUGGAAAUCUGUGAAAUUCUUGAACAUAUGGAAGACAGAUGAGACUUUGCCCAUCCAUCCAUGUCCUUCCUGUUCUCACUACCUUCCUAGGGACCUAGUUAGAAAGGCAGGUUGAAAGCUAAAGUGAAGUGCAUGGACGUGUCUUGUCUUUGCAGUGGGAGGAGUGUGCUUGGGUUACUUACUAGGGGAGCCCAGGACAGUGCGCUUCUCAUUCUCCUGAGAAGACUCUGUCCUUGGGAACAAAGGGCUGGUGAUACAAUUCUUCCCCAUAAACCUCGGUUCAGCCCUAGUCAUCAAGGUCCCAUUAACUUCCCUGGGUCCUAGGAGUCCCUUAUGCUGUCAUCCUGUGCACCCAGUGCCUAGUCCUCAUCUUGCUUUGUUUGCAAAUGAGAUAGAAGACAACAUGCCAGAAAGGGCCUUUGCUUCCCCCACGGAAGGACAGCCCCAAAUACCUCAGGGCCUUGUGCUGCCUUUGGCUGAACCUAUCUGUUCUUAGUUCCAGUAUCUUCCGGAGUUGAAAGGGGAGAAUCCCUGGGUCCUUGGAGUAUUUGACUGGAUUACAUAAAUCUCUGAAUGAGGAGCAGCUGACUUAGGCAAGGGGCUUUGUUUGAUUUUCCUUGAACUGUUAACAGGGAGAUAAAGAGAUUAACUAAGUAAAUGUUCAACAGGCCAGAGUCCCUGCAGAGAGUGACUGCAGGGAUUGGAUCCUUGCUUUGGAUGUUGUCUCUGGUUGGAGUAUGGAGAGAAGAAAGAUAGAAGGCCCCUGAUUCGAACAUGCCAAGUGCAGCAAGCUCUGGCUUUGGGUUAACUUCUGGGAAGCCUCUGUUAGCCCAUUUGCAUGAAAAUAGAAGGAUGAAUAAAAUGAGGGUCCUACUUUGGAGGAAGAAGGUAGCUGUGAGACUGAAGGAGUAUUCUGGUUUGGCAACAGCAGAGGAACUACUACUGCAGGCUCACACCACAGGGCCUCCAGAGUCUGCACAGACCUAUUUGUUGAGCUUUUGUUCCGUGCUAGGCACUUUGCCAAAGUGCUCUACCUAGAAGAGCUCAUAUAAUACUUAGCACAUGCAUUUUUAUCACCAUUUUACAGAUGAGAAAACAGAGGAUUAGGGGGUCUGUCAGGGACUUGACCAAAGUUGUUGCUUAGCAAGUUGCAGGGACCCAAUGUGAAGCCCAGUUGGUCUGACCCAGAAGUCUGUGAAACUACAAGCUCUUCACUACCUAAAGCUGUGGUUCUUAAUGGCUGCCAACUCUUUGAGGGUCACAGUUAAUCCUGAGAAUCUGAGGAUAGCUGCAGCCCUGGCCUUUUUGUUCAAACAUAAAUAGGCCCUUGGGUUAAGAGUCCCUGAUCCAGGGCACAUUUAUCUUGAUCCCCAUAAGCAGUAUCCGUGGGUGACUGCCACAUGCUAACCUGGGCCUUCAAGACCUCGGAGCCAGCCCAGACAUGCCCAUUCAUCCUGUUUGUAAGAAGCUCCCACGAUGAGGGGAGAGGCAGGUGAGGAGCUCACCUGGUGGAUGGGGCGUCCUUAUUUUGACAAGUGACAAAACAAUAGCAGCGAAACAAAAGUUGCUUCAUGGAUGACAUCUGCCCCCAAGUCAGCAUGUUUUCGAGGUGCCCUUGAGAAGCUUUGGAGCUGGCAGAGGAGCAAACUGACAGACAUCUGGCAACCAAGGAGAGUACCAGAGGGAACUGUGGAGUAGAUUACAAAGAAGGCCACAGUGUGAGGAGGGGGCUGGGCCUGGGAUCAUGGAGAUGCAGGUUCCGCUCCUAGUUGUGCUCCUUGAGGGUUCUUCAUUGGCUGUCUGUCUUGCUAUAACUUCCUCUCAGAGUGUAAAGAAAUUGGACUAGGUCAUCCCCCAGACCCGUCUGGUGGUCCAAGGUGAACAAAUGGUGGCAAAACACUUGCUACUUGGUCGGCACUUCCUGUGCAUGGUCUAAUCUACUCCUCUCAUUACUUCUCCAAGGCUGAUGUUGUGAAUCCCACUCUACAGACAUGCCAUGUAGAUCAAGAACCAUUAUCUGAUACCAGGUUUCCAGCUCAGGGUCAGAUUAAUCCAGAGGAGGCAGGUCUCUGGGAUGAGGGGAAUGGGACACACAGAAUAUGGGACAAAGUAUUGGGUGGGGGGAGUCUCAAAAUGGCUUCAAGGAAUUAAUAUUUCUCCGUGUGUUUUUUUCUUCUCCUUGAUUUCAACAGGUCACUUUCCAAAUAAAGCCAUGCCCUCUGCAGGAACACUUCCUUGGGUUCAGGGGAUUAUCUGUAAUGCCAACAACCCCUGUUUCCGUUAUCCAACCCCUGGUGAGGCUCCAGGGGUUGUUGGAAACUUUAACAAGUCCAUGUAAGUACCAGAUCAGGUUUUCUUUCUCAGACUUGUCAGUGAAUACUUAUCCUUCCCUUCUUGCUCUCUGGAGAGUUAUGAAUGGCUGGAUUUGAGCAAAGUUGCUUCUGUAAAGGUUUGUGUGGAAAAGUCUGCAGAAUGAGGGAAGGGAGGCUCACUGCCAGGAUUUAAGACUGUGGGACCUUACUUUGAUGUCUUUUUGGAGUAACAGUAAUAUGUAACCUAAGCUGUCUGGUUGGAGGCUGUUCUUCUGCACAAAGACUGGUAAGUAAUGAAGGGACACACAGUACACUGGCGCCAUCUCAUAGUUAAUCUGCCUCACUCAGCAGUAUUUACUGCACAUCUCAAAUGGCUGGUUCUAGAUUUAGGGUGCAGGGGCAGGCACCAAGGUGCCCCCUGGAUGGGUUGUGACCUCCAAGGAGCUUCAGAUCCAGACUGGCAGAGCCCUUUUCUAUGUUCUCAGAUCCAUGCUCUUACCUCUUUCACUGCGUCUCAGUCCUCAGUGUCACUGUGUCUGCAGGUCUUUCUCUCCUGGGUGGGAGAUCCUGAGCACAGGAUUCUACCUUGGGUUUAUAUUCCUGGCUUCAAUGUGGACAUAAGUAUGAAAUUAAUAAAGCAUCUAACAAAUGAGCCAUUGAAGAUUCUUGAGAUAUCUGGAACCUUGACAUGAGUUAGAGUGUGCUAAGGACCCACUUGAAGACAAUUCUGAGGGAGCGGCAGCUGGGGCAGGCAGAGCCACAUUAUAAAGAUCAUGGACCACAGGCUUUGGGGCCUUCACGGGCCCUUUCGUCUGUGAAAAAAAUAUUAAAAAUUCCAUUUUAUGACUGUUGGCAUAAAAGCAAAUAUAAUCCAGGUAGAUUCAUUACCAAAUGUGCUUUCUUAUUAUAUUCAUUUAAAAUUUUGAUUUUUAUAAAAAGCGAAACCAUUUUCAUGAUCCUUUAAGAUUAUCGUGAGCUCACUGUGCCUUGUAGAUAAGUCUGCCCUGGGGGCACGCUGGUGUGUGUGUGUGUGUGUGUGUAUGAGAGAGAGAGAGAGAGAGAGAGAGAGAUGGGCUGGGCCUUUGAGGUUGAUUUGGGUCAUAGGAAGGGCAUCUUGAGGCAGGGAUGGUGGGUGGGAGCACAGGUUGUUAGUGAGGCCAGGCAAGGGGAGAGGAUGGGAUUGGCCUGUAGAGGGCCUGGAAACCAGGCUGGGGCAGGUGUAUGGUAGUCACUUUCUCGAAGCAGCAGCUGACCUAACCAGGGCUUUUCCACUUUUCUUGUACUCUUUACAGUGUAUCUCGCCUGUUCUCAGACGCUCGGAGGCUUCUUUUAUACAGCCAGAGAGACACCAGCAUGAAAGACAUACACAAAGUUCUGAGGACAUUACAGCAGAUCAAGAAUUCCAGUCCAAGUAAGCAGAGCCUUCCUGCGUAGCCUUUGGAAUUGGACAUUGGCCUGCCGUGGUGGCCUGGGGCUUGUUCCUUUUAGCUCUUCUUUAAGAGGUUUUUCUCAUCACUGGCUGGGAGCUAGGGCUUCUCUGAGCUGAGGGAGGCACUAGAAACAAAACUAGGGAAGCUGGUUGCCACAGUGAAUGGACUGGCCUUCUCUGGGAAGAGAAAUCCCUAGACAGGACAGCACAGGCUUGGUGAGAGGGAGUUAGGGGUGCAGGUUGCUGCCAACUGCAUUUUUUUUUUUUUUUGAGUUGGGCCAGUCAUAUGGUUGCUGUGAAUGGACAUAUUUACAGACAGGGGAUGCUUCUGUGUAUAUAAGCAGUGAGAGUUGCAACUUGAUACAGGUAAGGGAAAGUUGAGUGUUUACUUCUUAAAGGAAAACGCAAUUUAUCUUCCCUGUAGUCAUUUGAUUUAGUCUGUUAGGCAUUUGAACUCUGAUCUUUAAAAAGUGAAAUCUUUCCCUCUGAUCUGGUAAGUGCCCAGGCGGUUUAUUGCAUGCCACUGAAGUGUCCGAGGAGCAGGCGGUCUGCUGACCCAGGCAUUGGCCGAAGAAGUCACAGUGCAACCUCCCAGUCUGUGGCCUGCCAAGGGACAGAGGCCAGUGAGAACAGUCCACUGAGGGCAGGCAAGAAAGGCAUGAUGAUCUAGAGGAUUCAGAAGCAAUAAUGAAGUCUAGUGAAAGCUGGUUGGCUUUUUGUUAUCACCAUGGACAGUGGUUCCAAACCAUGUCAGGGAUGAACAGUCCUGGCCAGCAUGGGCCAACCGCUGCCUCUGUUCCAGGGAGGUACUUUUUACUUUUUUUUUUUUUUUCGGUGUCCGAGGAGAGAAUGGAGUAAGUUGACUUUUGCUGAGGGGUUCCCAGUUUGUGAUUCAUUUUGCAAAAGAAAAAAAUGGUAUAGAGUUUAAACCAGAUUUUUCUUGGGCAGACAGAGGUGUAUUCUCCUUGGGCAGGAAGAGGCAGUGGGCAAAAUGGGACCUGAUGACAAAGGGAAGCAAAGCUGUCUUGGGGAUGGUACAGAGGAUGUGUUGCUCCACAGUGGAGAAAUGUGGCUGUACUUGGGCCCCUGGGUCGGCUAUAAGUGGUUUCCCACUGGACCAUUGCUGACUCUAUGGAUGGAUCACCCUGGGUGCUGUUUCCUUGACCUGCAGGCCACUGGUCAAAGCCUCAGUCCUUCCUGAUGUACUAGAGGGCCCCUAUCUGGUUGACCAAGGGUAGAGCUGGGUUAUUUCUUGUACCACCCAGGGACAGUGUGUCACAGAGGAAAGAGUGUGAGCAUACUUUGCUUUGUAGCUAUGUGACUUUGCGAAUACGUUGGUUAGCCCCUUUUGGGACAUUUCUUCUUAUCUGUAAAAAGGAGAUAACAGAUAACCUAUCUAGGAUUGUUAGGAGGCAUAAAUGAGAUAAAACAUUUUAUUGCUUGAAAAUACGAUUUGACACCUAGGAAGUACUCAGUGAAUACGAACUAUGAUUGUUUUGGAUUGUUGGCAUCUCAGAUCACAGAUCUCUUUAAGACUUAAUUUUUUUUCAGCUAUAAAAUAACACCUAUUCUUGCAAUGUAACAUGUAAAACCCAAUACAAUGUCUGGCACUUUGGAGAUGCUCAAUAAGCAGGAGCCCGUGUUACUCUUAGAUGACAGUGAUGCCUUUUGACCUUCUGGUUGAGCUCUUCUGCCCCUCAAUCCAUGGGGCUAUUGAAAUUGUCUGAUGGCCUGAGUUGUCCAGCAUUUUCAGAUCUAGUAGAGACAACCUUAGAAAUGGAACUAUUUUUCUCCUUUGAGCAAUAGGAGAUAUGAGUUAGGUUGGAGAGGAGAAUGCAUGGCUGUACAGAGAGAACGUCUCCUGCUCCUCCCUCUUCUCCAGCUUGUCCCCUUUACCGCCCUGCAGGUACUUCUUCAGUUCCUACCAUCUUCUUUCCUUUGUGUUGCAAUGAAAAGCCAGAUCUCGUUCUACUGGGUAAUGCACAGUCUUGCUACUUCUUUCUUCCUAGAGGAAUUCAGUGAAUGUGUAUUGAUUUUGAAUAGCACUCUGUUUCAGAGAAAAUCUGCAUUGGGGAAAUGUCAGUUUUGAUCCCUUUGGGCGUGUGUUUAUCUGCUCUGACACCCUGGUCCUAGCAUGAUGGGCUUCACCCUAUGUACCAUUCCUCUCAGAGCUGGAAAGAUCCUUGGAGAUGAUCUGGUCCGGAGCUCUGCCCUGGUUCACCUUCUCUACCGCACAUAUCAUUUCCUGAAAUAGUGACCUAUGUCUCAGGACGAAGUGCAUUUUGGUGUCAACAGCUCUAUCAGAAAAUAUUCACUACCAUGUUAUCAUUCCAAGGGAACAAGUCCAAUUUUACUUUCCUUGGAAAGUUGAAGACGGCUCUACUGUUUUUUCCUUUCUUCCUGGAGCCUUUGAAUUUUCUAGGCUAAAUGUCCUCCAUUCUUUUUUGGAAUGCUUUUCCUUCCAAAUUUCUGCCUGUUCUCUGAUGAUGUCUCCAUUGUGUUUAUCUUCUUCUUAAAGUUUACCAGAAAUUACAAAAGUAUUCUGGUGUGGAAGAGAAAGGGACUUUUGGCUCCUUUGUUCUAAGUGCUUUGCUUCUGUUCACGCAAUCUGAGAUUGCAUUAGGCUCUUUGGCAUUCACCGUACCCAUUGACUCAUAACCCAUGUGUGGCCAACCAAAAUGGCAGAUUCUUUUAAAUACAGAAUUGCAAGUGGCUUGUUCUCCUUUUCUAAAUUGUGCAGUUGACUUAUUGAACUAAAGGAAGAAUAUGUAUCUUUUCUAAUUUCCAUUUUAGAUUCCCUGUGCCAUCUAAUCCUACCUCAACUAUUUUACAUUCUGAUUUUUCCAUGUGUUACAUCUGUUGCUGCUUGUGUCCUGUUGUCUAGGAAUAUGAUGAAUAACUCUCUUUGUUCUCAUUCAAGUCAUUGAUUACUCUAGGACCAAGGUUUGAGGCUUGGAUCAGUUGCCUGGAGAUUAUCAAACCCUUCAGACACUACCCCUAGAAUCUUAGAGAACUACCAGCUUUCCUUGUUACCAGUGUUGGUGUCACUGGGUCCUGUUUUUGGAGGAUUUACCUUUUCUUCAACAUACAUCUGCUGAAUCCAGUGGACUAUCCACAGAUAAGUUGUGGAUAUGGAAGUCUCUCCUCAAAUACUCUCUUCUAAUCUCAUGGUUUCCUGGACUAGAACAUCCUUUUAAUUUCCAUCUUUUGAAAGAGACCUUAGAGGCUGUUUAAUUCAUUCAUAGAUAAAUGGGUUGAUUGAUUCAAUCAUUCAACCAUGCCAAUCGCUGUUCAAGAUGCUGAGAUAGAGAGAUGUACAAAACAAUGUAAAACUUCUGUUGUGGAGAGUAAUCGUAUCCUAAAAGGUGAGGUGACUUCUCCAAGUUUGUACACCCCUGUUGCCCAUGCAGUUCUCCUUCUACAGUGCUAUCAUGUGCUGUUGUGAUAAUCUUCCAUUUGGGAAGGCCUCGAGUUUUGAAGAAUUAAUUCAUAGACGAAUCUUCUAAUUGUUCUGGAAGUUGUACUCAUGAGAAGCCCAAGAAAGGAGGCUAACAGAGGUGGCUAACCUAGUUUUCUUAUCAUGAGAACUUUUUGGUGAACUUUUUGGUCAUCUUAUUUCUGAACCAGAGAAUAACCACAAGGUUGAGGGGUGAACCAUUGAUGUCUGGGAGUCAGUGUAAGAAGAAUUCAUUCUUCUUAAAUUCCUGUCAUGACUGCAGCUCCAAGGAAAUACAAAAAAUGGCUUAAUUUUCAGAAACCCUAGAAAUGUCUAGAUUCUGAUCCUGUGAGAUGGAGAUCAACAAAGAACUCACUUCUCUGAGUGAGUUCUGAGUGAUAGCUGAGAUGAUUUCAGGCAGUGCAUGGAUGAUAUCUGUUAAUUCCAACUUAGACUGUAGUUUCAUAGAUAUUGUUACUAAAAAGGAUGUUAAAUAGGAAGAAAGAUAAUUAAAGAAAACAUCAUCUUACAUGGAUAUGGUAAAGUUUGCGAGAAUAAUUUGUGAAUCAUUGAAGACUGGAAAAUACUGGUAAAAGAAAGAGUUUUGAGCCCUGUGUAAAGAUUGUUUUGGUAACAAAUUCAAGCUCUAUCCCUCAUUAAAUAUGAACCUUUGGCAAGUUUAGAUUAUUUCUGGUGCUCUAUUUACCUAAAAUGUGGAGAUUAGCUAUCCUGAGGAUGGUUGAACGUUAAAUGAGAUGAUUUCUGUGGCUAUCUGGUAGAGAGCUCCUAACCCGUAGUUGACUCAUAAUUAUAAGUCUGAGCUGCUCCACUUCCCUGUUGUUCCUGGCUGUUUGACCUUGGCCUUGGCUAUACUUUGCCUGGACUACCUUCUCUGGGCCUCAGGUUUCCUUGCCUCAAAAUUGAGAUUUGGCAAAACAACCCAAAGAUGCUUGGAAACUUGGGAGGACAGUCAGGACCAAACCGUGUGCCUGACCUCUAGACUCUGUCCCCUUCAUAGGCCCUUUUUCUGGUUUUAUCCCAGGCACAGCACAAUAGCAGGUAGGGUAGGCAAUCAGUUCAUCUUCAUGGGAUGAAGCUAAGAGAAAAUAAAAUAGCUGCCCUUUCUCCUUCACACAGUGUUGAAAGGGUCAGGUGAAAUUGGUUACAAAAAUAAGAAAAUCCAGCACAUGUAAUAUUAGAAUUGAUUCCCUUGUAUGAACCCAGGUCAGCAGGGCUCAAAGUUAAUACUAGUAAUAGAAAUUCUUAGAACAGUCUCAACUUUCUUUCUUUCACAAAGUUUAUUUUUCAGAACUUUACCUUGAACCCAGAGGCAUAACGUGCAUUUACUGGGAAACUGUUUCACUUUCAUGGCCCCCUUGCAACCUGCUCUGAGGAGUCUUAGCAAUGUAUUUACACAUUCUUUCAUAAAGUCUGCCCCCACAUUGUGUCAUUUCUGGGCCUCACAAACCUGCAUCUACUCCUGCCAGGACACUGGGAAGGAGGAAGAACUGGCUCCUUCCUCAGCCUUCUCCCUGGCCCUGCCCUUCAGCCUCAUUCUCCACCCACAGCCACCUGCCUCACUGUGUCCCUGCUCCGAUGAAUCUGUCCUUUCCAGGCGGGAUUAAUAGCAGAAACUGGCCCAAGCUAAGGCCUUCCUGGUGGGGCUGGUGCUUCCAGAAUCAGGAUGGGGCUGGAAAAGGAGGUGUCCUUUUGUCUGUAAUGUCUUUACUGCUACUUUUCCUUUUCAGUGACUCCAAGUGCAUUGCUUAGUGAUGCCUAAUGGUCUCAUUACCCUGCUUCCUGCUGAGCAUUUCUGCUCAGGCAUCCAUUUGUCCCAGUGCUUGCUCCUCUCCCAAAUCCUGGAAUCUUGACUUCAGGCUCCCCUUCAACUCCAGGUGGCUCCAUGGACACAGGCCCCACUUGAGUGGGUACCUCUGUGUAGCGGUCAGGGCUUUCUGCUAGCCCUGGAAGUUGGAAAAUGCAUAUGCUGGGGCUGAGGCUUCUCGCCUCUCUGGGGUGGAUCAUCCAUCCUCUCGGUCUCUCUAGGAAGUUCCUCAAAUCCCCUACCCCCUGUUUCCAUAAUUAGCUGGGCUCUUGUCCAUUGCUGUGUCCCCCAUGGUGGCUCUACGAGUCUCACCAUUGCUUAUGCUGAUCUGGGGAUAGUUCCUGAGCGUUUAUGGGUCCUGUGGAGUUUUUCCAUCUUUUAUCGCUGUGACCAUAUGGAUAGGGCCUUGGGUUCUGUGAUAUGGCAGGAUGCCAGAUAGCCAAUCUCCCCUAUGAGUAGGACUCAGCCAAGAUCUUGGCUCUUAGUUUUUACAGGUGUCUGGCCCUGUCCCAAGUUAGGGCAACACAGACACCUUUUAACUACAGAAGACCAUUGGUUACUUUGUGGGAUUGCAGAUCAUUUUCUGCACCUGUGGAAUUUGGCCAUGAGGGUAGAUGCGUCAGCUGAAGGAUGCUUUCCAGCUAUACCCAAGGCUGGCAAGUUAUACAUUUCUGGAUGUGCAUGUACCCCAUGGUGCAUGUGAAUGGCACUUUCCAUGAGAAUUGUACUCUACAUGGCAUUUUUUUUUAAAAUUUUUUAUUCUAAUUUUUUAUACAUGACAGCAGAAUGCAUUACAAUUCAUAUUACACAUAUGGAGCACAAUUUUUCAUAUCUCUGAUUGUAUACAAUGUAUAUUCACACCAUUCAUGUUUUUGGUAAUGAUGUCCAUUUCAUUCCACCGUCUUUUCUACCCCAUGCCUUCUCCCUUCCCCUCCCACCCCUCUGCCCUAUCUAGAGUUCGUCUAACCCUCCCAUGCUCCCCCUACCAACCCCACUAUGAAUCAGCCUCCUUAUAUCAGAGAAAACAUUCAGCAUUUGUUUUUUGGGGGAUUGGCUGACUUCACUUAGCAUUGUAUUCUCCAGCUUCAUCCAAUAAAUGGUGUUUAUUGAAGGGCAGCGCCAUAUGGAUCCCAACAUCCUGAUUUUUCUAUCUCUUCAGCUAGGUUUUGUGUUGAGUCAAUGGAGUGGUUGCCAUUUUCCAUAUAUUCAGCAUACAAUCUGGCUUGUUUGACCUUUCUAAUGGUGCUCAAUUCAAGGUUGUUGUACAAGUUUUGCUGGACUUGACUUAGGGAAAAGGGUCAUAGUUUUCUGCCUGUCAAUCUAGGUAACACCUAGAAAUCAUGGUAUGGGCCUUUGAUUCUGCUUUAAUCUUUGAAAGCCUAGAAGAUAUGAGUUCCAGAGGGCCAGUGGAUGUGGUGACAUGGCAAGGUAGUUGGCUGUGGUCAGCAUUUGAAGAUAGGGCUAUAAAAUUAACAUGGUGUAAAUAUCCCCUAGGCUGUACAAUUUAGUGAAUUGACAUGGCAACGAGGCUGCCAGGGUUCAAAUCCUGCCUCUGGGUGCUGCUUACCAGCUACUUGCCCUUGGAUAAUUUCAUAACCUCUCUGUAUCUCAGUUUCCCCAAAAUGAGAUAACAGCACCUUCCUUGGGGAUGGUUUAGCAAAUAAAUGUAUUAAGAAGGGGAAAGCACUUAGUACAUGGUUACUACUAGGCUUCUGCCUUGAUUUACUGCAUUUUCACAGUCAUCAUGGAAUGUAGGGGAUUUAAUUUUUUUUCUACUCAAAUGAAGGAGCUGAAGUUCAGAAAGGCUAAGUAACUUGCCUAAGAAAGCACAGCUAGCAAGGGGCCACAAUAGGAACAGAGUUCUAGUCUUAAGUGCUGUGCUGUUUAUUAUAUCCUAAAGAGAGUUGCCCGGGAGAGCCAGAAACUUCUCUGAGGGGUCACAGGGCACUGGGUAUGAACAGGCUGUGGUGAGAAAGGAGACAGAGGGCCAGACUUCCUCCCCUUCCUGGUUCUAUGGGUAACAGGCACGGGGACGGGUAACAUGUCCCAAGGCCCAUCUAUAACGAACUUCCUGUGACUCAUAGCCACUUCUCCUUUCUUGCCUGAAGUCCCUCAUUCCAUUCAAGCAGCGGCUGAAGUUGAGGUUAUAGUUCUAAACUUCAUUUUCUGUCCUUGGGUACCCACCCCAUGUGUCAUCUCAUAGGGAGAUCUGAUGACAUAUGUGUUAGAAUUUGUCAUCAAAAUGGAAAUCCCUUGAAAUCUUUGGGUGGUUGCAAUUCAUAUUCUGCGUGCACUUGUCAAAAGUUUAGGAUGGAGGCCUUAAGAAUUUCAUGGUUUGAAACCUUUCCACCUACCAUGAGAAGGUUUUCCCAGACCUGUCAAAGCCAGGGCUGUGUCCCUGAGUACAGGCCAUUGGUUUUCAUCAGGGCAGGAGCCUGGCCCCAGCUGGGCUGUAAGCAGGGGGGUGCAGCGCUCCACUGCAGUGUUGAAAUAUUGCUUGAACUAAAUCAAAUCAAAGGUCAGCUUUACCCAGACGAGAAUAGAAAACACAAUUGCAUUCAAUUACAGAACGGCAUGUACCCCACCAAUAUCAGAUUGCUUUAAAACUUUUUUGAAUUGUUAACAUCAAAAACAGUGUUGCAUGUCCCCUGCUUUUCCAGUGUAAGAUUUCUUUACCCCAUAGGUGGCAAAGAGCCCCUGGGGGUCCGGUUUAUUUCUUGCUGAGAGCUUCCCCAUUUCUCAUUCUUCCAUCACUGUUGCAUUGAGGCACAAAAAGACAAUCUUAGAGCGACUCUUUGUACAACAGACCAGGUUGCACCAGGUAAUGAUGCUGUUUUAUGUCUUAAAUGGAUUAUUUAAUUAAAGGCUUAAAACAACUGGUUGGUGGUAUCAUCCCCAUUUUAUUGACCAUGAAACUGAGGCUUUAAAGGGUUCUGUCUGCCACCCCGGACCACAGAGUAAAGUUGUAAAUUGAAUCCAGGUCUGUGUGAUUCCAAGCUCAGCCUCUUUCUGCUAUGCUGUCAUGUCAUCCAACACCAGGAAAUGUGGGCAGCAAUACUAGCUUUCAAUUAAGCAUUUUUAGAGAGUGAAAAAUUCAUUUAAUUGCUAAUAAAGUGGAAGGGACCAAAGCUUUGUAGCUGAAGCUGUUUGUGUUGAAAUAUGCCACUCUCUGGUUCUGUGACCUUGAGCAAGAUGUUAACUUCCAGAUCUGUUUCCUUGCGUGAGACAUGGGAGUAAUAAUACCUUUCUUAUAAUCUUGCUUUAGGGAUUCUGGAGAAUAAUAUAAGGUGUCCAAGGCUUAGUAAAUAUGAAUCACCUUUCUUUCUCUGCCCACAAAAUACUACCAUGUCUUUAACAAGUGUUAUUAAUUUUAGAAAUUAGGAAAAAUUAAGCUAUUUGUACAUUAUGUAUAUUAACAAUUCUUCCUAGACCAGCCCUGGACAAAAUUCCAUUGCAGUCCCUAAUUUGUAGACCCAUCUUUCUUUCCUUCCUUUUGUUCCCUGGACCUUGCAGGUCCUCGCAGGAUAAUUCUAGCCCUGUGUUAUGUGGUGUUUGGAGUUCUUGGCCCCAUGUUUAGUCAGAGCAUCUCACCUGUGAGAACUGAAUGCCUCUAACUCUUUCUUCUCCCCAGCUCCUCUUCUCUCUGCCCCCUUCUGUUUGAUUCAGCCUUUCUCAUUUCUGGACUCUGCGUUUCUUCCUACUUUAGACUCUUACCCUCUCUUCACCCCUUUAUCUUCUGGGCUUCCUCUUUCCUCUCUCUGCCUCUCUGGUCUUCCCAAAGGGUUCUCUGCGUAAAGUUCUCUUCUCAGCUAUUGUGAUUUGGACCCUUGUUUCUUCCUGUCUUUCUGUUUAGGUUCAGAACUCAUUUGGGCUCAUGUGACCUCCUCAGUAUUAACUUUCUUUUCCUCCUGGGCUUCCCCCACCAGCCUGAGGGUGCUCACAGCCUUCUGUCCAGUGUGAUUUGUCAGAUUUAAGCCUUUCAGAUAAAGACUCCUUAUAGCCAUUCAGGUUCUUACCAGUGGACAUCAGUCGUUAUUCCAGUGGCUUCCAACAACCUUUCCUACCAGUCAGACCUGGGUAUUGUCUUAGUCGGUUUGGACUGCCAUUACAAAAAUACCCCAAACUGAGAAAUUUUACACAAUAGAAAUUUAUUUCUCUGGAGGCUGGGAAAUCUGGAAUGAAGGUGUUGCAGAUUCAGUGUCUGGUGAGGGCUGCUUUCUGUUUCCAAGAUGGCACCUUGUCACUGCAUCCUAUGGGAAGGACAAACACUGUGUCCUCACAUGGCAGAAGGGACUGAGGGGGACAUAACCUACCCUGAUAUUGAAGGUUCUGCCUUUAUGACUUAUUACCUCUUUAAGGUCCCACCUCUUAAUACUAUCACAUUGGUGGUGAAGUUUCAACAGAGGAACUUUCCAAUGUUCAAAUUAUAGCAGGUGUGUUACUGUCUUAGGAGAUGAAUGUGGGGAAAAAAAAUGAGGACACUUUCUACCCCUGAUUUCAGUGCUGCUGACAGACUACAAUGGCAGAUGGGGCUGGAGGCUCACCACUCUGCUUACCCUCUGCCUACCUCUUCUUGGAAGGGAAGGGAUUGUGCCUUCGUAGGACACCUCUUUUGUUACAGGGGCCUGUCUUUGGGCAACACUGAAAAAGGUCUCAUUCCUUUCAACCAAAGCACUGGGUACAGUAGCUAUUUAGGAGUUGGUUGAAUGAGUAUACAUUCACAUGCGUAAAAUUCUUUAAGAAACAUAUGGUUCUUAAGGCUAUAUCACUUCCAUUGGUCUAAAGAGAAGACUCUGGCUUCCCUAGUACGUUCUGCAAAGAUUCGGGGCACAUAACCACAAACAGUCUGGUUUCUCUUGGGAACUCUUCACAUAAUUGUCAUAAUGACUUUAUCAACCUUUUUUUUGAGCAUAUUUAAUUUUCAGCCUGAUUUUCUCUUGCAUUACAUGUGAGUCAGUAUUUAGGGUAGUUAACACACUUGGGUGCUAUUAAUGCUUGCGUAACCCACAAUCGGAGGAAGGUAGACCUUCAUUUACAAAUACAGAGGCUCAGAGAGCCUAACAAGUGACUUUCCCAAGCCCAUGAAACUGGAAAAUUCUGAAACUGAGAUUCGAACCAGGUUAGCCAGACUCCAAAGCCUGAGUUCUCUCAGGCCUUGAGAUUCCUCAGCAAGCCUUUACUGUAGAGAAAGAAACUAAUUCAGGUCCCAGAUGACCAGCAGGGAGCUCUAAAGGCCAUGUGCCCCAUCUCUGUGUGCUCCCUGUCUCCUGCCCCUGCCUUAGGGAGUCACACCAGGGAGCAGCCUGUCACUGCCUUUCCCCUUCUCUAGCUUGGAACAUCAAGGUCUUCCCAGAGAGGGCUCAGUCAUCUCACCCCCUGAAGAAAGUAGAGCCCCUGCAUUGGGAGAACAAACCAACAGAACACAAGGAUACCCUAGAAGACAGCAGAGCAUAUUUGUUGCCAGCCCCUUUGUAGCAGAGAAAUGUUCCAAGGUCUUGGUUUUUAGGCCAGACAAGUUUAGGCACAGCCAGCCUGUCUCCUCUGUGCCUUUCCACCCCUCCCCUGGCCAUAGUCACUGCUCAUCUGACAUGGCCAGGUCUGGGAGACCCAGCCACUCCAGUAUCUGGGCCUCCAGUGCUGAGUGAUCUCUUUCUUUGCUUCUCCUUUUUAAAAUUUGCCUUCUCCACCCUCUUCUCAAGCUGCUGAUUGCUGUGGUUCCUUUUCACGUGGAGCCCAAGGCUGGGGAGAUCUUGAAACCUGAGCUGGGUCCUGGAGGGCAUUGACCGCUAGUAACCCCAGCCAGCUCGCCUGCCUGAGGACGUCCCUCCUCGGCUUUCCGCUGCCCUCCCUUGUCCCCCUCCUCUGCUCCUCCCUCCCUCUCUUUCUGCAUCCCUUCUCCCUCAUGGCUCUCUGUUUCAGAGGUGGUGGCUGGCCUUGGCUGGGCAGGCUGCCUGGAGAGAAGGGAAAGAACACUAAGUGGCCAAGAAAGCAUCCCCUGGGGCAGGGCCUCGCCUCUCCACACCCCUUUUCCUGCCUGUGGAGCGCUUCCUUAGUGUGGGCAGAGAGGCCCGGCCUCUAUGGAUGGCGAGGAACUGAGGAUUCUGCCUAGCUCUUCCCCAGCCCACAACACACACAUUUCACCUGUUUGUUCUUUGUAGACACUGAGUUCUUUUUGGUUUUGCUUUUCCUUGCUCCUUUCCUUUGCUCUGCCACACUGCACUCAAGGCAAAAGUUUCUGGGGAAUUGGUAGGCCCCUAUUUGCUCUUCCAGGCAAAACCAAACCAAGAGGGCUGAGCUCAGUGGUACUUUGGUCAGUACUGAAGACACUGUGGUAGGAGAGCUGUCUUGGCCCUCUGCUGGAGAGCGACUUUCAGUCUUCCCUGAGGGAAGCAGGGACUCAGGUUUAUUUUAGCAAGUAUCCUGGCUCCCUGUCUCUGCGUCUGUGACAGUGGUCAUACCUUCUCAGUUUCCCAUGUAAAUACGUGAAGCCAGUCAGCCCUUCCCCAGAGCCAAGCACUUUCAUAUUUCUGAUUUUUGGUUUUCACAAUAAUUUGUGGAUAUUAUUAGCUUCAUGUUUACAUCCAAGGAAACUGAGGCCCAGAAAGACCAAGAAAAGGGGGAAAAGAGUUUCAUGUUACAGUUCAGCUCUUCUGAUGCUCUCUCCAGUUUUAAUUUGACCUUGUACUCCUCUCAGUACCACAAGUAAGAAUACCUCAGAGAUCCCACCCACAAGUUUUAUACACGACAAAAUCCAGGUCCAUGUUUGAUCAAACUUAAGUGACCUAGUACUGUCCUUUGCAUCAAGUAUUCCCAGUCGGCUGGGAAUGGCUGGUCUUUCUAGGUGGUCAUCUUCUACCUGUCUCCAUCCUUGCAGAGACCAGCAGAUAUGAUCGGUAGGAGUUGAUUCUCUGUAAAAUGCUAGAUUUAUUUGUUCUUUUAUAAAGUCCUGAAUAGACAAAUCAGUCUGCUUCAACCUUUCCUUUGCCUUGUAGACAGUAUCACCAGCAAGAAUUCGUCAAUUCUAUCAGCUCAGGAACUCAGCCAGGCAAAUACAAAAUGUGCCCGUACAUAUGCACACACAUACGUGUAUAAACGUAAUUGGACCAUGAAUUCAGCACGUCAGCAUAUUUGGCAGAGUCACUUCUCUGUUCCCAUCUCUUCUGCAUAUGCUUCCCUGACCUUCCCACCCUUAAACUAGGUUAGGGACCCUGUUCUGUGCCCCCAUAACAACCUGCAUUUAGGGUUAAUUUAGGUUUGAAUUUAGGAAUGAUAUUGGUCAUUCCUAGAAAGGCUGAUAAUAUCAUCCAUUCUUUUAUGGAGCAUCUUACUCAGUGUCAGGAACUAUCCUGGGCCUACAAGUAUGUUCUGUCAUUCGACCCCAAGCUCAGCCCAGUGAGGCAAAUGCCAGUGACAUUUUCAUUUCAUCAUGUAUUGACUCAGCCUCCCUCUGUUCUGUUCUCCGCUCUGCUCCCAGCUACUACUUAACCCGAUGUUUCUUCUCUUGACCUGCACUAAUGUGACCCAGUGGGCUUAGAGGAACUUGAGUUCCAUCUGCGGUAGCUUUCCCUCCAACCCUCCACAGUGGCAGUUUCCCAGAUCACAUCAAUUCAUUAAUUUAUUCACUCAUUUGUAUUUGUUCGUUUGUUCAUUCAUUCAUUCACCGAGUGCUCCUCUGUGCCAGUCAUUGCUGGCUUUGGAGUUACAAAUCCUGGUCUUCAACACAUUUUUAGUGUUCUGGGAGAAAGAUGUACACACAACUAAAGCUUUAGACAACUAAAGCUUGAUCUGUACAGUAUUUUGGGAAAAUGAAGUUGCUGUCAGGAGACAGAAGAGGGUUGCUAACCUAGUUUGAAGGUGGGAAGGUGGGAAGUUCAGGGAAGGCUUCCUGGAGGUGGUGACUCAUGGGCCCAGUCAUAAAGGAGUGAGAGAAGGAUGGCCGCUUCAGACAUCUGGUGUUCACACUAUUCUUGGCUUCCCCACUUGUUUUCCAGUAGGUACAGAGCCACCCUGCUCUGUCCUCGCACACACACCCGUCUCCUCUCUUCUUCCUCCCUACUUCUGAAAUCUUAAGUUUUGAGGAAUCUCUUCUCUUUAAAUUUAUUUGCUAUUUUAUUCAUUCAUUCAUAAACAAUUAUUGAGCACCUAUUGUGUGCACAGCACUCUGAGUACAUGAGUACAGGAUGACUUCAUCCUUGCCAUCAGGGGAGAUCUUACUCUUUCCUUAGCAGCUUCUGGGGAUUUUGGGCUGUUGGGUUCUUUCUAGAACUUGUCCCCUGCAAUUCCCAUGAAGCACUUGCAGAUAAACCUCACCUUGGACAAAUGCUUCUAUUAAUUCUCUUCCUUGGGCUUUCUUAUCUCUUCUUUUGCUCUCUCGAGUCAAAUGUGCCUCUUUGUCUUCCUCAUCAGCCCAGAAAGUUCCUUGAAGGCAGGACUGUGUCUUCGUCUUCUUUACAGUGCAUCGUUGUACAGUGGUAAACCUGAAGGAAAUCGUUUCUUCAAUAACAAAAUAUUACCACUUAUUAAGCACCUGUCAUGAGCCAGCUGCUCAUUAUUCAUGCUUUACAUAUGAAUCUCUCCAGUCCACACGUCUUCAAUAGGUGGGGGCUGUUACAUUCAUUCAUAGGCAGGAAAAUUCCAUCUCAGGAAGCUAAGUGACCUUCUGUGGUCAUAUAGCCAAUUCAUGGGAGUGGGUACUACUAAAUUUAGGCUUUUCUAGUUCUAACCCCUGAUUUUUUCCCCUCUGAAUAUUAUUGUUUUUCAAACUUGGUCAGAGUCACCUAGAAAGUUUUUUAAAAAUUCUGAUAUGCCUGAGUCUUACCCCUGGCAGUUCUGAUUAGGCAUUCUGGGGUGUGGCCUAGGCUUUGGGAUUUUUUUUGUAAAGCUUCCAGGUGAGUCUAGCAUGCAGCCAAGACUGAGAAUCAGCUUACAGUACCACGUUGCCUUCCUGUGUCCACAUGAGUGCAGCUGUCAGGGGCAAUGUGAGACUGAGCCAGCAUGUGUAGAUAUCCAUGUGACCAGACUGUGAGUUCUUCAUAGCCAGGGCUCUUUGGCCCUCUGUGCCGCUUCCCCACCCGGCCAUCCUCCCACACCACGCACGUGCACUGACAAAGGUUGUUGACUAUUUAACCAGCCUCUUGGUUCUUGUGCCUCGUCCAGGGGAUAGGCGGUUAGAGUUUGAUCACAUCCAGCUGUUUUCAUCCUCAGAGCCUGUUGACAUAACAGAAGAGUCUUAUAAACAUGCUGAGCACAUUUGCUGGUCCCAAGAGUGUUGGUGGAUGACCUAGACCCAUUGAAAGUGCAGUCUGGGUCAGCCUCCCACAUUUCUGCCGCCCUUUGUGGGAAGGAGGGGGUUGUUCUGCAGUUCCUUGGCACAGUGCUUGUGCGCUGCCCUGGCUCUGCUUGGGAGGAGUGUGUGGCUGAACCGGUUGAUGAGUUAGUUCACAUGUUUAUUUUGUUCUGUCAAGGGUUUAUGGGGACUCUUUUUGGCCCCUCAAUUUUGGGAGUAAGGCAGUGCAAGCACAACUAGGUGAAAUGACCUGGUAAACAAAGAUGCAGAACCCCCCAGGUUUCUGACUUGCUGGUGGUUUUUUUUUUUUUUUCUGUUGCUGUAGGAUAGUCGGUGUUGGCCUUCUCAUGCUAGGCCUCAACUGAAGUUGCCACAUACCUACCACUUUCCUUCCUGUUUACCCCUGUCACGGGUAAACAGGAAGUCCUGGAUCACUUUCUGUCCCUAGGAAGGCUGUUCUAGUGGCUCAAGGUCCUGGGGUAUGGCUUCGGGAUGGUCCUGACUUCCCUAGGCUCUUCCUGGGCUUGCUCAGAGAUGGAAGGAAAUCUGGGCUGUUGCUCAGAUACUUGUGAAUCUUUUCAGUCCUAAUCCCAUCUCCUGGUAUUUAUUAUUUAGCUGUCAUUCACUGAACGGUAAUUCUGUGCUGGGCCCUGAAAUGGGAAUUGGGGACACUAAUAAAACACAUAUUCUUUGACCUUAUGGGCAUGGUCUAGUGGAGAAGCAUGUAAGUAAAACAGUGUUUCUUAAAACAUGGCUCUCCGACCCCCUUCCUUAGAAGUACUAGGCAGUUAAUUAAGAUGUAGACUUGUGGGCCACCCUCUCCAGAUCCAUUUUUAGAAUCUGUAAGGAUUGGACCCCAAAACUGCAUUUUAGCAUACUCCCCUAAGUGAGUUUUAGGUGCAGUCUGCAUCAUGUGUGAGGGGGAACACCAGGCUGGCGGCAGUUUGCAGGAGAACCUAUUCUGAGAAAGACACUAAAAGGCCCAGGAAGCUUCUGGGGGUCAUGAGGAAUCCCUAGGAGCUGGUUACGUAGGUGUCAUGGAGAAUCAUUUCUCUAGAGAUGCGAAUCUUUCUUAGUUAUUUUUCUAGAACUCCAUACAGUAUUACUGAAAUUUGCUUAAGGCAGAACAUGCCUGGAUCACACAGCUCUAAUGGAAAUCAGCAUGAUAUGUAGGGUCCUAGCUGCUACUUUAUGUCUGGGCUUGACCCUCUUAGUGUAGGAUUAACUCACUAAGCCUCACACUGGAACCCUGUGGUCAGAUCGGACCUCUUCAGGUGAAUCAUUUGUGUUUGUAAAGUUUGCCCCCUAGAGGUCAAUUUAUGUCUGGGCCUGGGCAAGUGACUGCCCAGCCUGCCUUGAGGUCAUGAUGAGCUGGUUUUAUCUUGAUUGCAAACAAGAAUUUAGACUAUUAGGAGGAUGGGGUGGAAAGAGAAGAGGUAGACAGUCAAAUGAAAUAAGACUGGGAAAGUGAUAUUAUUUCAGAGUCAGAGAGCCCCUCCAGGCAUCUGCUUAGAAAUCUCUUGUUUUGGAGGUGAAGAAACUAAGGUUCAGAACAAUGGCCUGAAAUACCCAUGUGACAUGGUAUCAGAAACAGCCUCCAAAUCUAGGCUCUAGAAUUCCGGGUUCCUGACCAGUGCUUUUUCUGAUUUGCAUCACUGGAUUGAAGCUUUUUCUAAAUGUACCUGGCUGGAGAGCUUAUUGUUUAAUAGGAAUCUAUAUGAAACCCUUUAGCAAGUGAAUUAUUUGGUAGGGUGGAUUUAAAAAUAUAUGCCUAUGUAUUGUUCUAAGGCAUGGCAAGCCUGGGCUUUAGAGCCUAACAUCACAUGUUUUGUUUCUAAUUAAAAUGGGACCAGGAGAGUGCUUUGAUAUGCACCAUGUGUACACCAGUGGUCCCUGGCAGGCAGCAUCAAAUAUCCCCUGGAAGCUUGUUAGAAAUGCAGGUUCUCCAGCCCCAUCCCAGGUCCACUGAAUCAGAAAUUCUGGGGAUGGGGUCCAACCGUCUGUUCUGUCCCACUAGUAAUUCUGAUGCACAUUAAAGUUUGAGAACCAUUGCCAGCUCCAUGAGAUCUGCCCCUAUGGCUUAUGGAAUAAGCCUUUAAAUGGCUCAGAUUUUAGCUAUGGGAGAUGGUUCCGGGGAGACAGGAGUGGUGGGGGUUGAUGUCUCAAAUCUCUGGUGGAAAGGAUGAGAUCAUUUAAAAGAUUGGGCUUUUUGUUUGUAAAGCAAGGAGAGGCUGUGUGUGUGACAGCACUGUGGCACUGUGUGAGUCUGGGAGCAAGACUCCACUAUCAGAAGGCAGUCUCUUCCUGUCUCUCCUGAUAAGGCAGAGCUCCCCUAGCUCAUUUCGCUGUGUGCUUAAGCCAGAAGCCUGUGCUCAUCAAUCAGUUUAAAACAAGGCAAUCAAUAGUAUGAUAUUUUUCUCCACCUGCCUCGUAGUGCUUUUUGUUUUGUUUUGUUUUGAGUUACUUAUUAAAUGAAAACAAAACACCAUUUUUUUUUUUUUGAUAGGCUUGAAGCUUCAGGAUUUCCUGGUGGACAAUGAAACCUUCUCUGGAUUCCUGAAUCACAAUCUCUCUCUACCAAGGCCAACUGUGGAGAAAAUGCUGGGGGCUGAUGUCAGUCUGCAGAAGGUAAGUGGCCGCUUCACUUCCUCAGCCGGCUGAUGGCAGUUACAUUGUUUGCCUAGAAAGAAAGGAAUAAACCUCUCUCUUUAUAAUGAUGGUGAAGGAAGAAGUUAGCUCGAAUUCAUCUUCACCUAAUGUGACUUCUGGAGGAGGCUGGGCAUCAUGAAACCCUCCAGAGAGCAAAAUGUGCAGCCUGGCGUCAAGGGCCGGCUGGUUGAAAUAAAACUGAUUUACUGUCCGUUGGUUGGCAUUUAUGAUGACUUCCUCCCAAAAGGGUUACAUUUUAAGUUCAGAUGAAUUAAACUUUCUAAAAAAAUAAAUUUCACAGUUCUGAGAUAAGAACCAGGGUUAAGGAUUUUUGACCUGGAGAGAUUCUGUCUAUAUAAUCUAAGACAGGAGAUUUAAAAAGCAUAAUGCUGCUUUGAAAGAGAGCAAAGAUAUAUAAGGAGAGUUUUCUUUUUAAAUGUAUAAAAGCAGGAAGUAAUAUUAGAGUUUAUACGGAAUUUUAACCUUAGAUUCUUCGAGAAAGAACUUCCUGUGGCAUCGUUAAUUCUCAUGGAGCUCCUGCGCAGAUGACCUGGUAUCGAUUUUUCAGAGAUGCUUCUCAAGUGCAUUCUCUGGCAGGAAGGGAACUGCUUUCUUACCCGGUCUCAUGUCUGCAUAAUAUCUUGUCUUUACAAUAAGCAGAAGUAGUGGAAAUGUUUAUGUUUGAAAGUAAGGUCUUUGCUUCACAAGAUCCAGAAUUUUUAAAAUUAGAAAAAUGUGCUUACUGCUUGCCCUUAUGAAACUAGGAAAAUAUGCCUUGUGUUUACCAAUUGUGUGGCUGGGAGGUGGGCCAGAGGCAGCAAGCUUUUGAAAAUGGUUGUGUUUAGCACAAUUUCCAUUGUCCCCUGCCAAUUCCAUAUCUGUCACAUCCCAUCAGUUUAGAAUAAGGGGCAUCCUAAGCAUGGAGGUGGUCCACACAUGGUGGUUAGUAUUUCUGAGUUGUUGGUGUUCUUAAACACAGACACUAAAGGUAGACUGGCAGCCUGGCGGCAAGAAUUGGUUAAAGAAAGGAGUAAAACAGAAGUGCACUUGAGGAUCUGGCAUAGGUAAAAAUUUAUUGGAAACCGUGGCAGGCCAAAUACUCUGCAGUUUAUUUGAGAAGCUUUUGGCCCAUCACUCACAUUAGGUUGUUCUAUUAGCAAGACAGGCUGCAUUUAUUUAAACUAAUAGGGAAGUUAGUAACUCUACAUAUAAAAAAACAGCCUGUAUCAUUCAUUCAUUCAUUCAACAAAUCUUUAUAGACUCUAGUGUUCCAGUUCUAUGAAUACAAAGUCAGUACUGAAAGUCAAGGCCCUGCUUUUUACAAAGCCUUCUGUCUACAGGGGAAUAAGGACCAAGAAGCACAAUUUAUUCAAGACUAGGACAGCUAAUUAAGUAAACAAAAAAAUGACCAAGGAGAGGCUUCCUAGUGGGUUUGCUAUUCUGAAUAGAUAAGAAUGACUUAAACUGGCCUAUCAAUGAGAUGAUAGGAGGUCCAACUUUCCAAUAAAUUCCAGUAAAUUUAUUUUCCAGUAAAUUCCAAAUUCCAAAUUCUGCCUUUAGUUCUGUGCAUUGAUUAAAUAUCUAGACCUGUAGACAAAUCAUAUUUUUUUUUCAGAAUCCACCCCAAUCCCAGUUUAAGAAAUCAUAAAUUCCAAAAUAGCAAGGAUGUUUUACUCUAAUAAAAGUGGUUCCAGGAGUUCAGAUUCUGGAUUCCUAUUCACUGAAUCAUGUGUCCCAGCACUGAAAAAAAGAGUUGGAUUCAGAGUUGGAUUUCUCUCUGCAAGAGGGACGAGAAUGUGGAAGAUACUAAGUCAAACACAUCAUGCAGGUUUAAAAUGUGCUGUCAGAUCAUGCCAUGAUUUAUUCUGAAAUUCAGAAAAAAGACCCGAUGCCUUAAACUAUCAUCAGCAGUGCUCCUUUUAAGACCUUCAAAGCUGUACCUGUGGGAAGCACCCCAAGGGCUUCAAGGACCCUGCUUCCCAUCUUUGUAAUCCCAUUUCACUUGUCUCUCUUUGCAUGAAUAUUUCCAGGUAUUUUUGCAAGGUUACCAGUUACAUUUGACCAAUCUGUGCAACGGAUCCAAAUUAGGAGAAGUGAUUCGACUUGGUGAUGCAGAAGUUUCUGAGCUUUGCAGUCUACCAAGGGAGAAACUGGAUGCGGCAGAGCGAGUGCUUCGUUCCAACAUGGACAUCCUGAAGCCAAUCGUGGUGAGUGGACUUACUCUGUGGAAAAGAAGCUUCACGUGCUAAUAAUGCUAUUGGAAUGUGAACUUUUUCCUUGGACAACAUGUCUUUGUUUUUGUAGAAACAUAGGGCUGGCUGGGAGUUUGUGAUACUGUUUAGCCAAGUGGUAUUUUAAGUGUGAAUGAGGGAAGGAUGUGCAGGGUGUGGCUAAGUCCAAGCCCAAGGUCCCUUGUGCCCAUUUCAAUCAGAGAAGACCUGCUUUUUCAUGUUUUUCAUACUAUAACUAUGAGUCAGAGUUCUUUUGAAGAAAGCGUUCCCUGGAUUUUUUUUUAAGUCUCAAAACCAUUGAUGGGAAGAUGGCUAUUUAUAGGUGCUUUAAAAACACUCAGAAAGGAGAUACAGUAGGCUGUCACAGUAAAACCCUGGAAUUAGAGGGGACCACACCCAGUAAUUAGCUUAAUCAAUGACAAAAUUGUAUCCAAAGGAAAAAAUCCCAACAAAAUUUGAUCAGCUCAGGAAUCCAUUGUUCAGAGAAGCACUCCAUGAGAAUACACAUUCCUUUUUAACCAAAUCAUGUGGAUGAGCAUGAGCCUGUAGAUAGGAAUUCAAGAAUAAAAAUGUCUCUGGGUUUUCUGAGAGUUCUGGUGAAAUGCCCAGAUAUCACUUAAUGUUCAGGAUUCAGGUUUCCUACUUAACAGAGAGUAAGCUGAUUUGUCAGUAAGUUCUCUUAAAACCAGGAAAAGAGCCCUGGAAUAAGAAUGUGCCUGAAAAGAGAGAUUCUUUAUUAUUAGAAAAUGAAAUUAUAAUUCUCUUGGACUUUGUGUGCCAUGACUUCUCUAUAGAGAGUUGGGUCUUCCCUGGGGAGGGUGGUCCUAAGAAUAUGCAGUUUCUGGACCCUGUGCCUUGGAUGUGACCUUAGAAACACAUCUCAGGUUAUGGACUCUGGACUGACCAUUGAGAAAUUCUUAUAUACUGCUCAACCCUAUGAUGCUGCAGCCCCUUCCUGAGGAGAAGGUUGUAGGAACACUGUGAGGUUCUAGGUGCCUCUUGGCGGACACUCAGCUCAGUCUUUAUGACCAGCUUAUGCCUGAUGCUUAAGAACACCUUUUAUUUUAUUCCAGAGGUAGUACAUUCUAUUUCAGUUAAAAAAGAAAUAAGCUUAGUGCUUUGUUCAAUGGUCUGUGAUUCUCUUGGCUAAUGUUUCUAUAUUAUAAUUUCAAGUAAGAUCUAUUUUUUUCUUUUCUUUUUUGGUACUGGGGGUUGAACCCAGGGGUGCUUAACCACUGAGCCACAUCCCCAGCUCUUUAUUAUUUUUUUAAAUGUAGAUAGGGUCUCGCUAUGUUACUUAGGUUCUUGCUAAAUUGCUUUGAACUUGUGAUCGUCCUGCCUCAGCCUCCCAAGCCAUUGGGAUUAUAGGCGUGUGUCAAUGCACCUGGCUUGAUCUAUUUCUUUAUGGGGAUGUUUGAAGCCCCAAGUAACAUCCCUAAAUUUUAGAUAAGCUCACUUGUGCAGAGAUUUGCAGCUUACUAGCAUUUUUCACUGUGAGACAUAGAAAGUCAGGGUUAUUACAAAUGGUACAAAAGGUUGGGGUACAAAACCUUUCCUUGGACUGCUUUUGGCUUCUUCACUUCACUACAAGACAGGAAUGUUCAUCCUUCAUAUUUUAGAAAGAUGAGUGUUUUUACAAGACAUAGUAAUUUAUUCUGGUGCUCCUUCAUUCUGUUUUACUUCUGUUUACUCACUAAACACCUGUUGUAUACACAACCCCAGUACAGAAAUCCACCCAAUCACAUAAUGUCUGAAUUACACUCAGAGAAGAAUGCUGACAAUUAACAGCUCAGCUUUCAAGUUGAAAUUCCUCUCCAUUUGGGACAAUCAGCAACAUGACAAGUACCUGGAGAGGGACCUUCAAACCUGUCAGCCGCGUUGCAUCCCAUCUGCUUGUGUGGUGGCUGUACAGGUGUUGACUAAGGUGGCUGGAGGACGCUUGCAGCACAUCUCCUGGGUGUCCAGAACAUCUGGGGUUCUGCUUCUGCCCCUCUGCUCUUGCGGAGAAACCUGUCUUCAUAAAGUCAGAAGAUGGGUUAGUGAUGAGUUAUUCUGAGUGGUUUGGAUUGUUCUGUGGAAAGAUGAUUUUGGAGGUUGCCUUUGAAAUAAAAUGACUUUCUAACAUUUUGGGAUGUUAUUUAUUGAAUUAAGCCCAGUGUUAAUUGGAGUCCCUGGACUGAUAUUUGAUUUUCAGUAAGCAGGCUUUUCUUCCUGUCACUUGGUUGCAAUUUUAACAUUUGUGAUGGUAGAUGUAUGUGACACGUGACAUCAUCGAACGUGGCCAGUUAAUUAUGCCAAGAACUACAACAGAAGCAGCAACCAGAUGCCAGGGACAGCAUCAUGGGGGGAAACUUCUGUCGAUAUGUGUUUCUGUACCAAAAGGGAAUCAUCAGGAGGGACAUAUUUUGAAACAUUUUUUCUCAUUUAAUUAUUUUUUAAUGUGGGUGUUUCCUCAUUUUUCAGCCAAGGGUAUUCUGAGUCUUUUUCCUGGGCCUCUUCCAGUCUCUGAAUGACUUCUGGAAAAAUAGUGUUGGGACAAAAUGGGGAAGUGUGGCAGAGUUGGAAGGGCUGUGGGCUUGGGGUCAGCUCACCUGGGCUCAAGUGCUGCUUCUGCUGUUUCCUGGAAUUGACCUUGAAAAGAUUAUUUUAACCUCAGUAGGCCUCAGCUUCCACUCCUUUUACUUGUAGAUAAAUAUAUGCUAAUCUUUGCUGUGAUUAUCGGCCACAUAUAUGAAGAGCCUCGAAUGGGACUUGGUACAUAAUAGGUGUUCAAUAAGUAGAAACUGAUCAUUUAAUUGACACAAUAUUAAUUAUGUGCUGAAAAUAAUUGCUGGUAAGAUAGACAUUUCCUUCCAUAGAUCAGUGUAGGGAAUCAUAGUUAUACCAAGGAAGGUGAUCCUGGAGAAUAUUUCCAUGAAAAACACAUUUUUUGUCCAGAUAUUACCCAAACCUCUCACCCUAUAGAGCCUUAUUUAUAUCUGUGCUGCAAUCCACACCUCACAUGAAAAUGAAUCCUGGAUGGUGGAGUGCUUCAAGUUUUCUACGGUUAAGAGAUGUUUUUAAUUAAUAUUUUUCUAUUUUUUACUUAAAAAAUAUUCAUUCAUAGAGUGAUAUUUAUUGCUUAUUAUGUAGCUGGAUUAGCUGAGAUCCUCAAAAAAUAUGGCUUUCUAUAUCAAUGUUUAUAGAAACAUAAUUCACAGUAGCUAACCUAUGGAGCCAGCCUAAGUGCCCUUCAACAGAUGAAUGGAUAAAGACAAUGUGGUAUAUAUGCACAAUGGAGUAUUACUCAGUCAUAAAGAAUGAUUUUAUGACAUUUGCCAGUAAAUGGUUGAAGUUGGAGACUAUCAUGCUAAGUGAAAUAAGCCAUUCCCCAAAGUGAAAGGUAGAAUGUUUUCUCUGAUAUGCAGAAGUUAAUCCAAAAUAAGGGGGGUGGAAGAUUUUAAAAAAAAAGAAUAGAAGAAAAAUCGGUGGAGUAGACAAAAGUGAAUGAAGGGAAGGGAGAAGGAAUGGGAUAGGGAAAGACAGUGGAAUGAAUCUAUCCUAACUUUCCUAUGUACCUAUGUGAAUGUACCACAGUACAUCUCACCAUAUAUGCAUCCACAAGGCACUAAUUUAAAAAAAAAAACUAUAAAAAAAUAGAUCAGUAUCGGAGAGGGAAAGGAGGAGGGAGGAGGGGAAGGAAAGAGGAAGUACUGGGGGCUGAAUUAGAACAAAUUAUGUUACAUGCUUUUAUAAUUAUAUCAAAAUGAAUCCUGUUGUCAUGCAUAACUAGAAAGAACCAAAAAAAGAAAAAGAAAAGAAAAGAAAGAAAGAUGGCUUUCUGAUGGGUGGGUUCAUACAUGAAAUAUUACCUCUGGGUCUAAGGAAGGCUCAUGUCACUGAGUGUUUUUCCUGUAGUAGGAGCUCAGAGCCACCUGGCAACCACAGGUGGCCUUCUCCCGAGGUCCUUCCUGAAGCAGCACACAUCUUUCCCAGAGAGCAGACAGAAGUGUUUGUGGGGACCUCCCUAUGUUGCCCCUCAGUCACCUCCACUCCGUUUUGGAUGGCGGGAAGGAGCCAUAAUAGUGGGUCAGCAAAUUUUAGGAGGAGUGAUUUAUUUGUUUCUCUUGUUGAGGUCCUUGCUGGUUGUAUUGGUUUAUCUCUUGCUGUUAUAAUAAAUUAGCAUACACUUGGCAGCUUAAAGCUAUUUGCAUUUAUUCUCUAACAAUUCUGAAGGCCAGAAGUCUGGAUUCGGUGGAGGUCCACCUGUGAUCAGUUAGGAUCUCACUGACUGAAAUCAAAGUGUUCUCAAGGGCUCUGCUCUUCUCGGAGACUCUGAAGAUGAAUCUGCUUCAGAGCUCAUUUAGCCUGUCAGCCAAAUUCAGUUUUUGGUUGUUGUUUUUUUUUUUUUUGUAGCUGUAGGAAGCAGUCCCUGUUUCCUUGCUGGCUGUCAGCUGGGGGGCUGGGCUUUGCUCCUGUAGGCACCAGUCCCUUCUCAUCCUUUUCAUGUGGCCCCUAUUCAGCAGGUGGGUUGAAUCCUCUCACACUUUAACUCUUACUUCUCCUUCUGCGGAAUCUUUCUGCCUCUAGUCAGAGGAAGUUCUGUGCUUCUAAGUUUUCAUGGGAUUAGCCUGCCCAUCCAGAUAAUCCAGGAUACUCUCUUUAUUUUAAGGUACACACUUCAAGUACAUCUACAAAGCACAUUUUGCCCCAUAAUGUCAUGCAUUCACAGAUUCCAGAGAUUCAAACAUCCUUGGAGGAACAUUCACCUGUCACAAAGGCCUUUUGAUUGGAGGGUGUAUCUCAUUAUGUCUUUGAAGUGUUCCUCCGUGUCCUAGACUUGUACUGAUUCCUUGUCAGCUCUCUACUUUUUCUUGCCCAUAUUCUGAGAGUGACAAAUUCUACCCAGUAAGGUUUUUAAUGCACAGAACAAAGAGAGGUGGGAAGCAGAGCAUGAGAACCAGGCAGGAGAUUUUCAACCAACAAAACCCAACGAAUGUUCCUGGGAUGCUGCUUUGCACCAGGCACUGUUUAGGGACUGAAGGUACAGCCAUGGAAAGGCAAGUGACACACAUAUGGACCCUCUAGUAGGCACUGAGAACUAGCUUUAAGGCUGCAACUGGGCAUUUGAGGAAUUCUUCACAGGUUUUGGGGGUGUGAUUGUGAGGACUGCCCUCUCACUCUACUUUCAAUGAUGACCUCCCAGCCAACUCCCUGAUGGCAGUCUUUGACAACAUGGGACACUGAGAUGCAGCGGGAAGAAUGUGGGAUGGGAGUUAGCCAGGUUUGGGUGCUGGCUCGCCAUUGUCUCCAUGAUGUGAAAAUGGUGUCUGAUCCCUGAGGGUGGAAGGACAGAUUUAAAGAUUACCGUCCUUCAUUGCAGUAACAACUCAGAUAUUGCACACACAACUACAUGCACUGAUUGCCUUGACCUCUGUUGGUACCUUCUGCCUUUUUAAAAGGGAGAGUUUUGCUUCUUUGGAACAAAGAGUUCUGUUGGAGUGUCCUUUGGUGCCAGCAGCCCACCCCAGCAGGGCAAAAGGUGUCUCAUAAGUGAGGGUCCCCUGAGGCCCCGGGACCAGUGGUCUCACUGCUGGGCUGUGGAUAGGUUGAAGGGGUAUAUGGGUAAGGGAUGGAUAGUCAUCCUUUUCUUGAGGGGUCUUUGUUCAGACUCUUCUUUACUCUUAGACAAGGACUUGGAAUCUAGAUGGGGCUUGGGUUACCUUCUGUCUCAUGGCUGCCCAGGGCCAGAUCCCUCACCUUGUUACAUGGCUUCUUGCAGGGGAGAACACUUGCUUUUCCUCUCCUCCUGCCUGAAACUCAGAUACUUGUGGACAGGAUCAGAUUUUGUUCGGCUUUGUUUGAUUUUACUGCCCACCUGUUUACAAAAUAGGAUUUUACCCUGGAAGCAAUUGCGGUCCUCAUCAUUGGGUGUCUGGUGCAGCAACAUGCAGUGUGGAUUUAUUCCUUAGCCUCUGUGUUCACCUGAUUCCCACGGGAGAAGGAGAACAAAGAACUGAGGGAUGAAGUGGUGAAUUCAGCAUUUGUGUUGGUACGACUACUCAACACCAUCUGCACAUUUUUGCCUCAAUUACAUUAUUUUGGUCCUUGAAAAAAAAAAACCUAUCAUUUAUAAAAUAAAGGUUUGAUUUUUGUCUUGAAUCAUGCUGGUAAAUACACCUAAUCGUGUUUAGAAGCAGCACAAAGAUGAAAUAUUUUAAUGCAUGAAGUACCACAAAGGUAAAAGUUGAUAUUUAAGUUGUUGAGUUGUUUUUUGGAAUAUUAAUACCUUCCUCAGACAUGACUUUUAUCAUUUCCUACUUUAACUAAAAAAAAAAUUAAGAUAUCCCUCAAAGGAAAUUUUGCUGUCAUAGAAAUCAUUGGAAAGAGACAGUGACAGUCUUUGUACCUGGUAGGUGACUGACUUAUUUUCAUUUUGAACUAAAACAUAUUAAAUCCUAGCCCUAAGUCGGAUUUUCUGCAUAUGGAAAAAAAUAAGAAGAGAUUUGCAUUUAUUUUGUGAAGGUAUUUAAGGGAAAUUGGAAAUGUCCCAGUGAUCACAUUGUCAUGUACGAUUAUAGGAGGAAAACAAAAUUGUAUUGAAAAUAUGAUUCAAAUAUAUGCACACUUACAUCUCACUUUAUUUAGUAGCGGAGUUUCUGAAAAAUUGGGAUGUGGAUAUGAUUUUGUAAAUUGAAAAUAGUUUUCGAUUGCAUUUUAAUUUCAUGGAUGUUCUGUCCUCUAUUUAUAUUUGUGUGACUUCUAAUGCAUUGGCAAUAUUCUUUUCCAGUUUUCAUUUUAUGUAGUGGUAAUCUGUAAACAAGUUCCUUCAUUCAGCCAACAUUUAUUGAGUCCUAAUCAGUGCUGUACAUGGGGCCGGGGAGGCAGUGGUGUGGAAAUAUAGCUCUCUCUGAAUUUCUGUUCUGUGGGACAGACUAGGAAACGAGCCCAUGCUGUGUAGGGCCACCGGGGCUCAGCUAGGCGCUGUACAGGGCCUCUUAACCCAGCUGCAAAGGAUCAGGAAAGAAGCAUCCUCUACUUAGGCACCUGAAGAGUAGAUCUUAGCUGGGUAAGGAACAGGGAAUAGAAUGUUCCAGGCAAGGACCUGGUAUACACAUGGGUCCAGAGGGAGAGGGGAGAGGGGAGAGAAGGUGGCUUUCAUGGGGAGCUGCACAUGAGAAUGAAGAAGAUGUAGCUAGGGAAAGCUUGUAGCCAGGGGAAGGUGGCACAUGGCAGUUUGAAGCAGGACUGGCACCAGCCCAUCUAUCACCUCAUCGAGGUACUCUUCCCUUCCUUUUAACUUUUCUUCUGCCCCCAUUUGCUGGGUGCCUGGCUCUGAUACUUAGGUGAUGUGUCAACGGCCCUAAAAUAAAAUAUCCACUCAAAAUAUAAAGCAAAAUCGACUUUGCUAGGUUAUUGCCUUCUUCCACUUUUCAAUCUUCAAUGACUUAACUGUUAAGCUAGUGAGGAUAGGAAGAAUAUAAUGAAGUCAGUGGUGAGACCCAGGAAGGAUGGAGCACAGUGGCCUUUGUCAUGUUGGGGCAUGGUCAUCCUAUUAGUAAAUGUUAUUCUGUUGUGAUGAACAUAUUUUGAAGAAGCGGGUGUGGAUUUUUGAGUAAUACAAUAAGCAUUUGUGUUUUAUUCCCCUGAAGAUAUUAUGGUGUUUAGUUAUAAUGUAAAUAUAUUAGAUAAUAUACGAAUUCCUGUUAGCACAGGAAGUAUAGUCCAUACAUAAAGGUCUUGUUCCCCCUAAUCCCCUUUCUUUACUCCAUACAAGAAAAUCAUUUGCCUCCUGUGCACAGUGAGACCCCAUGCAUGAGUUCAUAGCGUAGAGAAUGUUUUUGGUUAGGAAAAAAUAACAGGAGGAAUUUCAAGUUGUGAAUUAUUGACCAGAGCACUUUGAGAAUAUGAUUUGGCAUGCUUUGUCCCCUUUGUCAAGGAGGAGUGUGUGCCACAGACCACAGUUAAGAGUGGGUGCCGACAUGAUUCUCGGAUUUUGUUUUGUAAUCUAGUUUCAAGGCUUGAGUUAAUUCCUGGGGUUAAAUUUUCUUCAAGGAGCCCGGCUGUCUUUCAGGUCUGAUGUGUGCUCAGGCCAACAUAUAUUCUUUACCCUUCCUGCGUUCCUAUCCAAGCAUCUUCCUUCUGUUAGCCUUUCAUUGAAUUAAAAAUCAGGAAAUAUUUUAAACCUAUAAAACAGUAUAGAGAAUAAUAUAAAGAAUACCCUUAGAUUACCAUUCAUCAUUUUGUCACCCUUGCUUCAGAUUCUGUUCAAGAUAACAUGGUAGAUUCAGCUGAUUCCACCUGUAUAUAUCCCUGUCUCUUUCUUCAGAGAGAAUCCCUGUCUGAGCUGCGUGUUUUCAUACUUCAUUCCAUAUGUACUUACAUUCUGUCAAUAGUAGAUAAAGCCUUGGCUUGCAUGCAUUCACAUUGGGUAAAUGUGAUAUUGAUCUGCCCUGCCACUGGUCCUUUUUAUUAAAUAUUAUCUUUUUGAGAUUUAUCAGUGUUGAUAGAUGUAGCAUCUGCCUCAUUUUAUCGGUUGCAUGGUAUCCCAUUUUUAUUCUAAAAAAAAUAAAUCCAUUCUUCUAAUCUUCAGUUUGUUUUCUUAGGUGUCUUUGUUUAUGUAUCUUUUGUGUAUCUAUUGUUUAUGGUAUCUUUUGAUGUACAGUUUUUACUUUUAAAAUGUGGAUUCAUUUUUUUUUCUUUUUGGUUGGGGUUUUUAAUAUUUUGUUUAAGAAAUUCUUCCUUUCCCCAACUUCAUAAGUUUAUUAUCUAAUAGUUUUUCCUAUAUAUUUUGAACUUUUCACUUUUACUUUUACCUCUUUAAUCUAACCAAGAAUUUAUUUUUGAAUAGGAGUGUGAGAUGAAAAAUAUUUUAAUUUCUCUUGUACAAAUAGCCAGUUGACGCAGCAGUAGUUAUUGAAUAGCUUAUCCUUGCCCUGUCAGUUUGUAGCAUUCAUUUUGAUGAUUUGUGUCAGCCUCUUCUCUGUAUUUUAUAGUGUCCAGGCACAGAAAAGUAAAGUGAAGUCUUGAGCAAAAUAUCUGAAUAAUCCCAGCUUGAAAUUUGAAUUUUGUCAACCCAUGCCUCUAUAGGUAGCUCCAAUUAGCACACCUUUAAACAUGGAAAUUUGCAUGUAUUGUCACUACUGUUGAAGAAUACUGAGCAUUUUUUCUUAAACAAGCAAUUAGUGUAAAAGGAUCCUUAUAAUGGUGUUGACUGCUCUACCUCAUUAUUUAUGGAUAGGCUCAGACACUUCCUUUGUUUAGAGACCAGAAUCAAAAUCAGUCCAUCAAACAAGCCAACAGAGCAAAGUACAGACUAGUGACAAUAAAACCGUAUCAUAGGACAUGGUUUCCAUAAAGGUCUGACGUCGACAGCAGAUUUAGUGAGGUUCUUGUGUUGAUAUCCAUGGUCAGUUACACUCCUGGGUUGAACAGUCAUGUAGUAGGUCUGCUGUGUGCAUGGAGUGUGCUGAAUUAUGGUACUUUUAAAAUGAGCAUAAGUUAAGGCAUUCAAAUAAAAUCCUUGAAGAAAAAUCAUUACCUAUGAAAAUGUAAAUGCAGAUGGAGAAAACAAAGUCUGAGAGUGACAGGAAGUGCUCACUGAUAAUACCCUUUCGGGGACAGAUGCCUGGUACUGGUGAUAGUGGGCCAGUAUUGGGUCUGAGGUUUUCAAACAUCUUUUGUGUUUGGUGACUUGUACACCUAAUUGGCAUGACACAUAUGGUGGGACCAUCUUGGAGUCUCCUCAGGGCCAGGUGGGCUGACAACCUUUUCUUUACUGCUUCACAGUUCAAAGCAGAUGGUGGUGUGGAAUGCACAAAUCCCACAGUCAUGCAAAAAGCACUCUGAAGGAGAGGCUCUGUGAACGUUGUCCAAUGCUGUGUGUUAGUGGUGCACAUGGAUAUACACAGAAAUGAAGGUGUGUGUUUGUGCGUGUAUAUAUGAUUAGGUAAUGAGUUGUCUGUCAGGGUUUCAAUAGAAAUGUUAACUUCAAUUCAGGGCAGUGUGUGUGUGGGAUAUAUGUAUAUGUAUAUAUAUGGUACAUAUGUGUAUAUGUAUAUCAUAUAUAUGUAUAUUAUAUAUAUGUAUAUAUUAUAUAUAGUAUAUAUCUCUGUGUGUUUAUAUAGAGAGACUCAUAUAGAUAAUGUUAAGUGCAUGAAAUGUGAAAUAUUUUAUCCAGUUAACAUCAUCUUUUCUUCAUAGUUUGGCACACACCGAAUAAAAGACAAGGGCUACAGCAGAGAGGAAGGCAUUUUAGCCCCAGCCUGUGGUAAUUAGGGUGAGGAUAUCUAACUUUGCAGUGAGGAGUGUUUGUAAUUUUAGAAAUAGCACGUUGGUAUGUGUUUGAUGUGCUGUGGGAUGAUAACUCUUGUUCUCUGCAUGGUGUAGGGAGAGUAUCCUAACAGGAAAAAAGGCCUAGUUAAGAAACAGAGGAAGGAUUUGUUUUUUGAAGAACUGGAAAAGUCAGCCUGCAGAUAGGACCCUGCCAGUAUUGACAGUAAUUUGUGUGUGUGUGUGGGUAUCUGUCUGUCUGUCUAUUGGGGGAAGGUACUGGGAGAUUGAAUCCAGAGGCUCUCUACCACCGAGCCACACCCCCAGCCCUUUUAAUUUUAUUUUGAGACAGGGCCUUCAUAAGUUGCCCAGGCUGGCCUUGAACUUGUGAUCCUCCUGCUUCAGCCUCCUGAGUUACAGGCCUACACCAUCACUCCUGCUCCACGGCAAUAAACUUUUGAAGAAGGAAAGAAAAAGGCAGGAGAUGAAAUUGUUUAUAAUUGAGAGGACUUAAUAUGUGCCAGACAGUGUACAAGGUGCUGUGUACAUAUCCUCUAAUUCUGUGUUCCUGAAAACACUGUGAUGCAUGCACAGCAUUGUUAGCUCUGCUAUACAGUUGGGAAUAUGGAAGGACAGGGAAUUCAAGUCAUUUGCUCAGGGUUCUGUGGCCACCCCAGAUCCCCAUGACCUGAGAAUAGGAGACAGGGGUGAGUGACAAGAAAGAAGUAUAAGAAUCUUACUUCCAUUCACACUUGAUAAAAGAAAUAGAUCACCUACCACAUUACAGAUUACACUUAAAAGUCUCAAAUUUUUACCUUAAGUGAAUUUGGCAUAUUUUGUUUUGUCCUGGUUUGCUUUGGUUUUGCUCUACAAUCCUGAACAUUCAUCAUCCUGUAGACCUCCUGGUAAACAUUUUACCUCCUGUCGCUUCCAAUUAAGAUUUCUCCAUUUGUAAGAGUUUCCCUCACUGCAAGUUUUUUGGAGGUUCAACUUGCAGUGUGAUAAUCUCCAGUUAGGAAGUGAACCUAAAGGGGGAAAGUGAAAACAAAACACCCCACUGUUUCUGCUCAUGACUUACUCCCUCUGGAAGGAACAAUCGUGGAUGCCAUCUGCGAGCGGCUGCAGAGAGACCUCCCUGCGUGGAGCAGUUGUGGGAGAUGUUAGGGCCCUCUGGGGACUGAGUCUGGGAACACUGGGACUCUCAUGAAUAAGCCAUUCCACAGGAGUCCCUGCAUCGGGCUGGAAAAGUUCUUACAAGAGAACUAUUAGGCACAUUUUUUUCCAGAAAUGUACAGUCAGGAUUGUGCUUGGAUAUUAUGGUGAUUAAGAUGAUAGUAACCCAACCCUCUGCACUUGGAGAUCUUCUUAAAAGAACACAACCCAGGAUGCUCUUUCUCAUAGUCCACUUCUAGCCAUAUUCUGUGUGGUCGACAUUAUAAGUUCACAGCAAUGUCUGAUAGGACAAAUGUCCUCCUGAUUCAACCUUCUCUAGAGGGUGUCUGAUAUGAUAUCAAAUAAAACGAGGCCCAUAGAAACACCAGGGAGAGGUACGUUUUCCCUGGAGAGUUUUUCUUUCCUCUUUAACAAAUGAGAAAGAUGAAAUUGACCUAAUAUCUUUUUUUAUUUGGAUGCCUAAAAACUCACAACCAAUCUGAAGCUUCUCAACUACAGCUAUUCUGGCUUCAGAAUCUGUACAUUAUUGUUCUUUCUUUUUUCUUUUCUUUUCUUUCUUUCUUUUCUUUUUUGUGGUACCAGGGAUUGAACACAAGUGUGCUUAACAGCCACAUCCCGACCCUUUUUAUUUUGAGACCAGGUCUUGCUAAGUUGUUUAGGGCCUUGCUGAGUUGCUAAGGUUGGCCUUGAACUUGUUAUCCUACUGCCUCAGCCUUCCAAGCCUCUGGGAUUACAGGUGUGUGUGCCACCAUGCCUGGCUGUGUUCUUUCUUUAGCAUAAGCUUGCUGCUCUGACUUAUCUUUCCCUUGAACCUAAUUAGUUAUUUUCUUGUAUUUACCCUGGUCAUAGAUAACAGCAACUAAAUGAAUUAGUAAACAUAAAGCUUUGACUCAAACUAGACAUAAAACAAGUGUUCUACUUUGAAUUUCCAGCGUUACAGUGCUGACUUGAAGAGAGCAAAAAGAGACAAUUGCUUCUUCCCCCAUUUUGACAGCUUUAAGCUUUACAUUUUCUUCCUUUUCUGUGAGACAUCACACACUUGCUUCUCAAGGCCAUUCCCACAUGUGUGUCUUGUAGAAUCGUGACUUGGGACAUUGUGAUCAGAGCACGGUCACACACACUCACGCGAUUUUUAUCCAUUGCACGUUUGAUAGCUCUUUUAUUCUAUAUAUUUCCGCAGCAUUUACAACCAUUUAUCAAAGAAUUAGAAAUUCUUAUCUGAAGAAAAAAAAGUCACACAGACAUACAACUAGAAUAAUUGUUGUGUCCUUUUUUUUUUUUUUGGUUAGGAGUUGGUUUCUUAUUCUUUAAUUCAGGAUUGGGCAUGGUUUUAAUUAACUUGUUUAUUUUCAAUAGAGAUUUCAGGCUUCCAUUUGAACUUAGGAACAAAGCGUUGUUUUUCAUUCCAGACAGGACUGAACUCUACAUCUCCCUUCCCAAGCAAGCAGCUGGCCGAAGCCACCAGGACUCUGCUGGAUAGUCUCGGGAGUCUGGCCCAAGAGGUAAGUCGUGCCUUCCUAGCACCAGCAAGUGGACCAUCCACUGUGGUCAGUUCCAAGUUUGGCUAAGAGGGUCCUUUAGAUUGGAAUAUCAUGUUAGAUGCCUUAGUGUCAAUUUUAGAAAUAUAAGUGAUCAAAAAGCAUCAUCUGUUUUAAUCUUCUUACUUUAGAGAAGAAGAAACCAAGACUCACUGAUAUCUCAGAACUAAUUAGUGGCUAAAGGGUCCAUAACUAGUCUUGAACCCACCCCCUUAUCCCCUACCCCGUUCCCUCAGUCCCUGAUAGUCACACACUUGUGAAGAGAAUUCUCUUCUACCUGCUUUUGUCUGACCAGAAACUUCUCUAUCUCUACACUGUGUAUUCAGUAGCAAGAUCCUUCAGUCAUUUUAUCAAAAUGUGUUUGCUAAUAAUGAGAUCAUGAGCUAUCUCUAAUCCAGCUCUUUCCCUUAUAAAAUAUGGCCUCUGAGCUUCAACUUGGGGAAUAUGGUCUCUUAAGGAACAUUUAGUUGAUUUGGCCUUUUAGGUCCACACAUUGACAGAUGUGUCAGAGUAAUCUUUGUCCUCGGACCAUAGGGCCUAUAGAUGUUGCAAAAUAUUUAACCCUUCUUCUGAUUCUCAGUUUCUGACUCCCAGGCUCAGUUCAAGUUAGACUGGGCAAGGAGGAGCUGUUUGGAGCCAUCAUGCCUAGUGGCUGAGCUGGGCAGUGGUCAUCAACAAUGUAGGCUUUAAUGUAUAGGACAUAGGAAAAGAGUAAUAUGUGGAGACAUUUUUUUCAAACUUGAUCCGGUCUUGUUUUUAGCUGUCUUUGACUCAUUUUUAAAAAUACUUGGACCAUUUUUUCAAAUAUCAUGAUUUAUGUUUUCAGACAACAGCAGAAUUGCAUGUUCAUUGUGGAAAAUACAGAAAACCCCGAGUUACCACAUGCCAACCCUUUAAUGUAUGUCUUUCUUUUAAUUCUGCCCAUGUGUCUCUGACAGCAGAGGCUUGGCUUUCGGAGCAGCCUCCUUUUAGGAGCACCUCUCUUCCCACUUGUUAUUUGUACUUUGGUUAUGAAGGCUGGUGACCUUUGGCUAGGUGGAAAGGCUGUGCCAUCUGGGGCUCUUCCAGGAGACAGAAAGAGAAAGAGAAACUGCUUUGCAAGCCUCAGCUGUUUCCCCAGGGCCCUCCUGAUGGACGUGGACAUGCCCUGCUUUGCUCUGGCAGGUUCCUUCACAGCCCUCCUCUACCCUGUUCAUUCCUGUCCGUAGAGAAAGCAGAGCAGGGGUAGUAACAGGGAGGCUGCCUCGAAACUCAGGGUUUGUUAACAGUUGUUUUCAUUUACAUCACUGGCCCUAGUUUUUGUCUGGGGUAAAAAAAUAGUUGAAAACACAUAAUGUUCCCGUUGCUGAUGUGGUGUCAACAGCCGACAAUGUGCAUUUCCCUUGGCAACUGCUUCCUGGGCUCUGCUUGCUCUGGUCUAGGAUAAGUGAGGGGCACCUGCUUCUCUUAAUAGAACACCUUCAAAUCACUUUGAUCACAAGUUAUUCAUUGUCUAACUUGCUAUUUCUGUGAGACAAAUGGGAAGAAGAUAAAAAAUGCACUUCUGUGUUUGGUCAGUGUUUGGAAAGAAGGUUAGUUAUUUUCACCAAAACACCAGCUUUGAAAGAAAAGAAAAAGGGAUCCUGCAUAUUUUGAAGAUCUGCUUUGGUUCAGGCAUUUUUACUUUAUUUCCCUGGAUGAUCUGCAUGACAAAUGUUAGGUGGAUUUUUUUUUUUUUUUUUUUGGUACUAGGGAUUGAAUCCAGGGGCGCUUAGCCACUGAGCCACAUCCUCAGCCUUUUUUAUAUUUUAUUUAGAGACUGUGUCUCACUGAGUUGCAUAGGGCCUUGCUAAGUUGCUGAGGAGGGCUUUGAACUCGAAAUCCUCCUGCCUCAGCCUCCCGAUCUGCUGAGAUUACAAGUGUGCACCACCACGAGCAGCAUCAGGUGGAUCUUCCUGUACCCAUUAUACAGUUAUGGAACUGAGGCUCAGAAAAAUGAGGCAACUUUCCCAAAGUCGCCCAGUGAGUUAAUUUCAAAAGUGAAAUUUGAAUCCAGGAUUGUUGGAUUCCAAAGCUCAUGUUCUCAUUUGUUCCUUUCUAUUUCAAUAAUUUGUCACAAACCUUGAUAGUAACUAAGAUGGAAAGGAGACUCUUCAAAGAAAGAAGAUAUUCAUUAGCAGACUUGGCAGUUGGGGGACUUUAGGAGUGAGACGUGUUGGGACUGACGUGAAUUUCACACCUGGAUGAUGGGGAAGGUGUGCUGGACAAGAAUGAGAAAGCAGGACAGAGAAGUGGUGUCUGAGACACCCGCACAGUACCAGUCAGGGGCUUGGCAUUGCUAGAUGUUGAGGACUCAGUAGUGAACACAGUAACUUCUCUGUCCUCAGGGGUUUGCAUGGGGUGGGAGACAGAAAUAAUCAGGUCAGUGUGCAGUGUGACAGCAGGGAUAUGUGCAAGAAGAUAAAUCAGGGUAAGGGGCAUAGAGAGCGAUGAGGUGCCAUCUGAAAGGGAGUGAUGAGGAUGGGUGGGGGGACUAUCUGCAGGAAGAAGAGCAGAUGCUAAGUACCUUGACUCCAGGGCAUGCUUAAGCCCUUAGGGACCUGUUUAAAGACCAGGAAGGAGAUCAGUGGGGUUAGAAAAACAUGAGCUAGUGGGAGCAUGACCAGAGAUGAGAUGAUAGAAGCAGUUGGGAUUUUCACCACUCGAGAUGGGAAGCCAGUGGAGGGUUUGGAGCAGAGGGGGCUGUGGUGUGACCUGGGGUUUAUAGACUUGUUUACACUCUGACUGCCAGUCUGAGAAGAAACUGGGGCUGGGGCAAGGAAGAAUGAACACCUUGCAAUGGAUUGAGAAAGGAGGAAGUUGGUGGCUCGUUCAUUCACUUGGGAUGGUUAUUAAACACUGUCAGAUACUAUUGCCAUCUGUGGGCUGGAGGACGAGUGGCCACCCUCCCUGUGAGUCAGCAGGUAGAGGAGAAUGAGCAGGAGUCUGCCCCUAAGGCAAUGCUGGGAAAAACCGACAGUUUGGAAUAACUCAAUAGUUACUCCAUCUUUGUCUCCAAAGGUGUGCUGGCUUUUUGUGGGAAGCAUUUUUGUUCUUGAGGUUGGGAGGUGGCAGUGAGGCAGCCUGUGGAAAGCUCAGUCAGUGGCUUUGAUUCCUUGUAAUUUUAAAAAUCCCUAGGGAUGGUCCAUCGACUGACAAAGGGAAAGGUAGCCUCUCCCUGACUAUGUGUCCCAUACAGGUUAUGAAAAGGUAAAGCAAGGAAUAGCUGUUCCCCUAAUUGUGUUCUUGGGGGAUAUACUAGAUGCUCCCUCUAUGGAGAGAAAUCUUUGUGACAUCUGACCUACCCUGGAGAAGCUGGUUCCCAUCUGGAGGCAGAAGGUAGUCUAGGAGCUACCAUGUCCUAGACUGUAUUACUCACAGGAACCAGCAGCCUCAGAAAGGUAGAAAAACUGGGCAAAUGGAGUUCUUCAGGGUGGGUGGGAUCCUGCAGCCUCUCCCACUGUUCUCCACAGCGCAGUCUUCCCAGGUGGGGAGAACAUACAGUGACCUUUCAAUGAGUUAGGAGUUUAUUAAUGAUUUAUUGUGAAAUAUGUGGAAAUACAAAGUACUCCAUAUAGCAGUUGGGCCAAGAACCCCAUGAGGUGCUGGAGUACAUUUGCAUGUGAGACCAGACACUGGCUAUGUCGCUGAUGCUUAUUGACUAAGUCUCAGUCACAGCCCCUGACUGCCUAGCGCUUCUGACUCAUCCUGUUUGGGACUUUUCUGUGCAAUUAUUCCUUACCAUGCUGUUUUAUCUUUGUUGUCUUGAUGAGAAGUUGGGUCCUCAGAGACAUGCAAUGACUUUUCUAAGGCUGUAAACCAGUGAGGGUUGUAGCUAGGAUUCAGACUCAGAUCCCCCGCCUUAAACUUUUUCCAUUGCCUAUCACGUAACUGAGACCAGGAUAGGGAACUUCAUGCCCUCCCAGAAGAGGGCUCCUCAUUUCCUCACUGAGUCAGCAGCCAACGACGGGACUCAGCCAAUGAUGGGACUCAUCCACCGUCAGGAGUAGCUGUUUAAAGAAAGCGUUUUCUGCUAUAAGUCAUCCUAGGGGCUCCAUUAAUUUCUCUGUUUCUCCAACUUUAAUGGGUAUUUUAAUGGGUCAUUGCUUGGGUAUCUGGUAAAAAUUCAAGUGUGAAUUCUGCUGCGGUGCAGAGGGGUCUUGUAAUCUGCAUUUCAAAUAGUCCAAUGCAGAUGCUGCUGAUUCUAGGGCCACAGACAAGGUAGGAAAGUUCUAGCAAGCCCAUCACAAGGCUUUGAGAUGAUGUCAGACAACGUAUGUUCUGGGACAUGGAUUUUAAGAGGUCAAGAGAAUAAAGUGUUUCUUUCUCUUCUCUGUCCCCAACCCUGGCUGUGCCCUUGGCUUGCCUUCCCCUUCCCUCUCCUCUUCCUGCCUGUCCCUGACAUCAGCUGUUCAGCAUGAGGAGCUGGAGUGACAUGCGACAGGAGGUGAUGUUUCUGACCAACGUGAACAGCUCCAGCUCUUCCACCCAGAUAUACCAGGCUGUGUCCCGCAUCGUCUGUGGCCAUCCAGAGGGCGGGGGGCUGAAGAUCAAGUCUCUGAACUGGUAUGAGGACAACAACUACAAAGCCCUCUUUGGAGGCAAUGGCACUGAGGAAGAUGCUGACACUUUCUAUGACAACUCUACAAGUGAGUGUCUGUGCCACCCAAAGCCUGUCCCCACUCCUCACGUUUACCUUGGUCUCUGUAGCAGCCUUUGACAUUGACGUGUCUGGUUUCUCCUAAUGAGCUCAGGAAGGAAUCUUUUCUUAGACCAGCUCAUUUCCCCUAGUUCUUUGAAUGGGGCCUGACACAUCUUAGGUGCACAGUGGUGUUAAUCAAAACCACCCAAAACCAGUCUCCCUAGCUUUCUGGAGGAUGUUGGAAGGUGGCUCCCAGAGUAAUCAUGAUGAGAUGCUGGCAGAAAGAAAAUUCAAUAUGAUCUCACUUACUUGUAGAAUCUUUGAAAAUCAAACUCAUGAAAGAGUAGAAUGGAAGCUGCCAGAGCCUGGGUGUGGAGGAAUGGCAAAUGUUGGCCAAAGGGUACAAAGUUUCAGUUUUAUGCAAGAUGAAUUUAUGCAAGAUGAAUAUAUUCUGGAGAACUAAUAUCUAGUAGGGUGACUAUAGUUCAUAACACUGUGGUGUAUACUUAAAAUUUACUUUGAGAAUUGAUCUUAAAUAUUCUCACCACACACACACACACACACACACACACACUCUCAAGAUAACUAAGUGAGGUGUGGAUAACAAGCUGAAUUGUGGUAAUUGCUUCACAGUGUAUGCAUAUAUUCAUAUAUCAGGUUGUAUGCCUUAAAUAUAUACCAUUUUUGUUAAUCAAUUAUACUUUGUUAAAGCUGAAAAGAAUUUUUUUAAAAAGGAUGAGAUGAUGGUCUUUUAUCAUUAUUAUUACAAAUAUUACCUUUGAGUUAUGCUUUAUAGUAAAAACCAAAAAAAUCAACCACAGUAAUAGCCGUAACAAUAAUUAUACAGAAUCUAACAUGUAGGCAAAAUUUCUUAUGCAUCAUGCCUUCUUUGUAAAUUAUCUCAUUUCACCCUCACAAUAACCCUGCAGGGAAGGUUCUAUAACCCUGCAUUUCACAGGCUCAGAGAGGUUGUGACUUGGUCAAAACCACAUCAUAGCUAAUUCAAAAGAGCUGGGAUCCAAGCCCAAACUCUCCUGGCUCUGGGCCUUUUCCUGUAAACCACACUGCUUUUAAAAUACCUGUUGGCAUGUGUGUACCAUCACACUUGGGCCGUUUGAUCUGCUGUUUGUUUUGCGUCCGCAGCCACAGGCAGUGUUAAAGAACUUUGUAACUCCAUAUCUGCUUGCCACACUCGGGCAGUUUUAUGGGGAUGUGAGUCUUGCACCAGGGGCAGCAGGGAUCCAGUGUUAGUUUUCAACAAUGGCAUCCUUUUCUCUGAAAACAUGAAGCAACUGAGCCUUUCUCCAUUUCCAGCCACUGGUGUGUCUUUCAGAUAGUGAGUGAGACAACUUUUUGUGCAUUACUGUAACACUAGAACCUUCUAUUCUUCUCUGGAGUAAAACACUCCAGACAGUUGCAAGUUGCUUUACCAGCCCUAAAGAAUGGUAUUAAAACUGCUUUAUGAAACACCACGGCCUCUUCUCUCCCAGCCUGCAAAUCAACUCAGGAGAGGAUUCAUUUGUGCAAUAGUUGUAAUUGGGAGAGUAUCCUCUCCAUAAAAAAUUCUGGGGCUGAGUAUGCAGCUCAGCAGUAGAGCACUUGCUUAGCAUGUGCGUGACCAUGAGAUGGGAUCCCCAGCAUACCAAUUCUAUUAUCUUUGAAGCAUAUAGAAGUUACUUGGUAUCACAAAACCAAAAUGAAAACGAAAACAAAUUGAAAAACCCAGAAUGAACUUUUAAAAAAAUGUCAGAGAUAAACCCCAUUGGUCUGUUACAACUUUGGAUUUUUCAGUUUGGGGUUUUUAUAAAUGUCAGCAUACUUGUGAUGAGGUCUGUUAAUUAAAGGGAUGAUUUUGGCUUUUCUUUGAAAACUAAAGUCUGAAUUCAGGCCUCUGGUUGCUCGUUGGGAAUCUUGUUUAUUUUCAGUGAAAAUAGAGUUCAAGGGCUGGCAUGAGAGUAUGAUUCUAGAGUUAUGAGGUCUUGUACAUGGUAAAAACAUUUUUCUAGAUCCGCACAGUUGUAUGUUACAAGAAGCUCUGAUUAUUUACAAAACAUCAUUUUAGAGGCUUUACUGAAAAUGUCUCAGAUAAUCCUCCCCACAUCUCUACCAAGUAGCUGUUAUGAAGUCUAUUUUUUUACAGAGUAUCAAACUGAGACUCAGACAAGUAACAUUAUGUUUAUGUGACUGUUACAUGGUAGUGCUGGGAUUUGAAUCCAUGACUGUCUUUCUCAUUCCCAAACCUUUGUAAAUUCCUACCAGUAUAUGACCAGGUAUACGAAUGAGUAUCUUCUAUCAUCUUUGUAGCUCCUUAUUGCAAUGAUUUGAUGAAGAAUUUGGAGUCUAGUCCUCUUUCCCGCAUCAUUUGGAAAGCUCUCAAGCCUCUGCUUGUUGGGAAGAUUCUGUAUACACCUGACACUCCGGCCACGAGGCAGGUUAUGGCAGAGGUAAGCUGCCCAGACCCAAGACUCCCUCCCCAGAGUUCUGUUAGAAUUAGGGGCAAAAAUAAUAAAGGUGGGUUCAGAUGGAGUGUGCAUAUGCUCUUGGCCUCUGGGACUUUUAAAUAGUGGAAACCUCAAGUCCGAUCCAGCCCACAGCUGUGUGGGGACCAGCUCCCCAAGCCUAGGUAUUUGAAUGAUAGCUUCAGGCAGGCACUCCUUGGGGAUGAGAGAGGACUGGGCAGGGGCUGCUAUGAUGGAAUGUCUUUUUAGUGAGCACUCCCUCACCAUCUCUGCUUCUCCUCUUCUGUGGCCCCUGGCUCCCUACCUGACUCCAGGUGAACAAGACCUUCCAGGAGUUGGCUGUGUUCCAUGACCUGGAAGGCAUGUGGGAAGAGCUCAGCCCCAAGAUCUGGACCUUCAUGGAGAACAGCCAAGAAAUGGACCUUGUUCGGGUGAGUGUCCCUCUGAUUGCUUUUUGCCUGGCUUGAUCCUGGAGAGGUGAGUUUUCGGUCAUUUUGCCAGAAGCCACUGAGAUGAGAAUUAUUUCAUCGGUUGAGAUGUAGUGAGCAUAGCUCAAUCCACAGGGCUGUCCCCCAUCCAGAAGCAGAGGCCACAGUGUAGCGAUAACUCUGUGCACUUCAGCAUCAAUGCCUCGGGUGGUCAAAUACCUGUUUCCUAAAAAAUGUAGAAAGGACUGAUGUUGGGAAAUAGUUUGGUGAUUGCGGGACCCUAUUUUCAUUUCUGGCUUCAUUCACUGGAGGUAGGUCUUGGAAGGAGGUGUGGGAGCAAAAGCGUCAUCUGACAUGCAGACUUGCUGGAGAUGCUGGUCCCUGAGGUGCUGCAUGAGUGCAGAACUGCCACUGCUGCGUGGAACAGGAAUUGCACUUAAUGCUUCCGAGCCCCUUGAAGGAGAUAAGUGCUCUGGAGACAAUUAGAUUGAAAAGCAGAGCAGCCCAAGAAGAACAGAAUGUCUGCUUUGCUUGAGCCCGAGAGUCAUUUAAUCAUAUCAUCCCUGCCUUGGGCUGAGUCAGAAUCUGUGGAUUAUUUCCUGUUCCAUGGUGAGGGAGUAUGCUUCUUAUUGUCUCUGCUGCCUUUAAGAGGCAAAGGAGACUCUUGCCAGUUUGCUUGUUUUGCACCUCAUUGACCCGAGGGGCGUGGGGUUUUGGAAGCUGUACCCAUCUGGAGGGAACUCCUUUGAAGUUUAGAACUAUCCCCUUGAGGGCAGGUUACUAAGGAAGAAGCAUCCUGUGAUGGAGAAACCCAAACCUCCUGUGCUGCACUAAUCCUGUCACACAUGUGCAAAAUUCUUAUAUUGGGGCCUUUGAAAACAUGGGACUCGAGUGAGAAAAACAUGAACAGUGAUUGAUAUGGGCUGAUACUGAAUAACAGGAAUAGCUCAUGUCCCUUAAGCAUAGCUCUCUGUUGGGCUUCAGUCCAUCUCCUAAAAGGGAGUCACAUGAUCUAUCCACCAGCAGUGCUGUAGAGCUAAGUGUGGUCUCAAGAGUUCUUCUCCCUGGUCUUCUUCUUGGAAUUUAUAUUUCUAUUAGUUGGACUUGUUCUCUCUGGUCUCAGAAUGAUAAAGAGCCCAGUUGAAGGGAUUCCAUGAGCUUUAAUUUGGGGGGUAAGUAGAUGUUUCCCUGCUCUUAAAUUGAUAGUUUGCCUUGGAAUCUCCAACUGCUUGUAAGCUCCCAGUUCUUAAGGCAAAAGACCCUUGUAUACACAAUGGUGGUCAUGUUGGCGUUUGGGGUAAGGUCUGCCCUGCCCAGUGUAGCUUCUUAAGGCAGUAUGGCCAGAGAGGGCAGCAUGACCAGAGGGAUGUGCCCAGUGAGAUUACCAUGUAGCAGCAGAUCUGGGGACUUGAGAGGAUCAGGAGCUCUAAGGGCAGCUUCAGAAAUAUGACCAGGAGAAUCCAAGAUGUGUGAUAGGAAGCAGGGGAGUGGAGGCUGGAGAGAAAGGCAUAGUAUGCCUUGGAGGGCCUUGUGUGUUAUGCUCUGGAUCUUUAAGCUUGCGGGGGGCAGUUAUGAAAGGAUUUUAAGCAAGUAGAGACAUAGAUGAAUUAUUCUGAUAUGACAUGGAUUGAAUAGGCAAGAUGGGAGGAUGGGUAAACACGAGGGCAGUGUCUGUGCAAGUGAGUGGCCAAGGCAUAGAUAGAGAGGGAGGCCUGCUGACUGCUUGGUUGAGGGACUAGGAUGAUUCUUGAUUUCUGGCAGGCUGGUGGGAAUGUCCAGCAGGCUGCUGGCUGCUGGGAUCACAGUGCAGGAGGGCAGUUGGACUAUGGACACUGACUUGGAAGUUGUCAGUCUGUGGGUUGGAAUCACUGGAACCUUGUCCAGUGGCUUUCUUCUCUGGACUUAAGGAGUGUUUCUUUAACUUCACAAGCAUGGGAUUCUCAGUCUUCAGCACCUCCUGCAGCCUGGCCUCUGGUACAUGAGUCAAUGCCUGAGGCUUCUGCUUCUGCUGGGGUAGCUCUUCUCUUUCUGUGGUCUCUGGCUCUGUCUGCUCCUAUUACAUCACCCUGUAGAUCAGGAGGUACUUCUCUUUGUUGAGUGCCAGCAACCUUUGAUGCUGAUUUGCUCUUUACUGAGCUGCCCUUGGCAUUUCAUCUCCAGGCCCUGGUAUGUCUCUGCCUAUGCUCCAAGGGCACUCUUAAGUCUCCUGGUCCUCUCAAGCUCCCAGAACUAUUACAUGGUCAGUGAUGUCACUGGGCACAUCACUCUGCUCUUGCCAUCCUCCUUGGCCAUAUUGCUUUAAGAAGCCACAUCUAAUAGGGCAGGCCUCACCCCAAAAUGCCAUAUCCCUUUACUCUACUCUUAUUUGUCUCAUGCAUCCAAAUAAAGUAGUUUCAGAAUUGCCUCUGUGCACUUCUGGGAGGUACAGUUUUGUAUCUGUUUGCAAAAAUAAGUACUAAUCUUUACUGAUGACAGCAUAAAUUGUUAUUCCUUAUUGAAAACAAUUUUGAAUGAAGGUUUCAAAAACCAUGCCAUCCAUGUACCUCCAUUUCAUAUACCCUCAGGGAUGUAUCCUACAGAAAUCAUUUUAAAGACGUCACCAUAGGAAAGAAAAUAUUAUUGCUGUAAUAAUUGCUAUUGCAAGAAAUCAGAAAUAGACUAAAUGUUCAGAAGUUCAGGAAUAGUUAAUGAAAUUACAGUAUAUGUACUCUGUAAAAUCAUUAUGAUGUGACAGACACCAGGGCCUGGAAAUGAAGGGCCACAGAGGAAAAGCUUAUAAUGUUAGUGAAAAUAAGAUUGACUUUCAAGGGUAGUUUUCAGACCCUCGGAGAGCCAGUCCAGUCCAAGCCAGGGCUUCCUCUUCCCUCUUGAAGCUGUGUUGAAAGCUGCGAAUCUUUGCCAAGCUUACAACUGCUUUAUUUUCCUGGCCGCAUACCUCUGCAGACCUCUGCAGACCUCUGCUCCAGCCCUGCUUGGAUGUGGGUCUGCUGUCUGAGCACCAGAUUGACUUACCCCUCUCCUUCACACUGACCCACACAAGCAACCAACUGGUGAGGGAGGAAUAAGGAAUGGAAAAUGGGUCUCCUUCGCAUCAUGAACCAUAUAUUGCUGAGAUUGGAAAAGACUGCAUUUGUUUUAACCAGCAUCGUCCCCCCCCCCAUCCACUAAAUUAAGCAAUAAAAGUGGGCUUAGUGUAGAUUUAGGGGUUUUAUUUGGGUAAUCAGACUAGUCCUCAAAAGAAGAAGGUAUUCAAUAAAAUGGGUGCACUAUAAUCAGAGGACUUUGCUACUUAUUAACUGUGUCUUUAUAUGAGAGACAAUUUCCCUGAACCCGAGCUUUCCCCUGUGUGAAAUGGGGAGUAUUAAAAAGUUACCUCCUUCAUGGAGCUAUGUGAGAUGUAAAGUAUAUAAGUCACUCAGCAUUGUCUUGCUAUCUCCAUUGUUACAGUUAAUAUUGGAGGCCUGAGCUGUUAGGUACAGUGGGAAGCAUGUGGACUGUGAAUUCAGACUGAUCUGACUUUGAGUCAGCCCCAUGCCUAUUAGCAUGAUGACCCAGCUGUGGUUAAGAUCAUUAUUUUUAAACUUCAGUCUUCUCUCCUGUAAAAUGGGGACACCAUAACAUACCUCAAACAUUUUUUUGAAGUCACACAGAGAGACAGUGUAUAUGCCAGGGUUUGGUGCAUUAUGUAAGUGUUCAUCCAGAUGUAGUUGUAGAUCACCACUCAUACGUUCCCUCUGGAAUGGCAGACGCUGUUGGAUAGCAGAAGCAAUGACCGCUUCUGGGAACAGCAGUUGGACGGCUUAGAUUGGACAGCCCAAGACAUCGUGGCAUUUCUGGCCAAGUACCCAGAGGAUGUCCAGUCUGCCAAUGGCUCUGUGUACACCUGGAGAGAAGCUUUCAACGAGACCAACAGGGCAAUCCAGACCAUAUCUCGCUUCAUGGAGGUGAGGAUCUGUUGUGUGUAUCAUUUAGAAAAAGCUUAUGGCUCUUUUCUUUGAUGUGUUGUAAUAAAGUCAGAGGCAGGAGGAAAGCUUUGAGUUGGUGUCCAGACCCAUUUCCAGCAGUAUCCCUCAAGCCUAACAGUUUGGGGUACAAAAGACAUUCUAUAAAUGUUGGUUAAGUCCAGCUUUAUUCUUGUGUGGAUUCAAGUGUUUCCAUCCAUUUUCUUCUAGGUUUCCUGGCAUCCGNCUGCUGGGGUAGCUCUUCUCUUUCUGUGGUCUCUGGCUCUGUCUGCUCCUAUUACAUCACCCUGUAGAUCAGGAGGUACUUCUCUUUGUUGAGUGCCAGCAACCUUUGAUGCUGAUUUGCUCUUUACUGAGCUGCCCUUGGCAUUUCAUCUCCAGGCCCUGGUAUGUCUCUGCCUAUGCUCCAAGGGCACUCUUAAGUCUCCUGGUCCUCUCAAGCUCCCAGAACUAUUACAUGGUCAGUGAUGUCACUGGGCACAUCACUCUGCUCUUGCCAUCCUCCUUGGCCAUAUUGCUUUAAGAAGCCACAUCUAAUAGGGCAGGCCUCACCCCAAAAUGCCAUAUCCCUUUACUCUACUCUUAUUUGUCUCAUGCAUCCAAAUAAAGUAGUUUCAGAAUUGCCUCUGUGCACUUCUGGGAGGUACAGUUUUGUAUCUGUUUGCAAAAAUAAGUACUAAUCUUUACUGAUGACAGCAUAAAUUGUUAUUCCUUAUUGAAAACAAUUUUGAAUGAAGGUUUCAAAAACCAUGCCAUCCAUGUACCUCCAUUUCAUAUACCCUCAGGGAUGUAUCCUACAGAAAUCAUUUUAAAGACGUCACCAUAGGAAAGAAAAUAUUAUUGCUGUAAUAAUUGCUAUUGCAAGAAAUCAGAAAUAGACUAAAUGUUCAGAAGUUCAGGAAUAGUUAAUGAAAUUACAGUAUAUGUACUCUGUAAAAUCAUUAUGAUGUGACAGACACCAGGGCCUGGAAAUGAAGGGCCACAGAGGAAAAGCUUAUAAUGUUAGUGAAAAUAAGAUUGACUUUCAAGGGUAGUUUUCAGACCCUCGGAGAGCCAGUCCAGUCCAAGCCAGGGCUUCCUCUUCCCUCUUGAAGCUGUGUUGAAAGCUGCGAAUCUUUGCCAAGCUUACAACUGCUUUAUUUUCCUGGCCGCAUACCUCUGCAGACCUCUGCAGACCUCUGCUCCAGCCCUGCUUGGAUGUGGGUCUGCUGUCUGAGCACCAGAUUGACUUACCCCUCUCCUUCACACUGACCCACACAAGCAACCAACUGGUGAGGGAGGAAUAAGGAAUGGAAAAUGGGUCUCCUUCGCAUCAUGAACCAUAUAUUGCUGAGAUUGGAAAAGACUGCAUUUGUUUUAACCAGCAUCGUCCCCCCCCCCCCAUCCACUAAAUUAAGCAAUAAAAGUGGGCUUAGUGUAGAUUUAGGGGUUUUAUUUGGGUAAUCAGACUAGUCCUCAAAAGAAGAAGGUAUUCAAUAAAAUGGGUGCACUAUAAUCAGAGGACUUUGCUACUUAUUAACUGUGUCUUUAUAUGAGAGACAAUUUCCCUGAACCCGAGCUUUCCCCUGUGUGAAAUGGGGAGUAUUAAAAAGUUACCUCCUUCAUGGAGCUAUGUGAGAUGUAAAGUAUAUAAGUCACUCAGCAUUGUCUUGCUAUCUCCAUUGUUACAGUUAAUAUUGGAGGCCUGAGCUGUUAGGUACAGUGGGAAGCAUGUGGACUGUGAAUUCAGACUGAUCUGACUUUGAGUCAGCCCCAUGCCUAUUAGCAUGAUGACCCAGCUGUGGUUAAGAUCAUUAUUUUUAAACUUCAGUCUUCUCUCCUGUAAAAUGGGGACACCAUAACAUACCUCAAACAUUUUUUUGAAGUCACACAGAGAGACAGUGUAUAUGCCAGGGUUUGGUGCAUUAUGUAAGUGUUCAUCCAGAUGUAGUUGUAGAUCACCACUCAUACGUUCCCUCUGGAAUGGCAGACGCUGUUGGAUAGCAGAAGCAAUGACCGCUUCUGGGAACAGCAGUUGGACGGCUUAGAUUGGACAGCCCAAGACAUCGUGGCAUUUCUGGCCAAGUACCCAGAGGAUGUCCAGUCUGCCAAUGGCUCUGUGUACACCUGGAGAGAAGCUUUCAACGAGACCAACAGGGCAAUCCAGACCAUAUCUCGCUUCAUGGAGGUGAGGAUCUGUUGUGUGUAUCAUUUAGAAAAAGCUUAUGGCUCUUUUCUUUGAUGUGUUGUAAUAAAGUCAGAGGCAGGAGGAAAGCUUUGAGUUGGUGUCCAGACCCAUUUCCAGCAGUAUCCCUCAAGCCUAACAGUUUGGGGUACAAAAGACAUUCUAUAAAUGUUGGUUAAGUCCAGCUUUAUUCUUGUGUGGAUUCAAGUGUUUCCAUCCAUUUUCUUCUAGGUUUCCUGGCAUCCGUAAUGGCAGUAAAAAUAUUUCCUUAAAAAAAUCAUUAUUUUUGAAAGAUAGCUGAGCUUUAAUUAGGGACAGAUUAAAUAUUAGAAAUAUAAUCCUGAAAAUUAUGGCAUAUUGUAGGGAUGAAUAAAGAGUUUUGGGGAUCUGUUUAGUUGGUUAUUACUAUGACUCAACAGAGGAAAUAAGAUAUAAUGAUUGCUUCAACUUCUGUUCCCCCACAAAAAUCAAUAUAAGUAACUUUUCUCCAGAUUCUUCCAGCAUUUCUCUUAAAUGUCAGUUAAAAACGAAAAGACCCAUUCUUGGUUAAGACUGGAAAAGUACUUUAGAGAGGUUAGAUCGUGAGGGUUUAAGUCACGCAAUCAGUUCUUGCCUCUCGGGGUGGGGUCUGCCUGGGCUACUGCUUGCUUCCUGGCCCCCAGUGUUCUCAUGAAGCCUGUUUUUCCAUCAGUGUGUCAACCUGAACAAGCUGGAACCCAUACCCACAGAGGUCCGGCUCAUCAACAAGUCCAUGGAGCUGCUGGAUGAGAGGAAGUUCUGGGCUGGUAUCGUGUUCACAGGAAUCGCUCCAGGCAGUGCUGAGCUGCCCCAUCACGUCAAGUACAAAAUCCGAAUGGACAUUGACAAUGUGGAGAGAACAAACAAAAUCAAGGAUGGGUAAGUUGAAUCCCAUAACACUAGCCCAGUCUCGGGGAAGUCAAGACAGCUGUUAUGUCUAGAGCUUCUUUAUUUGAAUUAAUAAUUUAGUAGAAAUUUCAAGGGAAAAGAAAAUCACUGGUUACAGUAUGGUACAUUCAUUGCUGGGGGCUAUGAUUUCGGAGGUCAUAAAAUAUUAGUAACUUUUGAUUCAGCAUUUCCACUCAAGAGAACUAAUCUCAAGAAAUUAAGAUAACAGAAGAAAAGGAAAAAAAGCCUUUAGGUUCUUCAUGCUAACAGUGUUCAUUUUUCUGAAAAGGAUCAAACAACCAAUAAGAAGGAAAUGGUUAAGUAAAUUUUGGCUUAUCCACUCAAUGCAGUGUUAGGCACUAAAUGGAAGGUGGAUAAAAACCAAAGUAGUCUGUUUAUUUUGCUUGUGUCUAUUUAAAAAUAUGUGUACAUAUUGACUGAAACCAGAAAUUAAGUUAUGGAAAUAAAAAGAGUGGCUUGACAAAGGUGGUGGGAUUGUGGGGGAUGGGAUUUUCUUAUUGGAGGUUUCUGAGCAAUGUUCAAUCACCUGUGGUUUGGUUUUAGGUACUGGGAUCCAGGUCCUCGGGCUGACCCCUUUGAGGAUAUGCGGUACGUCUGGGGGGGCUUCGCCUACUUGCAAGAUGUGGUGGAGCAGGCAAUCAUCAGGGUACUGACGGGCACUGAGAAGAAAACUGGUGUCUAUGUGCAGCAGAUGCCUUACCCCUGUUACGUCGAUGACAUGUAAGUUACCAGCAAACUACCAGCUUUAUUUGAAUAUUCAGUUAACUCUGUUCCAGGUAGAGAGAAAGAGAGAGAGAGAGAGAGAGAGAGAGAGAGAGAGAGAGAGAAAGUGAAAAUAACUAGCCAGAUAUAAGUGGUCAGUAAUUCCAUUCACAUGGCAGAGAGACACAUAUGUACACACACUUAGUAAUCCUCCUUCCUUUGUCAUCUGUGGUUACCAGCACUUCUGUUUUUUAUACUCUUUUUUUACACUUUUGGUCAAAAAUUUACCCAAUUUGCAAAAUUUGUCAUGACAAACACAUGCAAAUACAUAUACGCACAUCCUCCCAAAUUCAGAAUGGCAGAUCUGUAAAAGCAGAUUUCCUGUGAAUUUGUCUGCUUCCUCUGAAUGAUUGUUGCACCACAUUUUGAAACAAUGCAUGUGAGACUGAACAAAACCUAUUUAUCUUAGACUUUUUAGAUAGUCUUUUAGCACUUAGUCACUAUGCAGCCAAGUUCUCAUUAUGGGAACUGUGCCCUGGGAGCUAAUGAUUUCUCAUAAAGAAUGGGCAGAGGUAGAUGUAGUUAUUGCAGGCAUCUCAAAUAUGUCAAGUCUCCAAAUUCUGGAUAGUUUCUUAUUCUGUGGUGUGUGUGUGUGUGUGUGUGUGUGUGUGUGUGUGUGUGUGAAGGAGCAGUAUUCCUCUUCUGCAUUUGCUCUCUCUUGCAUUGAACUACCCAUUUCCUUGUAUAAUGAACUCUAGCUUUUCCAGGCCACUAGAAAUUCUGUUUUUUUUUUUUUUUUUAACCUGAAAUGAUUUGAUAGAAUUUUUCAAAGGAAGACUUUUCCAAAGAGCCCUACACCAAGGCUUACUUUAGGAAGGAUGUCUUAGGAUGAGGGUACUGGAGUUCAGAGGUACUAAGGGCCUUUGCCUAUGGACAUGAGUAAGUUCAUAAGCAGUACAGAGGGGAUUUGAGCCUCAGCUUUUGGGAUCCAAAAUCUGUGCCCCCUUACUUUGUAGCACUGUAUUUCCUGUGCUAGUUUGGAAUCUGAAAUGUUACUGACAAGAGCCACUGGAAAUGCUUCCCUGCAGUGUGUUGAGAAUUAAACUAAGCAAGUCAGUCGUGAGAUGACCUUGGAGAUUCUGAACCUCUGUCAGAGAUUGAGUUGGGAUUUUAUUUUUUAGCUUUAGCUUAACACCAUCUCACAGCUAUCAAGUUACUAAAGCAAGUCUCCAAAGAAAUUUGGGUUGGCAAUACUUCAUUAGCCUAGCUUUUAUCUCUAUGUCAAACCUGUAUAUAUUGGAGUCUAGGGGCCUGCCCCAAGUGGUCCAAAUGCGGUGCUUCUCUAGCAUACAGGCUCAGAGGCCUUGGCCUGUGGCUCACACCUGUCUCUUAUUCUUCCCUGCUCCUCCUUGCUACCUUUAGCUUCCUGCGGGUAAUGAGCCGCUCAAUGCCCCUCUUCAUGACGCUGGCCUGGAUCUACUCUGUGGCUGUGAUCAUCAAGGGCAUUGUGUAUGAGAAGGAGGCGAGGCUGAAGGAGACCAUGCGGAUCAUGGGCCUGGACAAUGGCAUCCUCUGGUUUAGCUGGUUCAUCAGUAGCCUCAUCCCUCUACUCGUGAGUGCCAGCCUGCUAGUGGUCAUCUUGAAGGUGAGGCUGCUUCACUGCUCUUCCUGGCCAGGGAACUCCCAAACAGCCCAGUAUGAGCUAAAGGAGGGGAAGAAUAAAAGCCAAAACUCUAGGAGGGAAGGGGGAGCCUUACCUGCCAUCCUCUCAUCUUAGUGUUAGAGAAAGGGAGGUCCAGAGAGGGUCAGUGACUUGCCAGGGUCCACCUAGACGAUUAGUAGCUAAGGUGUACCAGAACCCAGGACAGGCAAACAUCUAACCGCACCCACUGUCUGUUUUACAGUGUAGCUGUGCCUUUCCUUAGAUGUAUUAGGUGGUGAUUUGAGCCACUGAAAAUACUUCUCUGCAAUGUGAUGAGAAUUAAACUAAGGGAGUCAGUCGUGAGAUGACCUUGGAGAUACUGAAUUUCUGUCAGAGAUUGAGUUGGGAUUUUAUUUUUUAGCUUUGAAGUAGCCCACCUUUAGCUUAACACUUAAACUCUUACUGAAUUUAUAAAACCAAUAAUCAGAAGGACAACUGUUGGUGCAGUUAAAGUUGUCUGGAAGCAGAGGCUGAGACAGAGUAUGGCACAUGGGAAUUCAUUAGGGAUCAACAGCUGUGGAAGAGAUGAAGCCUGAAGAAUUGGCAGAGGGAGGAGUGGAGCUGUGAUGCGGGGCCAGUGUCAUGGGGCACUCUGGGGGGGCAUCCAGAUGCAGGCAUCCUGCACUGAGCCGAAGUGUCCGGUUCUUUAGCUUACCCAUGAUGUUACUCAUUGGAUAUGGACCACCCUGGGCAGGCUGUGCCCCAGGGCCAGGUGGCUCUCUCUAGCUGUGACAAACCCAGAGAUGCUGACACCUGGAGGCCACCUUGUGACAGCCAGAUAAUAAACCCUCCCUUCAAACUGACUGGGCAGUGCCGUUCUGUGUUUGUCCCAUACACUAACGUACUUCCCAGUUUUCUUUCUCCAUACUUAUUUAUAUAAUGAUAUAUCAUGUAAAAUUAAAUGUUUGUAAAGAGUGGGGAGUGCAACGGGACAGGAACUAACAUUCACUAUAACACUGACUACUGUCUGUUAUGCAUAAGUAGCUACUGACACCAGACAUUGUUUAAAACACAUUCCGUGUGCUGCCUUAUUACUUUCUCAUUAAAUGACCCAUUUAGCAUGCAAGGAAAGGAGGCUAAGGAAGGUCAAAGCUUCUCCAAGGCCCACAGCAGGACUACAGAAUCAAGAUUUGAUUGCUUUCUCUCUCAGUCAAGAAUGAUGAUCCCGCAGAUCAUGCAAGUGAGUUCUUGGGCUUGUGGAGGCAGCACAUUUAACGAGUCUUUUCCUUUCCAGUUAGGAAACCUGCUGCCCUACAGCGACCCCAGCGUGGUGUUUGUCUUCCUGUCUGUGUUUGCUGUGGUGACCAUCCUGCAGUGCUUCCUGAUUAGCACACUCUUCUCCCGAGCCAACCUGGCAGCAGCCUGUGGGGGCAUCAUUUACUUCACGCUGUACCUGCCCUAUGUCCUGUGCGUGGCAUGGCAGGACUAUGUGGGCUUCACAGUCAAGAUCUUCGCGGUGAGUAACUUUGGCCUUUCUGCAGCGGUUGUAGUCACAGCCACAGCAGGUGUUUGACCUCCCCUGAUGUUGCCCAUGAAUCCAAGCAACAAGCUGUGAAUACAAGAUGAGAGAGUUGUUUUAUAAAAGGACUUGAAUCUUAGUUCUAGAUCCUAAUUCCUUUGAAGGCAGGGACUAUGGGUUAUUAAAUUGUUUAUGUUUAGUUCUCUCCGUGAAUGCUGGUUGGAUUGAAUUGAAUGGAAUGUUUCCUGGAUCAGACUGAACCUUAAACCUGCUGGGGGUACAUUGGGGAAUGGCUUUCGGCAAUAGAUGCCAUCUCCACCCUCAACCUCCCAGUUUUGUUGGCCAUGUUUAAACUGGCUGCAAAGUCGUAGCCACAAAUAGACAUGAAGCUUCUUGAGGUCAAAGAUGGCUCAUUCUUGACUCUUGCCUUCCUCGUGUCCGGUGUGGUGUUUGGCUUGAGUAAUGUUUUAUGAACUGAGGGAGACUUAGGAGCCAGUGCACCACAAAUCCCUGAGUUAGAUAUUUCCUUUCCUUGAACAGAGUAGGAGUAGGCUUUGAGGGCAUGAGAGCCCCUGUGAGAGCAACUUGCCAGCUGCCCCCUGAAUCACUUAUAAGGGAAACUGACUGUCACUCAUAAGGAGCUUCAGGUGCCUCAGUCUGGGCCCCAUAGACAUCUGCAGCCCCAAACAGGCUAUUAUACAAGAUCCUGAAUGUUCCCUGGCUGAGCAGGGAGCCCAUAAAGACCUUGAUGAAUGUCACUAUGGGUAGGAGGUGGGAGUAGGGGACUGGAUAGGUGAGUCUUGGAGCAUCCUUGGAAGCAUAAAAUCCAAAAAUUUCACAUGCUAUCUUGCAUGAAUUUAUAAAAUGUGUGUGCAUAAUGAGUAGUUAUAAAUGGAAUAAUUUAAUAUGCUGUAAGGAAGCCCACUCCCCUAAAGGGACUCUGUAGGUGAAUACUUCUGUAUCCUAUAAUUGAUCUAUUUUGCAAAUUCAAAUUUCUCCAAGUGUGGAAUUUAUAUUAUAAGUUAUGGGAAAAUGAGAGAGACAAGGAAUGAGAUUAAUUAGAUAAGUGACUCUUGCCUCUUUCUCUCAGAGCCUGCUAUCUCCUGUGGCUUUUGGGUUUGGCUGUGAGUACUUUGCCCUUUUUGAGGAGCAGGGCAUUGGUGUGCAGUGGGACAACCUCUUUGAGAGCCCUGUGGAGGAAGAUGGCUUCAAUCUCACCACUUCAGUCUCCAUGAUGCUGUUCGACACCUUCCUCUAUGGGGUGAUGACCUGGUACAUUGAGGCUGUCUUUCCAGGUACACUGAGCCUCCUCCCUGCUUUGGCAUCUGUCAGGGAAAGAAUUCUGGCUGCAGAGCUUCCCUUUCUUUGUGCUGGAAUUUCUUCAUGGCAUGGGGCUCCCUGGAAAGUGGUUUGGACUUUAGACCUACGGCAAACAAAUAGUUCCAGUAGAGGAACCAGUGCUGAAAAGUACUACUACUAUGGCAAUCAUUUCUUGAGUACUGUGUGUUCAGCACUGUGAAGUGUUUGAUAUACUGUGGUUCAUUUAAUUCCCAAAAGACUACAUAGAAGUUUUACUGUUAUAACUGUUAUUUCUCAAAUGAGAGAACUAUGACUCAGAGAAGUUAAGUAACCUGCCUGAGGUCACUCAGCUCCUAAGUUCUGGUGCUCAGAAGUGAACCCAGUUGGGUUAUACUGGAUCAGCAAGCCAGGAGAUUCCUCCCUGUGCUGACUCAAUUCUGUAAUUCCAUGUCUCCAGGGAGGGUAACUUUACUCUGAUUACAGUUUGUGAAUAAUACAAUCUGUUGGCUCUAAGCCUUUACGUGUGAUUAAAAUAAAAUUAAUAUUAAAUAAAAGCUCAUUUUGAUACUUUCAUUAACAAAUCCUCUUGACCAAGUCCAAGAGGAACCAGCCUUGGGAUAUGUUUUCAUACAAGAUGAAACUGUGGGAGAGUGAAGGUUUGCUCCAUGUAGUUCACCUUCUCAUUCUCCUCUGAGGAGGUAGACAUGAGAUGUUUAUCACCCCUUCCUGAACUUCCUUCACUGAAUAUGCAAUUCUGCAUCAUGCAGAUCUGGAUUUGAAUUCUGAGUCCUUCACUCAUUGGCUGAGUGUCCUUGUGUAGGCUGCUUACCCCUCAAAAUGAGGAUGGUGCCUCCCUCAGGGAGUUGUUGGGAGGCCUCAGAGAAAAGCAGAAUGUACACUGUUUUUAGUAGGUUUCAGCGAAGGUUACCUCCCUUUCCCCCCAUUCCAUUCCAGUCUAUUCCUUCUCCAAAGGGUGUGUCAAGGAGGGAGUGGGCUGGCUGGGACACCUGAGGAAUACAGGAAUGGUGCUCAGCUUGGAUCACACCUGUGCUUUGCUUUCAGGCCAGUAUGGAAUUCCCAGGCCCUGGUAUUUUCCUUGCACCAAGUCCUACUGGUUUGGUGAGGAAAGUGAUGAGAAGAGCCACCCUGGUUCUAGCCAGAAGGGAAUAUCAGAAAGUAAGUAUUGCUGUCCUGCCCUCCUCCAACCAAGUGCUAACAGGGGCAAGUGAUGGAUGGAUCCUGCACUUUAUGCUGAAGUCACUUUAAAUAAGCCAGUCCUAAAAAACCAAAGAUCCAAUGAUUUCUCUGAUAGGUGGAAGCUAAACACAACAAGGGGAAGAACACAUAUGCAAUAGAUUAGACAAUGGGGAAGGGAGGGAAGGGAGGGGGGGAUAAGCAAAGGAAAGACAGUGGAAUCAAUAGUUUUCCCAUGUACAUGUAUAUGAAAAUAACACCGUGAAUCCCACCACCAUGUAUAUCCAUAAGAAUGGGACUCUAACUAGAAUAAGAUGUAUUCGCAUUUUAUGCUUCUAUAAUUAUGUCAGAAUGGAUUCUGCUGUCAUAUAUAACUAAAAAGAAGCAAUAAAAAUAAAAUAAAAUAUUCAAAAAACGAAUAAAUACACGAAUGCACAUAAAAAAACGAAAUUACUUUAAAGACAAAGAAAUCUCACACAAUGUAUCCCUUCCAAAUUGUCCCACACCAUUCAUGUCCAAAGCUAUGAACUUGAUGGGUCCCUGGGGAACAUUUCCUGUUUUCUUGGCUCCUUGCAAAGUGUCUUUUGAUCACUGAACUUUCACUUAUUGCUCUCUUACUACCAUGCUGUCCUAACAAGCUAGCAGGAAGAGGUAAAGGAAGCCUCGCUGCCUGCCUUGUCCUGGCAACCCAUAUAAGAGUCUGUGUAGGUGGGCACCAAGUGGCUACCCUCGAGCUCAGCCUGUUUCUUUUUUUUUCUUUCUAUUUUGUUAUUGGAUCUUUUUAGAUAUACAUGACAGUAGCUUGUAUUUUGACAUAAUAUACAUACAUGGAGUGUAACUUAUUCUAAUUAGGAUCCUUUCUUGUGGUUGUACAUGAUGUGGAGUUUCACUGGUGGUCUUUCUUAAUAUUCUCACUGGUCACUACUCGGAGGCCUGCCGCUCCCAGCGGCAGGUGGAGAUGUCCACAGCUCAGCAGAGGUUCUGCCUUCUGGGUUCUCUGUUUAGGUUUGCGCUCAGUGUGGAUCCUUCCCAAGUAGUUAGUAGGUCCCUCUUCAGCUGAUCUCUUGUGUGUCUGUCCCCUGAUGGCCAGUGGUAAUUGUACGAAGCUCCUUCACAUGCCACUGUUCUGCUUCUUCUCCUGUUGUUCCCACUCUCCUUCCCUGCCUCCUCUCUGCACCCAGCUCCUGUCAGCCACUUCUGGAACUUGACACAUUGUUCUCUGUCUUGGUACCUUUGUCUGUACUGUUUCCUCUGGGGGGCACCUUUUCUCCUGCUUUCCUGCUGUUUAAACUCCUAACUCUUCAAGGUCUGGUCAGUAUUUCCUUCCUGGAGCAGCCCUCCUAGAGUCUCCUUCCUCUGAGCUUCUGUUGCGUGUAAAACAACACAUAUGCACACACACGCACACACACACACACACAUACACACACACAUCCUCAACAUUUUCAUAUUAAAAUAAUUGUAGAUUCACUGUGUGAAAGGGUUCCCUUGAAUCCUCCAUCCAGUGGUGGCACCAGGUGUAACUAUAGCAUAGUAUCAAAACCACGAAAUUGACACUAAUACAAGUCACACACCUUCAUAUUCCUCUAGUUUUGACAUGCACUCAAUCGUGUGUGGUUUUAGGUCUGUAUAGUUUUAUCAUGUGUACAUUCAUUAGCUCAGUCAAGAAGCAGAACUAUCCCAUUACCACAAAGCUCUCUCCUGUUAUCACUUAACAGUCCCAGCCAUCUCCCUUCUUUCUGGCUCCCUGACACCUGUUAACCUAACCACUCAUCUGUUUCCAAAUUCUCCAAUUUUUUAAAUUUCCAGAAUGUUAUGGCAAUGGAACCAUACAAUGUAAAUCAAUCUCUCUCUCUCUCUCUCUCUCUCUCUCUCUCUAUAUAUAUAUAUAUAUAUAUAUAUAUAUAUGUAUAUGUAUAUAUGUGUGUGUGUGUGUGUGUGUGUCUGUAUAUAUAUAUAUAAAAUCUCCCAGCAGAAUUUCCUAGAGAUCCACUCAAAUUGUGGUGUGUAUCAACAGUUCAUUCCUUUUACUUGCUGAGUGGUAUUCCAUGGUAUGCAUGUCAUAGUCCCAUGGCAUUUUCAGAUGUCUUUUUAAAACAGCAGUUAGCAUUCUGUAUUUUAAUUGCCAGUCAAGUCUUUCUUCCUCAAUAGGCUGCAAAUUUUGCUUUACCAUUUAAUUCNGAUCCUGAAUGUUCCCUGGCUGAGCAGGGAGCCCAUAAAGACCUUGAUGAAUGUCACUAUGGGUAGGAGGUGGGAGUAGGGGACUGGAUAGGUGAGUCUUGGAGCAUCCUUGGAAGCAUAAAAUCCAAAAAUUUCACAUGCUAUCUUGCAUGAAUUUAUAAAAUGUGUGUGCAUAAUGAGUAGUUAUAAAUGGAAUAAUUUAAUAUGCUGUAAGGAAGCCCACUCCCCUAAAGGGACUCUGUAGGUGAAUACUUCUGUAUCCUAUAAUUGAUCUAUUUUGCAAAUUCAAAUUUCUCCAAGUGUGGAAUUUAUAUUAUAAGUUAUGGGAAAAUGAGAGAGACAAGGAAUGAGAUUAAUUAGAUAAGUGACUCUUGCCUCUUUCUCUCAGAGCCUGCUAUCUCCUGUGGCUUUUGGGUUUGGCUGUGAGUACUUUGCCCUUUUUGAGGAGCAGGGCAUUGGUGUGCAGUGGGACAACCUCUUUGAGAGCCCUGUGGAGGAAGAUGGCUUCAAUCUCACCACUUCAGUCUCCAUGAUGCUGUUCGACACCUUCCUCUAUGGGGUGAUGACCUGGUACAUUGAGGCUGUCUUUCCAGGUACACUGAGCCUCCUCCCUGCUUUGGCAUCUGUCAGGGAAAGAAUUCUGGCUGCAGAGCUUCCCUUUCUUUGUGCUGGAAUUUCUUCAUGGCAUGGGGCUCCCUGGAAAGUGGUUUGGACUUUAGACCUACGGCAAACAAAUAGUUCCAGUAGAGGAACCAGUGCUGAAAAGUACUACUACUAUGGCAAUCAUUUCUUGAGUACUGUGUGUUCAGCACUGUGAAGUGUUUGAUAUACUGUGGUUCAUUUAAUUCCCAAAAGACUACAUAGAAGUUUUACUGUUAUAACUGUUAUUUCUCAAAUGAGAGAACUAUGACUCAGAGAAGUUAAGUAACCUGCCUGAGGUCACUCAGCUCCUAAGUUCUGGUGCUCAGAAGUGAACCCAGUUGGGUUAUACUGGAUCAGCAAGCCAGGAGAUUCCUCCCUGUGCUGACUCAAUUCUGUAAUUCCAUGUCUCCAGGGAGGGUAACUUUACUCUGAUUACAGUUUGUGAAUAAUACAAUCUGUUGGCUCUAAGCCUUUACGUGUGAUUAAAAUAAAAUUAAUAUUAAAUAAAAGCUCAUUUUGAUACUUUCAUUAACAAAUCCUCUUGACCAAGUCCAAGAGGAACCAGCCUUGGGAUAUGUUUUCAUACAAGAUGAAACUGUGGGAGAGUGAAGGUUUGCUCCAUGUAGUUCACCUUCUCAUUCUCCUCUGAGGAGGUAGACAUGAGAUGUUUAUCACCCCUUCCUGAACUUCCUUCACUGAAUAUGCAAUUCUGCAUCAUGCAGAUCUGGAUUUGAAUUCUGAGUCCUUCACUCAUUGGCUGAGUGUCCUUGUGUAGGCUGCUUACCCCUCAAAAUGAGGAUGGUGCCUCCCUCAGGGAGUUGUUGGGAGGCCUCAGAGAAAAGCAGAAUGUACACUGUUUUUAGUAGGUUUCAGCGAAGGUUACCUCCCUUUCCCCCCAUUCCAUUCCAGUCUAUUCCUUCUCCAAAGGGUGUGUCAAGGAGGGAGUGGGCUGGCUGGGACACCUGAGGAAUACAGGAAUGGUGCUCAGCUUGGAUCACACCUGUGCUUUGCUUUCAGGCCAGUAUGGAAUUCCCAGGCCCUGGUAUUUUCCUUGCACCAAGUCCUACUGGUUUGGUGAGGAAAGUGAUGAGAAGAGCCACCCUGGUUCUAGCCAGAAGGGAAUAUCAGAAAGUAAGUAUUGCUGUCCUGCCCUCCUCCAACCAAGUGCUAACAGGGGCAAGUGAUGGAUGGAUCCUGCACUUUAUGCUGAAGUCACUUUAAAUAAGCCAGUCCUAAAAAACCAAAGAUCCAAUGAUUUCUCUGAUAGGUGGAAGCUAAACACAACAAGGGGAAGAACACAUAUGCAAUAGAUUAGACAAUGGGGAAGGGAGGGAAGGGAGGGGGGGAUAAGCAAAGGAAAGACAGUGGAAUCAAUAGUUUUCCCAUGUACAUGUAUAUGAAAAUAACACCGUGAAUCCCACCACCAUGUAUAUCCAUAAGAAUGGGACUCUAACUAGAAUAAGAUGUAUUCGCAUUUUAUGCUUCUAUAAUUAUGUCAGAAUGGAUUCUGCUGUCAUAUAUAACUAAAAAGAAGCAAUAAAAAUAAAAUAAAAUAUUCAAAAAACGAAUAAAUACACGAAUGCACAUAAAAAAACGAAAUUACUUUAAAGACAAAGAAAUCUCACACAAUGUAUCCCUUCCAAAUUGUCCCACACCAUUCAUGUCCAAAGCUAUGAACUUGAUGGGUCCCUGGGGAACAUUUCCUGUUUUCUUGGCUCCUUGCAAAGUGUCUUUUGAUCACUGAACUUUCACUUAUUGCUCUCUUACUACCAUGCUGUCCUAACAAGCUAGCAGGAAGAGGUAAAGGAAGCCUCGCUGCCUGCCUUGUCCUGGCAACCCAUAUAAGAGUCUGUGUAGGUGGGCACCAAGUGGCUACCCUCGAGCUCAGCCUGUUUCUUUUUUUUUCUUUCUAUUUUGUUAUUGGAUCUUUUUAGAUAUACAUGACAGUAGCUUGUAUUUUGACAUAAUAUACAUACAUGGAGUGUAACUUAUUCUAAUUAGGAUCCUUUCUUGUGGUUGUACAUGAUGUGGAGUUUCACUGGUGGUCUUUCUUAAUAUUCUCACUGGUCACUACUCGGAGGCCUGCCGCUCCCAGCGGCAGGUGGAGAUGUCCACAGCUCAGCAGAGGUUCUGCCUUCUGGGUUCUCUGUUUAGGUUUGCGCUCAGUGUGGAUCCUUCCCAAGUAGUUAGUAGGUCCCUCUUCAGCUGAUCUCUUGUGUGUCUGUCCCCUGAUGGCCAGUGGUAAUUGUACGAAGCUCCUUCACAUGCCACUGUUCUGCUUCUUCUCCUGUUGUUCCCACUCUCCUUCCCUGCCUCCUCUCUGCACCCAGCUCCUGUCAGCCACUUCUGGAACUUGACACAUUGUUCUCUGUCUUGGUACCUUUGUCUGUACUGUUUCCUCUGGGGGGCACCUUUUCUCCUGCUUUCCUGCUGUUUAAACUCCUAACUCUUCAAGGUCUGGUCAGUAUUUCCUUCCUGGAGCAGCCCUCCUAGAGUCUCCUUCCUCUGAGCUUCUGUUGCGUGUAAAACAACACAUAUGCACACACACGCACACACACACACACACACAUACACACACACAUCCUCAACAUUUUCAUAUUAAAAUAAUUGUAGAUUCACUGUGUGAAAGGGUUCCCUUGAAUCCUCCAUCCAGUGGUGGCACCAGGUGUAACUAUAGCAUAGUAUCAAAACCACGAAAUUGACACUAAUACAAGUCACACACCUUCAUAUUCCUCUAGUUUUGACAUGCACUCAAUCGUGUGUGGUUUUAGGUCUGUAUAGUUUUAUCAUGUGUACAUUCAUUAGCUCAGUCAAGAAGCAGAACUAUCCCAUUACCACAAAGCUCUCUCCUGUUAUCACUUAACAGUCCCAGCCAUCUCCCUUCUUUCUGGCUCCCUGACACCUGUUAACCUAACCACUCAUCUGUUUCCAAAUUCUCCAAUUUUUUAAAUUUCCAGAAUGUUAUGGCAAUGGAACCAUACAAUGUAAAUCAAUCUCUCUCUCUCUCUCUCUCUCUCUCUCUCUCUCUCUCUACAUAUAUAUAUAUAUAUAUAUAUAUAUAUAUAUAUAUAUAUAUGUAUAUGUAUAUAUGUGUGUGUGUGUGUGUGUGUGUCUGUAUAUAUAUAUAUAAAAUCUCCCAGCAGAAUUUCCUAGAGAUCCACUCAAAUUGUGGUGUGUAUCAACAGUUCAUUCCUUUUACUUGCUGAGUGGUAUUCCAUGGUAUGCAUGUCAUAGUCCCAUGGCAUUUUCAGAUGUCUUUUUAAAACAGCAGUUAGCAUUCUGUAUUUUAAUUGCCAGUCAAGUCUUUCUUCCUCAAUAGGCUGCAAAUUUUGCUUUACCAUUUAAUUCUGACAACAGUGCCAAGAGGGGCCCUAAAUAAAUAUGUAUAGCUUCCUGCUUGCUUAUAAAACCAGAGUGGCUAUGGACAAAAGCUGUUCUAAGAGUCCAAGUGCAGCCCUCUGUGUCUUUACAUUCUACUUUCAGUAUAUUCUAUGGGUUCAUUCCUUUCUCCUCUCUUUUCUCAUAGUCUGCAUGGAAGAGGAACCCACCCACCUGAAGCUGGGUGUGUCCAUUCAGAACCUGGUGAAGAUUUACCGAGACGGCAUGAAGGUGGCUGUUGAUGGCCUGGCACUGAAUUUUUAUGAGGGCCAGAUCACCUCCUUUCUGGGCCACAAUGGAGCAGGGAAGACAACCACCAUGUAAGAAGGGGAAGUGGCCAUAGAGUCUACCACUAGAAGGUUCUGCAGUGUACUUAGAAAUUCAUAGCUGAGGAAAUUGGGGUUGGUUGCUAGGGCAAGGAUAGAGCACAUGAGGGGGUGAUAAGUGUAAAACAUCACAUAAUCACGAGUGUGCUUUCCAAGGGUUAGUCUUUGCUAGAUAUUUUUUUCUUCAGCCUAAAGCAGGGUGGGUGUUUUGAUGACCUUUCCCAGGUAGGGCUCAGAAUUAUGCAGUGUUUUUGGAAUCUGAGGCUAUGACAGCUUUGAGAAAGGGUCUCCUUCUGAGGUGGUUUGGUCAGAACUGUAAAGCAAAAGUCUGGAAAGAAAGAUUAGACACUGGAGGGAGAUGGCAAUUUCCAGGAACUCUGUCUCUAAGCAGAUGUGGGAAGUGGGCUGUUGGCUCCCAUUGUCUUCCCUGGCACCCAUGAGGACCUUCUGCCUGACAGCUUCCGGAAUGGGUAAGGGCCCCAAAACACUAGUUAGCCUCAGUGGCUUUCAGUAUGGCCUCUCAACCAUUCCAAAGGGUAGAUCUUCGAGGGUGAUGUUCUUUUCUUGUUUUUUUUUUUUUAACAUAAAAUCAAUAUAUUGUGGGUAUAGCUGCUGAAUAUUUUUUAAAAGACACUUGAAAAUCUUACCAUCUAACACAAACAUUAUUAUUAUUACUGGUAUCAGGGAUUGAACCCAGGGAAACUGAGCCACAUCCCCAGCCCUUUUUAUUUUUUAUUUUGAGACAGAUGCUGAGGCUGGCUUUAAAUUUUCAAUCCUCCUGCUUCAGCCUAUUGAGCUGCUGGGAUUAUAGGCAUGCACCACUACACCCAAUUUAAAACAGAUAUUGUCUUUUUAUCAUUGAAUAAUUUGUUUUGAUCUGUCUGUUUUUCAUGGAUAUAACCUUAGGCAUACAAAAUACAUAUUUUAAGGCUCACUUUCCAUUGUAUAUUAGAGGAUUCAUUUUCCAAAUGCUCAUAUUUUGCUUUGUUGGGGAUCUAUUAGGGUCCAUCAGAAAGGAAUAGAAGCAGGGUGUUGGUACCCCGUGCUCACCGUGAUGGGCUCUGCAGUGGUGGGGUGGGCCAGCCCUGAUGCCUGCAUUUGUUAAUUUUGUCCUCAGGUCAAUCCUGACUGGGUUGUUCCCUCCUACCUCUGGCACGGCCUACAUCUUGGGAAAGGAUAUUCGCUCUGAGAUGAGCACCAUCCGGCAGAACCUGGGGGUCUGUCCCCAGCACAAUGUGCUGUUUGACAUGUGAGUACCACAGCAUAUUGAGAAGAGAGGCCCCUUUUUGGAUUUAGAAGUCAUGGGUGAAAUGGGAGUUAGGCAUUUUUGCCUUCUUUGGAGAUAGCAGUUCUUAUCUCUUUAGACACAUUGAGAUCUGUUUUAGGCAGGAGAUGUUACUUCAGUCCAGAUGGCUGAUGGGGGAUUGGGAAGCAAUGGACUUCAUCAUGUGCCUCUGGAGGGUCUUUCAUCCCAUCCUUUCCCCUGCUGCACCUGUCCCUAAAGUUCUAGUUCAUUGACCACCCCCGUCUCCACCGCCAAUCCCCUGGCAGGGCCUAAGGACACUUGGUACCAUGGUCCUGUGUUCAUUGAUCAUGACAUUUGCUCCCACUCAGCUUGUCCCAUCAGCAGGUAAGACCCCAGAGAGCCCUUGUAGUUGAUCAGAGAAAACCCAUUUUUUUUUUUAAUCUAAAAUGAGCAGUUUGAGCUUCUGGCUCCCUAGGAACCUGCUUUUGCUCAGAGUCUGAGGUUCUUUGAGAUUCAGGGGACGCUUCUCCAGGUUAAUGCUGACCCAGCAUGGUUGAUGGAACUAUGGGUGAGACGUUUGAGGACCUGAAAAAUAAAUUGCAAUUGCUGAUGCCUGGUGGCCAGCCCUGUGAAGAGUAGGUUGGAAAUGAUCUGUUACCUCUAAGUUUUGACUUCCUGAGAAGCUCAUGUUGUUGUUGUCUGUUGUUCUACCUUGAAUCUUUCCUUUUGAUUAUAUUUUUUAGAAAUUUAAGGGGAUAGUACUGGGGAUUGAUAUGGAUAAAAAUGAUAUAUGCAUUUAUGAAUAUGUCAAAACAAAACCUGCUAUUAUGCACAACUAUGAUGCACUAAAAAUAAAAAUAAAAGAAAUUGAUAAGUCAAAAAAGAAAUGUAGGAAUGAAGUGGGAAAGAAGAAAAACAUGCACAUUGUUUUCUGUUCUGGGUCAGGAGACACUAUAUCCUGGUGUGUCCUGUAGGGCCCAGAGCUGACCUGCCCCUCUGUCCCCAGGCUUACUGUGGAAGAGCACAUUUGGUUCUAUGCCUGCCUGAAGGGGCUUUCCGGGAAGCAUGUGAAAGCAGAGAUGGAACAGAUGGCCCUGGAUGUCGGUCUGCCGCCCAGCAAGCUGAAAAGCAAAACAAGUCAGUUGUCAGGUGAGGCCCUGAGCACCUUCCCUGUCUUUCCCCUUCCUCCUCCACCUAUCCAUACACAGAGGAAAAGCUGCCCAGGGUCCCAGGCAGGGUGGAAGGUAACAGACCCUUUUCCUGGGCUAUGUCCCCAGAUGGGUGCCUGUCUUCAUCUCUCACCCCCUCCUCCUUCAUUCACCAUCUGGGGCUGGUUCUGGAGCCUAUCUUUUGCUCUGUCUUAUAGGUGGGAUGCAGAGAAAGUUGUCUGUGGCCUUGGCCUUUGUUGGGGGGUCCAAGGUUGUCAUUCUGGAUGAGCCCACAGCUGGUGUGGAUCCCUACUCCCGCAGGGGAAUAUGGGAGCUGCUGCUGAAAUACCGACAAGGUAACCAAUGUGUACUCUGAGUCACGGAUUUGGGGAGAGAAGGGUUAUUGAGAAGUAUGGCUGUAUCUCAUGGGGGUAACAGAAUUGCUUCUCAAAGAAAAAAAUGGAACUUUUUUUAAAGCUCAGUGUCUUCUUUUAGUAUGGAUAUGGGAGACCUGGUUGUAAGAUACUUGAAGUUUAUGCUUCAUUACCUAGGGGCCUGCAAGAACAGAAAUGGUAUAGACUUACACGGGUGUAUCGUGAUUAUACUACGCUAAGAUAGAUUCCUGAGAGCAGAGGCUCUGUUCAUUGUUUUGUCCCUAACUUGUUGCACUAAUUUUGUUUGUUGAAAGAGUGGAUGAAUAAAUUAAUGGAAUGGGAAAGGACAAGAACGCGUUUGGCCGUGUGCUUAGAGCUUGUGCAGCCCUGAUGCUUUGGAAAAAAAAAUCACUUAGCUUGGCCCCAUUUCCUUAUCUGUAAUAAGAGUGGUGCUUACCUCAUGAAGGGUAAAAUUAAUUAAAGAAUAUACAUAAACCACCUAAUAUGCUUUCUGACACCUUGCAAGUUCCAAAUAAAUGUGUUGCCAGCCUUGGGGUCAUGGCCAGAGGGUUGAAGUCAGCUUUCAGUCUUUCUUGCCUACACCCCUGCCAGUGUCUCUAUAGUCCUUGCUACUACAAUCAAUGAGAAAAGACAGGACUCACGUGUCCCACAUCCUUGUAUUUGUGUCUGGCAGGUCGCACCAUUAUUCUCUCCACACACCACAUGGAUGAAGCAGACAUCCUGGGGGACAGGAUUGCCAUCAUUUCCCAUGGGAAGUUGUGCUGUGUGGGCUCCUCCCUGUUCUUGAAGAACCAGCUGGGAACAGGCUACUACCUGACACUGGUCAAGAAAGAUGUAGAAUCCUCCCUGAGUUCCUGCCGAAAUAGCAGUAGCACUGUGUCAUACCUGAAAAAGGUGAGCUGCAGUCUCAGUGCUGGGCUGGGCCGGGCCGUCAGGACUUAUUGGCUGCAGAUGGCUUGUUCACCUCUGCCCCAUUCACCCAAGUUGUGGCCACUGUCUCCCUGCUCUGUACCCUUUCACAUCAUACUGCCUAUGUGGAAAGUUCUAGAGCCCUCUGUUCUCGUAGUGCUAGUUUUGUUGAGUCCCAUUUUUCCUUUUUCCUAUUCAAUGAGCAAUGGAGAAUGUCCUUUCAGGACUUUAUUAUGUCGCAGAAAAGAGACUAGCUAAGAGGUAAGAGUUGGCUACAAAAUGUCCUGCUAUUCCUGCUUAUUAUCUUUAAAUCUCAUCGAUCUUUACUUUUAAACUAUAAAACACAAAUAUUUAUGAAGCACUUAUUUCAGACCACACAGACUGGGUGUAAAAGAAAAUAAUGAUAAUAGUUAUUGUUUUGUCACAAUUUUUUUUCCCCAUCUGGCAUCUCAGAGUACAGAGCAAUCCUAGGAAGACAGUACAUGAUUACUAUCCUAGAUGAGGGAAGUGAGACCUGUAGGGAUUUGUUAGCUUAUUACAGGUCAUCUAAAAAAUAAAUAGCAGGUGGGACUAGAACCUCCAAACCAGACAUGUUCUCUCCUCUAUCAUAGUACAUGCCUGAGAUUUNCUCAGCUUGUCCCAUCAGCAGGUAAGACCCCAGAGAGCCCUUGUAGUUGAUCAGAGAAAACCCAUUUUUUUUUUUAAUCUAAAAUGAGCAGUUUGAGCUUCUGGCUCCCUAGGAACCUGCUUUUGCUCAGAGUCUGAGGUUCUUUGAGAUUCAGGGGACGCUUCUCCAGGUUAAUGCUGACCCAGCAUGGUUGAUGGAACUAUGGGUGAGACGUUUGAGGACCUGAAAAAUAAAUUGCAAUUGCUGAUGCCUGGUGGCCAGCCCUGUGAAGAGUAGGUUGGAAAUGAUCUGUUACCUCUAAGUUUUGACUUCCUGAGAAGCUCAUGUUGUUGUUGUCUGUUGUUCUACCUUGAAUCUUUCCUUUUGAUUAUAUUUUUUAGAAAUUUAAGGGGAUAGUACUGGGGAUUGAUAUGGAUAAAAAUGAUAUAUGCAUUUAUGAAUAUGUCAAAACAAAACCUGCUAUUAUGCACAACUAUGAUGCACUAAAAAUAAAAAUAAAAGAAAUUGAUAAGUCAAAAAAGAAAUGUAGGAAUGAAGUGGGAAAGAAGAAAAACAUGCACAUUGUUUUCUGUUCUGGGUCAGGAGACACUAUAUCCUGGUGUGUCCUGUAGGGCCCAGAGCUGACCUGCCCCUCUGUCCCCAGGCUUACUGUGGAAGAGCACAUUUGGUUCUAUGCCUGCCUGAAGGGGCUUUCCGGGAAGCAUGUGAAAGCAGAGAUGGAACAGAUGGCCCUGGAUGUCGGUCUGCCGCCCAGCAAGCUGAAAAGCAAAACAAGUCAGUUGUCAGGUGAGGCCCUGAGCACCUUCCCUGUCUUUCCCCUUCCUCCUCCACCUAUCCAUACACAGAGGAAAAGCUGCCCAGGGUCCCAGGCAGGGUGGAAGGUAACAGACCCUUUUCCUGGGCUAUGUCCCCAGAUGGGUGCCUGUCUUCAUCUCUCACCCCCUCCUCCUUCAUUCACCAUCUGGGGCUGGUUCUGGAGCCUAUCUUUUGCUCUGUCUUAUAGGUGGGAUGCAGAGAAAGUUGUCUGUGGCCUUGGCCUUUGUUGGGGGGUCCAAGGUUGUCAUUCUGGAUGAGCCCACAGCUGGUGUGGAUCCCUACUCCCGCAGGGGAAUAUGGGAGCUGCUGCUGAAAUACCGACAAGGUAACCAAUGUGUACUCUGAGUCACGGAUUUGGGGAGAGAAGGGUUAUUGAGAAGUAUGGCUGUAUCUCAUGGGGGUAACAGAAUUGCUUCUCAAAGAAAAAAAUGGAACUUUUUUUAAAGCUCAGUGUCUUCUUUUAGUAUGGAUAUGGGAGACCUGGUUGUAAGAUACUUGAAGUUUAUGCUUCAUUACCUAGGGGCCUGCAAGAACAGAAAUGGUAUAGACUUACACGGGUGUAUCGUGAUUAUACUACGCUAAGAUAGAUUCCUGAGAGCAGAGGCUCUGUUCAUUGUUUUGUCCCUAACUUGUUGCACUAAUUUUGUUUGUUGAAAGAGUGGAUGAAUAAAUUAAUGGAAUGGGAAAGGACAAGAACGCGUUUGGCCGUGUGCUUAGAGCUUGUGCAGCCCUGAUGCUUUGGAAAAAAAAAUCACUUAGCUUGGCCCCAUUUCCUUAUCUGUAAUAAGAGUGGUGCUUACCUCAUGAAGGGUAAAAUUAAUUAAAGAAUAUACAUAAACCACCUAAUAUGCUUUCUGACACCUUGCAAGUUCCAAAUAAAUGUGUUGCCAGCCUUGGGGUCAUGGCCAGAGGGUUGAAGUCAGCUUUCAGUCUUUCUUGCCUACACCCCUGCCAGUGUCUCUAUAGUCCUUGCUACUACAAUCAAUGAGAAAAGACAGGACUCACGUGUCCCACAUCCUUGUAUUUGUGUCUGGCAGGUCGCACCAUUAUUCUCUCCACACACCACAUGGAUGAAGCAGACAUCCUGGGGGACAGGAUUGCCAUCAUUUCCCAUGGGAAGUUGUGCUGUGUGGGCUCCUCCCUGUUCUUGAAGAACCAGCUGGGAACAGGCUACUACCUGACACUGGUCAAGAAAGAUGUAGAAUCCUCCCUGAGUUCCUGCCGAAAUAGCAGUAGCACUGUGUCAUACCUGAAAAAGGUGAGCUGCAGUCUCAGUGCUGGGCUGGGCCGGGCCGUCAGGACUUAUUGGCUGCAGAUGGCUUGUUCACCUCUGCCCCAUUCACCCAAGUUGUGGCCACUGUCUCCCUGCUCUGUACCCUUUCACAUCAUACUGCCUAUGUGGAAAGUUCUAGAGCCCUCUGUUCUCGUAGUGCUAGUUUUGUUGAGUCCCAUUUUUCCUUUUUCCUAUUCAAUGAGCAAUGGAGAAUGUCCUUUCAGGACUUUAUUAUGUCGCAGAAAAGAGACUAGCUAAGAGGUAAGAGUUGGCUACAAAAUGUCCUGCUAUUCCUGCUUAUUAUCUUUAAAUCUCAUCGAUCUUUACUUUUAAACUAUAAAACACAAAUAUUUAUGAAGCACUUAUUUCAGACCACACAGACUGGGUGUAAAAGAAAAUAAUGAUAAUAGUUAUUGUUUUGUCACAAUUUUUUUUCCCCAUCUGGCAUCUCAGAGUACAGAGCAAUCCUAGGAAGACAGUACAUGAUUACUAUCCUAGAUGAGGGAAGUGAGACCUGUAGGGAUUUGUUAGCUUAUUACAGGUCAUCUAAAAAAUAAAUAGCAGGUGGGACUAGAACCUCCAAACCAGACAUGUUCUCUCCUCUAUCAUAGUACAUGCCUGAGAUUUAUUCAUGGAUUGAAACCAGUGGCACCUAAUACAUCUUAAUCCUAACCUUGAACUCUGUCCACUUACUUACCUUUUAACUAAAGCCUCCUUACUUAAGUGUGGUGUGAGGACCAGCAGCAUCAGGAUUAGAAAUGCAGUAACUUGGGUCCAAUUCAGACCUACUGAGUCAGAAUCUGCAUUUUAAUGGGGUCCUAGAAUGGUUUAACAUAUGUUAAAGCUUAGGUUGCAUUGAAUUAGACAAGUAGCCAGAUAAAUCCCAUGCCUGCAAUGAUUGGCAAAUCCUGGUUGCACCAGGAUUCCUGCCAAGCCACAGUUCUGUUGAUAGCUCAUAACUCACCCCAGGAAGAGAGGCUGUCCACUUGGCACACACAUCACACGGUGGCCUCUAAAGCCCUGGCUUCCAGCUUCAUGCACACCAGGAAAAGCUUUUGCUGCAGUUCUUACACAAUAGAGCUUCUGGAAACCCUCGCUGGCAAAGGUGGUGGUGGCUAUACCUUGCUUGGUCCCUGACCCAUUCUCACCUCCUUCUUUGCCAUCAGGAGGACAGUGUUUCUCAGAGCAGUUCUGAUGCUGGCCUGGGCAGCGACCAUGAAAGUGACACGCUGACCAUCGGUAAGGACUCUGGGGUUUCUCAUUCAGGUGGUGCCUGAGCUUCCCCCAGCUGGGCAGAGUGGAGGCAGAGGAGGAGAGGUGCAGAGGCUGGUGGCGCUGACUCAAGGUUUGCUGCUGGGCUGGGCUGGGCUGGGUGGCUGUGGGAGUGGAUGCAGCUUGGUGGUGGUGGCCUAAUGCUUGCUGGGGGGCCUGGGGCUUGGUCUGGGAGCUGGCAGGGCAGUGUCCCAGAGAACUGAGAUGACUGGGGUUUGGGGAAUCCCUUAGGGGAGUGGAUCUGGCUGGACACCGGAUGAGCCAUUGAGUGUCAAGCCAGCAGGGAGGGAUUUGAGCUUAGUAUAUAAGGAAGGUGAGAGCCCAGGAGAUAAGAAGCAGCCUUUUAGGCUUUUCUUGGCAGUGCAUAUGGGAACCCAGUGUCGUCAGUAGCAUGUGGAACAGAAAUCAUAACCUGGCCAUCUCUGCUCAGUUCUAACAGCUGGCUUUUUCCAGGAAGACUUCUGCUUCUAUGAACUGUUUGGUUAGCCUCUAUUGAGGUAAAUAGAGGGAAGCUCCCUUUGAAAGAAAGCUUAGGAAAGGCUGAAAAAUCUCUAUGAUUUUUCUUACUCAAGUUUUCUACUAAAGAAUCCCAGCGUAUAAGCUGUAGAUACCAGAUCUUCAACCUCAGCAAGUCAUCCAUCCAUCUAUAACACAUGGAGUACCCACAGUGUGCCUAGUUGUGGUGAUAUAAAGUGAAUGAGUUACAGUUCUUGUCCCCUGGAAAUCUUAGAGUUGAACAUGUGGAAUGGCUAAAAUAUCUUGGACAGUAUGGUGUAUAAGCAGCAGGCUUCUGAGAAGUAGGCAAAGGGGAUGACUGGCCUUUGCUGUGGAGCCUCUGAAAUGACUGAACCAUCUUUACACUGUGGUCCUUGCAGAUGUCUCAGCCAUCUCCAACCUCAUCAGGAAGCAUGUAUCUGAAGCCCGGCUAGUGGAAGACAUUGGGCAUGAGUUGACCUAUGUACUACCAUAUGAAGCUGCUAAGGAGGGGGCAUUUGUGGAACUCUUCCAUGAGAUCGAUGACCGGCUCUCAGACCUGGGCAUAUCCAGUUAUGGCAUCUCAGAGACUACCUUGGAAGAAGUAAGUUGGGUGGCUGACUGUCAAAUAUAGCAGCCCCAACCACCUCAAGGUCAGACAGGAAGGAAACAGGAUCACCAUGGGGUUGGUCAUUGAGAUUUUAGGUCAUUGAUAUCUAGGUAAUGUUGGCAGCAGUGAACCAAUUAAGAUCAUAGUGGGAGAUAGCAGGCAGGAAAGAAGUACUAGGAUUGCCCCUGGUGUGGUUGUGUUAACUGGACUUAAUGCAUCAUAAGAAAUGACCAACAUUUAUAGUCUACUAGGGCCAGGUACCAAGCUGUACGUUUUUGGUGUUUCUUUUUGAUUUGCUUUUUUAAAUCUUUGUAAUCUUGUGUAAUCCUCAUAACAAGACAAGAAAAUUAACUAAUCAGGGAUGUUGAGUUGGGAUUCAGCAUGGUAAGUUUGGGCUUCAAAACCCAGGUUGUUUUUAUGAAGUAGUAAUUCCUCCCUUUAGAGACACAUCACAGACUUUGAGGGCUGGAAGGGCUAUAAAAGUUGUCUGGCCUGGUGAUUCCAUGCUAGAUUGUGUAGUAGCCAUGUGAGGAUAUUACUGACAAUAAAAAUUCCAAGUCUCAAUUCUAGUGUCUUUGAAUUAGGAUUUCUGGAAGUAAGGCCUUAACUCUGUACUUCCACUGCAUAUGUCGUACACAGUGGUCUAUAGACAAGAGUUUGGAAAUCAGUGGCCUCAUUCAGAUUCUCCUCUGAUGUUUGGACCUCUGCCAUGAUAUUUCUACUUAUGGGGAGUCCAUGUCUUCCUGACCAUUCUGUCUUGACUAACUUAGCACAGUGCUGUUCUGCUUAAAGAUUUGAAGCCACAGCCUGAAAGAAACCACUUUACUCAUUCCCUAUAGGUUCCUAACAGAUUUCCUUUGUCUCAGUGUCCUGAUGUCAUAGCUGUAUUUUGAAAAUGAUUGUCUGGACUGAUAGUUCUCACCACUAAGGGAAUGUUUUCUGGCAAAAAUACCUCCCAAAUAACUCUGAUCAAGUGUUAUUAAUAAAUGUAGCUUCUACUUUCUUUGUCUUAGAGGUGGUAAUAUGCAAGUCAAUAAUGUAGUCAGGAUAGUGAUGGCUAUUCUCAUAAUGUUGGUACUUAUAUUGUCACCAACUCUAAUUUUUCAGAUAUUCCUCAAAGUGGCUGAAGAGAGUGGGGUGGAUGCUGAGACCUCAGGUAACCCUUUUGAGAGGGACUAUACAGUCUGGCUAGAGUCUUGAGCAGGCAAACUUCACUCACCAGUGUUGUACCUUUCUCUUCAUAUUGUUCUUUUUAUUUUUUAUUUUGUUUUUUUUUUCCCUUUACAUUGUUCUAAUACAGUCCCAUUUUUAGAGUAUAUGUUUGUUACAGGUAGAGAAGGUUUGUUUUGUUUCAAAUAAAGUAAAAUGAGGGAUUCCUUCCUUUUGCCUUCAGAUGGUACUUUGCCAGCGAGACGAAACCGACGGGCCUUUGGAGACAAGCAGAGCUGCCUUCGCCCAUUUACUGAAGAUGAUGCUAUUGAUCCCAAUGAUUCUGAUAUAGACCCAGGUUCGUUUGGGCAAGAUCUAGGUUCUAUUGUUUGAAGAAGAAUUUCUCCUUUAUGUUCUUCUCAGCUGUUUUCUUUUGAUGAACAAGAUGAUAGAUUCCCUGGAGGGUCCAGAAGGAAGUGGAAAAAUGAGAAAAGCCGCUUGUCUUUUUCCAGCUUUGUGCAUGUGUUUAGGUCAAACAUGAAAGAGCCCAUCCUCAUCGUUCCUUCAGUUAGCUGAGAUCUUAAGAUGCACAUAUUAAAAAAGGACUGCUCUUUUAUUGUCUUUUCUGUAGGGUUCAAGUUUCUUGCAUACAUUAAGUGUUUUAUUGUUGAAUAAGUAUUUAUUGAAUGGAUGAAUGAUUUUGAGAAAGUCAGGGAGGGUAAUUUGCUUUCAGUUAAUGUGCCCUUAGAUGUAGGUAUUUUGGAUGACUGUGUCCUUGUGUGUUUGAAAUGAAAAGGAGAGGUAAGAAAUCAAACAAAUUUGAUGUCAGAGUGUCUCUGUUAGGAAUCAUUCAUUUCAGACAAGAAUUUCUACAUAAUUUUUAUGAACAGAGAAUUUUCUCACUGUCCCAGUCCAUGGCACAUGAGCAUGUGGCUCUUAUGUUCUCCCUGACUUCAUGCAUUGUUAGUACUUAGAUCAUUUCAAAUGUGUCCAUUUUUUUAACAAAAAUAUAAAAGAUUAGAGACUGCCAUUGUGUGUUCUCAAGUGUGUUCAUCUGCAUACAUGGCCUGUUCCAUAGAAUAAUCUGUAAGAAAUCAGCAAUGUCUCCACUCAUCUGAAUGAUGUUCGGUAACACCUAGGUAAGAAUAUGUGAACAUCUCUGCAGUAGUCUCAAGGCACCUUCAUUCUUUGUACUCACCAAACGAGGACUAAAAGGCAGAGACUGCUCCUGUUGGACAUGUUGAGUCAUUAGUUUUUCUUGAAUAUAGAGGUAUCAUUAAAACCCUUUACCUCUGUGAGAUACUUUCAAUUUCAAACACAAGCCUCCAAAUGGUUUCUGAAGAUCUUAGAAGAAGGAAUACAUCAUGUCAAAAACACCUAACAUAAUAGGUGACCUUCAGUAUUGGCUUCUUGCAGAAUCCAGGGAGACAGACCUGCUCAGCGGGAUGGAUGGUAAAGGCUCCUAUCAGGUGAAGGGCUGGAAACUCACGCAGCAACAGUUUGUGGCUCUUUUGUGGAAGAGGCUGCUGAUCGCCAGACGGAGUAGAAAAGGAUUCUUCGCUCAGGUGAAAUAUGCUGGUUUCUGGCUUCAUGGGUGGGCUACACACUCUCUGACCAGUGAAAGCAGAAUGCUGCUGCAGUCAAGAUAUAGAUAUUGGAGCUAGAUUAUCUGUAUUUCCAUCCCAGUUCUAUUUCUUGCCAGUUUUGUGUCUGCCAGCAAAUGACUUCUCCAGGCCUCAGUCUCCUCACCUGAAAAAUAGAGAUAAUAAUGUGCCUAUGACACCAUGUUAUCCUGAGGAUAAACAUGAAUAAAUGCUUAGAAUGGAGUCUGAUGCUUGGGUUUAUGGGUAUGUAUGUGUGUAUGUAUGUAUGUCUUUUAUUUUAGAGAACAACAUAAAAGGGUAAGCGUUUAGAAAAACUGUUAGGUAAAUUCAGCUAUCAUAACAUAAGUGAUGUUAUGCUCAGAUGCACUUGACAUAUGCACUUAUUAGAAACAUGAUUUUUCUCUAAGUUGAUGUUUAACUCAAAUGAUAAAAAGAUACCCAGAGAGAUCAGAAUGUAACUGGCAAAUAGAGAAGACUCAUACUACUCCCUUCAAGUCAGAGUUUGUAUGCUCACUUGCUUAGUUAGAAGAGUUAAAAUUAUUUCACUCUGUAAAAAUUAAGAAAUGUGGAGAAAAGUUUAUAGAGAGUCUUCCUUACAGACUGUAUGUAUGAUACUAAGAGUAUGAGUUUGGGACAUACAGACCUGGAUUUGAAGUCUGGUUGUGUUACUAGCUGGCUUUGUGACCAUGAACAAGUAACUUGACUCUCUGAUCUUUAAUAACCAAGUUUUUGGAUAGUGGCAAUGAUAGUAACACCACAAAUAACAGCAUAGGGUAGUAAUGAUAAUUAAGAUAAUUAUCAUUAGAGUACUUUCCAGUAGAAUUGCUCACUUAAUGAUAAUUUUCUGCAUUGAAGCCCAAGAGCCAGAGUCAAUAUGAAUUGACUUUUUAAAGGAUAAGUUUCUCAGCAAUAAAUGGAAAGACCUUUGAGUUUACUUGUAAAGUGUGUAUGAGUCAUUGUUUUCAGAGUAGGUUUGUAGAAAGUUUGAGGAAUUUCAAGAAGGAGUUGCGUAUUUAUGCUUUGAGAGGUGAUCAUGGCAGACAAUGGCUGCUAUUGCUUGUGACUGGAGUCACUGCUUUUAAGAACUGGUUUCAGGAUUAUGGGAUCUGAUCUCUUCUCAGUCCUCAGAUUAUAAUGAGAAUACUGAGGCCCUACAGUGGUGAUGUCAUGUGGGUACACUUGUAUUAGUGUCAGACCCAGGAUUCAGGACUUGUGGCUCCUAGUCCAGGGCUUGUUCACUCAGUUUUCUUCUGAGCUGAACUGCGCUCAUGACCCAUUGUGGUCUUUAUCAUCUUCAUGGGAAGAAAUGCAGGACCCAGAAUUCUGAGUCACCCUAACGUGGGGUUGCUCUUUACUCUGUGAAGUUCCUAGCCUAGUGCUUCUGCCAGGUGACUAGAGACUCUGGCAUUGUGCUGCCAGAUUCUAGAAAGUCCUGGAGGGAAGAUGUUUAGUGUUCAGGAUCCAUUGCUUUCACUCUGCCCACAAGGCCUUGGGCCAGCCAUGGGCCCUGUCACCCUCCUUCUUGUGCUGCCUGGUCUGGGAACCUGGCUGGACUUGCAGGGAUUUGCUCCUUGGACUUCUUUCUAACCUUAUCUUUUCCUGCCAUCCCCCUACCCCCUCCAUUGCCUGGUUACAGAUUGUCCUGCCAGCUGUGUUUGUCUGCAUUGCCCUGGUGUUCAGCCUGAUUGUGCCACCCUUUGGCAAGUACCCUAGCCUGGAACUUCAGCCCUGGAUGUACAAUGAGCAGUAUACGUUUGUCAGGUACGUGUUUGUCUUCUGGGCCCAGGGGAGAGGAGGGUUCGAGUAGAUCAAGGGUGAUCACUGUGCUGAGGGUCAAAAGAAUAGAGUCAAGAAUUGCACAGUGGAAGGGGUUUUACCAGCUGUGCCUCAGGCCCCUAUGUAAGCUACUACUGCAUGCCAAGAACAUCAGUGAGCUACCCUUGACUUAGCAGCUAGUCCUCUCUCGGACAUUUCACCCCUUCUCCUUAUGCUGUGAGUGUCAGGACAACCCUGCAUAUUUUAGAUGAUAUUCCCUUGAUAAAAUCUAAAAUUGUUUUAAAAUAUUUGUAUUUUUAGAGUUAUGUUUUAAUUUUGUUAUCUAGUCAUAGGGCUUCCAUACAGUGUCAAAACAGAAGCUUCACAUUCUUAUUUUCUAUAUAGUAUAAUUCAUGUAAUUAUUACCUACUCUUUAAAUUUAUGGUUUUGGCUAAUGUUAACGUUUGGCAAAAAUACUUUCUACUCCAUAGUAAUCCUAUGCAUGAAAUAAAAGGACAAAGGAAUUUCUGGAUAUUGUUUGGCAAAGGUUUUCUGGGAUUUAUAGGUGUAUAGAUAGGAGAGAUAUAUAAGUGAUAUCUAGAAGAGGUUUAAAAAUGAAAAUAACAUAUACCAAACAUAUGAAUUUGUCUCUUUUUCUCCAAACUAUGCUUUCUUCUUAAUUCAGGUUUACUUGCCUUUUUCCCUUCCUAGCUGUUGACCUUGUAUUGCCUAUAGCUAUAAAAUAUGGCAUGUGUUUGUGACCUGUGCCUAUUAUUUCUUGUACUUUCGAGUUGUCUGUGUACACAGUCAGUAAAAUCUGCCUGUCCUUCCUGGAAAAUACUGGUUAUCUGGGCCAAAUGGGUAAUCAUGAAAGUAAUUUUGAAAUACUGAUCCUUAAUGAGUCUCAUUACUUCAAAUUACAAUAUAUAUGUAAAUGUGUGUAUAUGUGUGCAUAGGUACACACAGGUACACACAUCUUCAUACAUAUUCCAGUUUGGGGUGCUCUAUACUACCCAGAUGCUGAAUAUAUGGCCAGAGUCCAAGCUCCUCAUACCUAGUUUCUGUAUUUUAUUCAUUUUUCUUUUAAGAGCCUAGAAUCCAGGAAGUACUUAAUAGAGUGUUUAAUUUAGAAAACUUUUCUUUCUCCCUGUUCCUGGUUUAAAUGAAUUACUGAGAUGGUUGCUUCCCAUGUACUCACAGUAAUGAUGCUCCUGAGGACACUGGCACCCAGCAACUCUUGAAUGCCCUCACCAAAGACCCUGGUUUUGGGACCCGGUGUAUGGAAGGAAACCCAAUCCCGUGAGUGUCACUUUCGCCAUAAGUUGUCUUCUCAUGCCUGCCAUCUGGUUUGAUUUCUGAUAUACUGCAUUUAUCAAUUGCAUGCCACAUUGUAACCACUAUUAUUUGUCUUUUGAAUCACUUUUUAUUUUUAAAAAGUGAAUAUAAUAACCUAAUCAGACCCAUCUAGGAACAUUUAGAGAGACUUCUAACAUCCUGCAAAGGAAAUCAUUAAAGACAUUUGUUUACUUCUUUAGAACGUUAAUAUUUAAUUUAAAUAGCACUUUAUACUUACUAAAUGCUUUUAUCACUUCUGCCCCCAACUCCUGUAUUUUAGUGCAACAAUAGGCUGCCAUCGUAUAUAAUUUGCAAUUUUGCUCAUCAGCUUCUUCACCUUAACAACCUGAAAAGAUAAAAUAGAUUUUUCUAAGAGGGGACACUUUCUUGUUCCAUUGCAUAUUUUUUCUUCAGGAUAAUGCUUUAUUCUUUUAUUAAACAACUUUCAGUGUAAUAAGUGUAUAUUUGUUAUGUACCAAAUAAUCACAGUUGUUAUGUCUUUCCUUAAUACUCAGAUAGUCCCAUAUUAAGCAAAUGGGAACCCUUUCAGGUUAGCUCCUGUGUCCCUUUAAACCAGUGUCAGUACUUGAACAUUCAGGAACAUUUGACCUUAAUGUAUUAGGUUUACUUCUUAUUUCCUGCCCUAGAUCUGGAACCAGAUAUUUAUCCAAGAUUUUUAGUGCCUUUUAAUAGGAAGCAGUAUUUAUUUUAUUUUAAAUUUUGAUUUGUUACAUAUGACAACAUAAUGCAUUACAAUUUAUAUUACACAUAUAGAGUACAAUUUUUCAUAUCUCUGGUUGUACACAAAGUAGAGUCACAUCCUUCGUGUCUUCUUACAUUUACUUAGGGUAAUGAUGACCAUCGCAUUCCACCAUCUUUCCUACCCCUCUGUUCCCUCCUUUCUCCUCCCUCCCCUUUUCCCUUUUGCCCUAUCUAGAGUUUAUUUAAUCCUCCCAUUGCACCCUGCCCCCCCCAGCAUAUUAUGAAUCAGCAUCCUUAAAUCAGAGAAAUCAUUUAGCAUUUGUUUUUUUGGGAUUGGCUAAUUUCACUUAGCAUUAUAUUCUCCAGCUUCAUCCAUUUACCUGCAAAUGCAAUGAUUUAUUUUCUCUUUUAAUGCUGAAUGCUUAAUAAUAUUCCAUUGUGUAUAUAUACCACAUUCUAUAUCUAUUCAUCUACUGAAGGGCAUCUAGAUUGGUUCCACAGUUUUAGCUAUUGUGAAUUGUGCUGCUAUAAACAUUGAUGUGGCUGUGUCCUUGUAGUAUGCUGUUUUUAAGUCCUUUGGGUAUAGACCAAGGAGUGAGAUAGCUGGGUCAAAUGGUGGUUCCAUUCCCAGUUUUCCAAGGAUUCUCCAUACUGCUUUCCAUAUUGGCUGCACCAAUUUGCAGUCCUACCAGCAAUGUAUGAGUGUGUCUUUUUCCCCACAUCCUCGCCAACACUUACUGUUUGUAUUCUUGAUAGUUGCCAUUCUGACUGGAGUGAGAUAAAAUCUUAGUUUUGAUUUGCAUUUCACUAAUUGCUAGAGAUGUUGAACAUUUUUUCAUAUAUUUGUUGAUUUAUUGUAUAUCCUCUUCUGAGAAGUGUCUGUUUGGUUCCUUGGCCCAUUUACUGAUUGGGUUAUUUGGUUUUUUGGUGUUAAGAUUUUUGAGUUCUUUAUCUAUUCUAGAGAUUAGUGCUCUAUCUGACGUGUGUGUGGUAAGAAUUUGUUCCCAAUUAAUAGGCUCUCUAUUUACCUCAUUGAUUGUUUCUUUUGCUGAAAAAAAACUUUUUAGUUUGAAUCUAUUCCAUUUAUUGAUUCUUGAUAUUAGUUCUUGCACUAUAGGAGUCUUAUUGAGGAAGUUGGCACCUAAUCUGACACGAUGGAGAUUUGGGCCUACUUUUUCUUCUAAUAGAUGCAGUGUCUCUUGGUUUAAUUCCUAGGUCCUUGAUCCACUUUGAGUUUUCUUUUUUUUUACUACCUUUAUUUAUUUAUUUAUUUUUAUGUGGUGCUGAGGAUUGAACCCAGGGCCUCGCAUGCCUUGUGCAUGCUAGGCGAGCGCUCUGCCACUGAGCCACAACCCUAGCCCCGCCCCCAUACACUUUGAGUUUUGUGCAUCAUGAGAGAUAGAGGUUUAAUUUCAUUUGUUGCACAUGGAUUUCCAGUUUUCCCAGAACCACUUGUUGAAGAGGCUAUCUUUUCUCCGAUGCACAUUUUUGGCACCUUUGUCAAAUAUAAGAUAACUGUAAUUAUGUGAGUUAGUUUCUAUGUCCUCUAUUCUGUAUCAUUGGUCUACAAGUCUAUUUUGGUACCAAUACCAUGUUCUUUUUAUUACUAUUGCUCUGUAGUAUAGUUUAAGGUCUGGUAUAGUGAUGCCACCUACCUCACUCUUCUUGCUAAGGGUUGCUUUAGCUAUUCUGAGUCUAUUAUUUUUCCAGAUGAAUUUCAUGACUGCUUUUCCUAUUUCUAUGAGGAAUGUCAUUGGGAUUUUGAUUGUAUUAAAUAUGUAUAGUGCUUUUAGUAGUAUGGUCAUUUUGACAAUAUUAAUUCUGCCUAUCCAAGAAUAAGGUAGAUCUUUCCAUCUCUUAAGGUCUUCUCUAAUUUCUUUCUUUAGCGUUCCAUAGUUUUCAUUGUAGAGGUCUUUCAUUUCUUUUGUUAAGUUGAUUCCCAAGUAUUUUAUUUUAUUUUUUGGUGCUAUUAUAAAUGGGGUACUUUUCCUCGUUUCCCUUUCAGAGGAUUUGUUAAUGAUACAUACAAAUUCCUUUUGAUUUAUGGUUGUUGAUUUUAUAUCCUACUACUUUGAUGAAUUCAUUUACUAGUUCUAGAAGUUUUCUGGUGGAGCUUUUUGGGUCUUCUAGGUAUAGAAUCAUAUCGUCAGCAAAUAGUCCUAAUUUAAGUUCUUCUUUUCCUAUAUCUAUCCCUUUAAUUUCUUUCAUCUGUCUAAUUGCUCUGGCUAGUGUUUCAAUAACUAUGUUAAAUAGAAGUGUUGAAAGAGGGCAUCCCUGUCUUGUUCCAGUUUUUAGAAGGAAUGCUUUCAAUUUUUCUCCAUUUAGAAUGAUGUUGAUCUGGGGCUUAGCAUAGAUAGCUUUUACGACGUUAGGACAUGUUUCUGUUAUCCCUAGUUUUUCUAGUGUUUUGAAUAAGAAGGCGUGCUAUAUUUUAUUGAAUGCUUUUUCUGCAUCUAUUAUGCUGCAUCUAUUAUUUCUGCAUCUAUUAUAUGAUUAUAUGUCUUACCUUUAAGUCUCUUGAUGUGAUGAAUUGCAUUUAUUGAUUUCUGUAUGUUGAAGCAACCUUGCAUCCCUGGGAUGAACCCCAUUUGAUCAUGGUGUACCAUCUUUUUGAUAUGUUUUUGUAUUCAAUUUGCCAGAAUUUUACUGAGAAUUUUUGCAUCUAUGUUCAUUAGAGAUUUUGAUCUGAAGUUCUCUUUUUCUGAUGUGUCUUUGCCUGGUUUUGGAAUCAGUGAGAUAUUGACCUCAUAGAAUGUGUUUGGAAGUGGUCCCUCUUCUUCUAUUUCCUGAAAUAAAUUGACGAGUAUUGGUGUUGGUUCUUCUUUAAAGGUCUUAUAGAACUCAGCUGUAUCCAUCUGGUCCUGGGCUUUUCUUUUCUUUUUUUGGUUGGUAGGCUUCUGAUGGUGUCUUCUAUUUUGUCACUUGAAAUUGAUCUGUUUAAAUGUGUCUAUCAUCCUGAUUCAAUUUGGAGAAAUCAUAUGACUCUAGAAAUUUGUUGAUGCCUUCGAUAUUUUCUAUUUUAUUGGAGUACAAGUUUUCAAAAUAAUUUCUAAUUAUUUUGAAGAUAAUUUCUAAUUAUCUUCUGUAUUUCUGUAGUGUCAUUCAUGAUAUUUCCUUUUUUAUCACGUAUGUUAGUAAUUUGAUUUUUUUCUCUCCUUCUCUUUGUUGCAUGGCUGACGGUCUGUCAAUUUUAUUUAUGUUUUCAAAGAACCAACUUUUUGUUUUGCAUUUUUUUCAGUUGUUUCUUUUGUUUCAAUUUCAUUGAUUUCAGCUCUGAUUUUAGUUAUUUCCUGUCUUCUAUGCUUUUGGAAUAAAUUUGUUCUUUUUUUUCUAGGACUUUGAAAUGUAAAGUCAUUUAUCUGUUGACUUUUUCUUCUUUUAAGGAAUAAACUCCAUGAAGUGAACUCUCCUCUUAGAACUGCCUUCAUAGUGUCCCAGAGAUUUCGAUAUGUUGUGUCCGUGUUCUCAUUCAUCUCUAAAAUUUUUUUAAUCUCCUCAUUGAUGUCUUCUGCAACCCAUUGUACCUUCAGUAGCAUAUUAUUUAGUCUCCAGGUGUUGGAGUAGAUUUUAUUUCUUACAUUGAUUUCUAAUUUCAUUCCAUUAUGAUCUGAUAGAUGCAGGGUAGUAUCUUUACUUUUUUAUAUUUGCUAAGGGUUGCUUUGUGGCAUAAUAUAUGUUCUAUUUUAGAAAAGGAUCCAUAUGCUGCUGAGAAGAAAGUGUAUUCUCUUGUUGAAGGAUAAGAUAUUCUAUAUAUGUCCUUUAAGUCUAAGUUAUUGAUUGUGUUUUUGAGUUCUAUAGUUUCUUUGUUCAGCUUUUGUUUGGAAGAUCUAUCUAGUGGUGAAAGAGGUGUGUUAAAGUCACCCAAAAUUAUUGUGUUGUGGUCUAUUUGAUUCUUGAACUUGAGAAGAGUUUGUUUGUUGAAUGUAGAUACUCCAUUGUUUGGAGCACAUAUAUUUAUAAUGGUUAUGUCUUGUUGAUGUAUGGUUUACUUGAGCAGUAUGUAGUGUCCUUCUGUAUCCCUUUUGGUUUACUUUAGCUUGAAGUCUACUUUAUUUAAUAUGAGGAUGGAAUCCCCUGAUUGUUUCUGCAUUCCAUGUGAGGGGUAUGAUUUUUCCCAACCUUUCACCUUCAGUCUGAAUGUUUUUUCCUAUGAGAUGAGUCUCUUGGAGGCAGCAUAUUGUUGGGUCUGCUAGUUUAUAUCUUUUGAUCCAUGAGUUUAGGCCAUUAACAUACAGGGUUAUUAUUGAGGCAUGCUUUGUAUUCCCAGCCAUUUUUAAAUUUUUGAUAUUUAACUUGACUUGAUUUCUCCUCGGAUUAGUUUUUCCUUUAGUGUAAUACCUCCCUCUGCUGAUUUUCAUCAUUGUUUUUCAUUUCCUCUUCAUGGAAUAUUUUGCCAAGGAUGUUCUGUAGUGUAGGCUUUCUAGUUGUGAAUUCUUUUAACUUUUGUUUAUCAUGGAAGAUUUUUAUUUCAUGAAAUAAAACUAAAGUUUAAUUUUGAAAACUAAAGUUUAAUUUUGCUGGGUAUAAGAUUCUUGGUUGGCAUCCAUUUUCUUUUAGAGCUUGGCAUAUGUUGUUCCAUGAUCUCCUGGCUUUGAGGGUCUGGGUUGAAAAAUCUGCUGAGAUAUGCAUUGGUCUCCUUGUAUACAUGAUCUGAUUCUUCUCUCUUGCGGCCUUUAAGAUUCUAUCCUUAUUCGGUAUGCUAUAAUGUGCCUUGGUGUAGAUCUGUUGUAAUUUUGUAAAUUUGGUGUCCAGUAAGCCUCUUUAUUUGGUUUUCCAAUUCAUUCUUCAUACUUGGGAAAUUUUCUGAUAUUAUCUCAUUGAAGAUUUUGUGCAUUCCUUUGGUUUGAAACUCUGUACCUUCCUCUAUCCCAAUAACUCUUAUAUUAAGUCUUUUGAUGGAUAGCAAGAAUUAUGGGAUACCAUACCAAGAUUCUUGAUGUUCUGUUCAUGGUUUCUUACUAUCUUCACUUUGUGGUCAACUUUAUUUUCCAGAUUGUAUACUUUGUCUUUAUUAUCUGACAUUCUUUCUUCCAAGUGAUCUAGUCUGUUGGUUAUACUUUCCAUUGAGUUUUUUAUUUGGUUUAUUAUUUCCUUCAUUUCAAGGAUUUCUGAUUGGUUUUUUUUUCAGAGUCUCUAUCUCUUUCUUGAAGUAUUUGCUCUCUUAUCUCUUUGUUGGAGUGAUCAAUUUUUGACUGUAUUCGCUCACUUAGGUCAUUCUUUAAUUCACAGAUCAUUUUAAUUAUGAACCUUCUGAACUCCUUCUCUGACAUUUCAUCAACUUCACUGUCCAUGGGUUCUGUUAUUGUAGUAUCCUGGUUUGUUUAUGGCACUUUCCUCCCCUUUUUUUUUUUCAUGUUGCUGCAGUACUGAUCAGAUUUGUAGUUACUGAUAUCCUUUCGAGGCCAUUUAUCUAUGUGUCUUCCUUUCUUGCAGUGUGGAUCUGAGAUAUUACAGUUUCUACCCCAUAUUCUUAUAGUACCCGUGUAGAUUGUCUGUACCUCACCUUGAUGUUGGGCUUCCAGACCCUGCUGGUGUCCCUCAAUGUAUGCUACUGCAACUAAAGGUGGUGGCAGCAAUAGCAGAGGUAACAUGAGAUAAUAGUGGGGGUACCCCAAGAUGGAUGCAAUGUCUUACAGAGAUGGGGCUGAAAGGGUGGGCCUUACACUGUCUUUGGGAUGCCUGCUCUGAGAUGCAGCUGCUUCUAGGCCCUGACUGUUGUCAAAAGGCAGGGGCUACUGUGUGGGGAAGGCUAUGGCGAUGUCUGCAGUGUCUCAAGAUCAAAGUGGGUUAGGCUUGGGCAUCCAGGUGUGUGUGUGGGGGUGGUGAACUUGGACCUACUCUGGGCCUGUCCCACAUAUGUUGAUGUGGGUGGAUCUAGGCCAGGCCUGGGCUCCCAUGGUGUUCUGUUGGUCUGAAGAGGUGGUCCUGUGCCAGAGCCUGAGUUCCGGGGAGUGUCUGCGGAUGGCGGAAUGGACCCAGGCCUACUGUCCAUUGCAUAUUUUUUACCCUACUUUCCUACAGAAUAUUUUUUAAAGAGUAGGCAAAUAAAUUCAGUGAUCAUAUGCAAAUGACUCUUUGAGUUAAGGGGAAAGCAAGUCAGGAGAUCAUGUGGUAAAGACAGUGGUGGCUUCUUUUUCCUGUGUCUUCUCUUCUACAGUUUUUGCAGUACUGAUCAGAUUUGUAGUUGCUGAUGUCCUCUCCAGGCCAGUUAUCCAGAAAGAUAGACCAUCAAAACAGAAAAUUCCUUAGAAAGAAAUUCCUUAGAACUUUUCAUGCUCAAAGAUUCCUGGAACUAAGUUGCAUGUGGGAAAGGGCAACCAUCCUGGCAACCCCCACUGAAAUUCCAAUUUUAGGUUUAUAGAAGGUGGUAGGACUGGAGAAAAUUUGACUGGGUACUUCUCAGUGGUCUUUAAGUUCAUCUCAGUCAAUUGUCUUUUGAAGGUUUUAGGAGCCAGCUUCAGGAGGACACAAUGUCUUAGUUUGACUUUUCCAUUUAGUUAACAGGCUUUAAAGAGUGGGAGAUCAAUCUGAAAGGCUGUUCAUUUGAUUUCUUUUAAUAUAUAAGAAAAUUGUAUGAAGUCUGUGGCUCUAUUUUAAAUUGUAGAAUUUUGAAACUGGAAGAGAGGCUAGAAAUAACAAGUCAUUUUGUACUUUUACCAGUGGAAAAAAUAAGCCCUGAGAGGACAAGGAAGUUGCUGAUGGUUUCAUAAGAAUUCAGAGUUCAUGUCAGAAAUAAAGGCCAUGUGUUUUGUCUCCUGGGAUGCUUAUACUAGCUCUUCUUAUACCAAGCAUUCUCACCCUACUCGCCCCACCCCCCUGAAUUCUCUACUCAUUUUAGAACAUAGAUUGAAUCUUGCCACUCUCCACAGGAUUUUUGGCACAUUGAGCAUAAAAUCCAGACUCCCUUCCCAGGCUCCUUCUGGCACCUGCCUCACUUUUCUCCUUGUUUAUCAUCUCUCUUCUUCUUAGCUUAUCACAUUCCAGUCACACUGUCUUCCUGUUGUUCCUCAAAUACAGAAACACUGCUUCUCAGGGUCUUCCACCUGACUUUUCAUUGCCUCCGCUUGGAGUAUUCUUCCCCCCCCCCCCAGAUCUUUGCCUGGCUUGUUCUCUCUCAUCAUUGAUGUUGUGGCUGAAUAUUGUUUCUUCAGGAGGAGGCUUCUUCCCAUGUGCUCUCCCCUUAUUUUGUUUUAUUUUUAGUCAUAUAAAAUUAAAUUGUUUAUUUGCUGUCUAACUCCUUUUUGGCAUGCAAAUGCCAUGAAGGCAUGGAGUUUGUCUUGCUCACUGCAGACUCACAGACAUGCACAAAAGCAUCUGGCUCAUAGCCAAUGCUCAGUGUGUGUGUUGUUUCAACAAAUGUUGGUGGCUGGAUCAAAUAGAGUUCAGUUUAUGAACAUUUAGGAUCUGUUUGUAUUCUAAUUUCCUUAUCUAUAAAACAGUGUUGCAAGGCUGUUGAGAGAUCAGAUAAUCAAACAAGGCUAUGCCCAUUCUUUGUAAAUGGUGAGGAAUGGGCUUAUGUUUGUGGUUGUUACAGAAUGAUCCUGUGCUCUUAAGGCAAUAGGAAAGGCCAGGCCCUCUCCAGUAAUCCCGCCCCUGAUGCUUUUCCUUUGCAGAGACACACCCUGCUUGGCAGGGGAGGAGGAGUGGACUACUGCCCCAGUUCCCCAGACCAUCAUGGACCUCUUCCAAAACGGGAACUGGACAAUGCAGAACCCUUCACCUGCCUGCCAGUGUAGCAGUGACAAAAUCAAAAAGAUGCUGCCUGUGUGUCCCCCAGGGGCAGGGGGGAUGCCACCUCCACAGGUGAGUCCCCAUCAGAGUAAGACUGCAUAGUUCAUGCAGGGUCAGCAGCCAGCAUCUGCUGGGAGCAGGAAUGAGUGAGAUGUGAGAUUAGGAUAGUUUAUUUCAGCCUCGAGGUUAAUGCUUAUCAUAAGGAAAAGCAAGGGAGUUUUGAGGGAAGGGGAUUUGGACCACAGUGUACCUAUGCCUGUCCCACAGUGUUGGUGUCAUAGGAAAGAGAGUGGUAGGCAUGGCUUCUAACCCUCGUUCUGCCACAAAUUAACUGGUGGCCUUCCAAAAGGCCAUUUUAAUUCUCUGGGCUUCCUUCUUAACUGCUAGAUUAGGGAGGCUGAACCAGAAAACUUUCAAUGGGCCUUACCAGUUCUGAAAUUUUUCUGCGAUUCUGAGUUUAGGACAGUUAUCUGAGCCUUUUUGUUUCUUCCUCACAAUUUUAGGAAGUCUUGUUUGUGCUACCUUUCUGCUGCUUUAUCAGCAUCCAAGUUGAAGGGUGAGAAUAAGGCAUUUUAAGCAGAUGUAAGAAGUCAUGGUUACCACUCUAAGUAGCUAAUCCACUCAAUGAACUCCAAUGAACACAAGAAUUCACUAGGCAAAGUUUGUGAUUCUGUGCCCCAAUAUCUCUUGUGGUAAAGAAAAAUCACAUCUCAGUGCUUAUUGUUUAGUUAUUCCAAAUAAUUCCCUAGGGAAGACCUUGGUGUGGUAUAAGUGCAUGACCAGUACUGAGGGCAGCAUGGACCAGAUCUUGGUGGUGGUUGGUGGAGGGUGAUGCCUGGGCCCUGUGGUUAGGGCUCCAGUCACACAGUGGCAUGUGUUGGAGGAACAUCUGUCACUGUAGCCCUUGAUAUGUUUUAUGUGCCAAUUCUUGUCUAAGAAGACACACAUGCUUGAUUUUUAUGUCGUGACAGAGAAAACAGAACACUGCAGACAUCCUUCAGAAUCUGACGGGAAGGAACAUCUCGGAUUACCUGGUGAAGACGUAUGUGCAGAUCAUAGCCAAAAGGUGAUUAUUUACGCAGUGUGGCCUGUGUUUUAUCAUCCCUGAUUAGAGGAGUUAAAGGCCUACAAAUAGUGGACCCACAUGGUGGGGAGAUUGCCAGAGUAUGGCUUGAUGUUUCUACUGGAAGUUUAGGAUGUCAUCCUAAACUAGAAAUGAUGCGUAGAGGUACUGUGAGCAUUCAGUUUUUAGCUUAAAGGUUGAGGCAGCAUUGUCUAGAAUGAAAGUAAGUAUGCAUUCAAAUUUGAAUUCUACCACUAACUAGUUGCUUGACCAGGAGCAUUAUCAGGCAGAACCUUAAUCUGAAAAAGGGAGUGGUGGUGGUUUACCUCCAGGUUAAGGGGACAACUCUGAGUGACAGUAAUCAAAAUUUUCUCUUUGUUAUCCUUUUAAAACUCUAAUUUGGGGGCUGGGAAUAUAGCUCCAUGGUAGAGUGCCUGCCUACUAUGCACGACACUCUGGGUUCGAUCUCCAGUAUUGUGGAAAAAAAGUCUUAAUUUAUAUAAAAGUGAUAUUACUGUUGCUCCUACAAGUUUGUUGUGAGAACUAAAUGAAGUGAAUUAUGUGAAGUGUCUUAGAUGCUCAUGUGAUAUCAUGGGGAGAACCUUGAGAAGAUACAGUAGCUCGUGGCUAUGGAACUUUGAAGCUUCUGGGACCUGGUGGCAUAGUGUCAAAUGUUUAGUUAAUGCUCAGAAAAUUUGUGUUCUGGUUCCCUUCCCAGCAGCUUGAUAAAGAGGGGUAUCUGUGUUAGAAGCUCAUUAUCUUUAAAUGAUAAAGCUGAUCAAAAAUGUAAUGACCUUGAGUCAUUAACAUAACUUCUCCAUAUGUCAUUUAUAACUGAUGUAUUAGUUGAAUUGAAAAAUCUUCUAGUUAAUUCAUGCCUUGGUUUGUAAGGUGGUUUUUAAAACUGGCUCAACCCAAGUAUGACCUUAAUGUAAGGUUUUUAAGAUAGAAUACAAGGUAUGUUGAGAUUAGGCUUCUUUCCACUGGUACAGUCCUGUAGUGCCAGCCUGAUGAUAGGAUUACUUCUGGUCCUUUCUUUUGUCUUCAGGUAGAUGUUUACUCCUUUUGCAUCAUCAGGUAUAGCAUCAGUCUUUCUAGAACUGAUUUUUGGUUUUUGUCUUUAUUUCUGCAGCUUAAAGAAUAAGAUCUGGGUGAAUGAGUUUAGGUAAGUUGAUCUCAAGAUUUUCCCUGGUGCUUCUAGUCUUGGGAGAAUGAUUUUUAUGCAGGCAUAUUGGAUGGAGGGAAGCUGUUGGUUUCGGGAUUGUUUGCCCCUCACACACUCCUGGGUGCCACAUCACUGUGAGGAGAGAAAGGCCCUGUAGAAUCUAUGGAGCAUGUGGGGUAUAGACAGGCUUAUAUUAGACUUGGAUUUUCUGCCCAGAGCAUUUCUACUCAGUGUCCAGCUGCCACUUCAGAGGCCUUUGAACAAUCCGGUUCACUGAUUUCCUUAAGGGCACUUAGAAAUCUCUUGUGAGUCUCCAGGGACUAGUAACAUUAUGAGGGAAAUACCUAUCCUAGUUGCAGUUUUACCCAAUCAGAUUCCCACGGGUUCCCAGGGACUCAAGAACAAUUUUUCAGGCCUUUGGCAUAAGAUAAAGAAGGUCUUGGAGAAAAUAAAAAACAUUUUCAUAUUUUAAUCCAUUUGUCCCUCUGGGUCUUGAAGAUGUGAGGGGGUAAGGAAGCAUCUUUGGAUCCAGUUUGUAUAAUCAUGGAAAUGAGAUGGCUGGUGUGACUUCCUCAGGAGACCUUAAAGGCUCCCUGUUACUGUUUCACACUUUUCUUCCUUGCCUUGUCCCCAAGGGCCAGGAUCUUUGAAAACUCUGGGCAGAGCAGAGUAGCCCUCAUGCUAGUAAAGAUACAAGGUCUCUUAUCCCCAUCUGGCCCACUUGCGACAGUGUCCCUCACCACCUACCCUUCUACCCCAUCUGCUUGCCUACAAAGACAGUAGUGAAUGUGAAAUAAAUGACCUUACUUUUCUCAGUGUCUCAGAUAUCUAACUAUAAUCAGACCCAGGACCUCCCUACUGGGCAGCAACCCAGUUAAUAGCUUGCUAGAAUCCAAGGUAUAACUUGUCUGAAUCAAACUUUGGUUGAAUAAGAAAUGGGUCUCUAAGAGGCUUGUCCACACUCAUGUGGUGUCUGCUGCUGGUGAUCACAUGUGGCAUACUGGGUUUUAAUGUCAGGCUGUUCUUCUAGGUAUGGUGGGUUUUCCCUCGGUGUCAGUAACUCUCAAGCACUUCCUCCAAGUCAAGAAGUUAAUGAUGCCAUCAAGCAAAUGAAGAAACACUUGAAGCUGGCCAAGGUAGUAUAUCCAUCUUGAGACAUGUUGGAAGAAAGGGCUUGGAGCUACUGGGACAUGAGCAUAGUGGGCAGAUAGAUCUGACCAGCUAGCAGCUCAUUGUUCAGAUUAUCUUUGACUACUGAGCCAUCAUUGGUAUUCUGUGACUUCAACAAGACGGGAUUGAAUUAUUCAGUGUAUACUUAAAAUCCUGAAAGUGUAGACCACAAAUAGAUUCAGAGAUUUAAAAGUUCUUAGAAUAACUGUUUGUCAGUUUGGCCAGUAGUAAAUAAACUGGCCUUCAAGCAGACUUCCAAAACAAUCACUAACUAAACAGAAAUGGAUGAGUUUCAUUUUUAAGUUGGCUGGCUGGUCUUCAGGUCCUAGUGAGCACACACUUCAUUUCUCUGUAUCUCAUAUUUCCCAUUUUGAACUGAGAAUUGAGGGAGUCAUAUGACAUGGAUUUUGUGAUCCUGGACAGCAGUGAUAGUCCUAGAGUCCAGUCUGUACUUCUGCCUUUGGAACACAGGCCCUAAUGUCUGACACAUCUGCACAUAAAUUGUGUUUGUGGUUCUUGGGAUGAUGCCAGGGGAACACUUGGAAGAAAUUCUCAUUGCCAGGUUAUACAGACAACAGUCUUGGGACUUCAAGCCACAGGAUUUCUCAGAUAUUUUUAAGACUGUGGCAUUAUGGAAACAUUCAUGCUGUAGGCUUCUGGUCAGUUGGUUCUCAGGAAUCAUUUAAUGGCUUUAAAUUUAAUUUUAGUGUGGUAGUGGUGGUGUUGCUCUUGAUAGGGGUGUCUUGUUGUCCACAGCUUCCGGACUGACUGUUGCCCUUUACCUGUUUGAAUCAUCACAAUUGAGGUGGGUUUCUGUUGUUUACAGGACAGUUCUGCAGAUCGAUUUCUCAACAACUUGGGAAGGUUCAUGACAGGACUGGACACCAAAAAUAAUGUCAAGGUAAAAUGCUGUCUGUGUUUUACUAACUUUUUGGUAACCUAUCCUGUUCCCUGAAGUAUUUUCAGCCAUAGUAAAAUUGGAGGGGUAUUCAUGACAGAAAAGAGCAAAUGGUUAAAUCCACUAGGGAGGCUGUAUAGUGGAGUGAUUAAGAGAAUUUGUUUUGUUGCCAGACUUUGACUUGAAUUACUUAACCUUCAGUUUUCUCAUCUGUAAAAUGGGGAUAAUAAUCAUGGCUCUCUCCAAAUAGUUAUGGUGAAUAUAUGAAUUAAAGAUACAAGGUCCUCAGUACAACCCUGGGCCCCAUAGUCGGUGGUUGUAUCCUUGUGUUAUCAUCACUCUGCCAUGUUCUGCAGUGUUUUGUAUUGGUAUAUGACUUGAGUUUCUAAAAUUUAGGUGCAUGAUUUGUGUGUGUGUGUAUGUGUGUGUGUGUGUAUGUACCUACUUCUGAGAGUAGUGUUUAGGAACAUUAUCUUUUACCUGCUAUGUUUUAUCUCAGGUGUGGUUCAAUAACAAAGGCUGGCAUGCUAUCAGCUCUUUCCUGAAUGUCAUCAACAAUGCCAUUCUCCGGGCCAACCUGCAGAAGGGAGAGAACCCUAGCCAGUAUGGGAUUACUGCUUUCAAUCACCCCCUGAAUCUCACCAAGCAGCAGCUUUCAGAAGUGGCUCUGUAAGUAUGGCUGUGUCUAAAAGAAUGGGGUGAGGAGAGAGUACUGGGGAAAUCUGGAGCAGGAGAGGGAAAUAGAAGGCUCCUUGUAGGGUAGCUGUUGCAGAGUCAAGUACAGUAUGUAAGUCUGGGUCCAUCCAGACUCUGGGCAGAAAAGAUCACUUUACAAAUUGACCAGCAGGGCCUUUUUGAAUUGUAGAAGAAAAUGGCACAGAUAUGCAAAAAUCAUUAUAUUUGGUGAUUCAUAUAAAGCAAGUUGAAAAUUGUUAAUACAAUCCUAAAAUAAGUAUAUUCACCAUUAACACAUAAAAGUCAGUUUCAUUUGUUUUAAAACUGUUUUAACCCAGUGAAAUAUGCUUUAAAUAGUUUGACUUGAAUUUGUCUUGAAUUUGUGUGUGUGUGUGUGUGUGUGUGUGUGAAGUUUAAAGCCAGUACAGUCUUUGGAAUUAUAGAGAUCUGGGUUUAAAUCUAGACUGUCAACUUUCUAGAUGUCUGAUAUUAAAUGAGGCCAUUUAUGUAAAUUGCCAAGCCAAGCUCCCAGCACAGAGUUGACAUUCAAUAUGUCAUAUCCCCUUUCUAUAAAUGGAGCAUGAUGCAGUUAGUUUCUACUUAAUUCCUAUAGAAUAUCAAUAAUGGACACUAGGGAUCUUUAUACCAACACCUUCUUAAUUGGCUUGUAAAGUGUCUUAUAAAAAGAAUCUGAUAGAAUUGUUAUAUGUGUUAGAUUGAUAUACUACAUUGUGUUGUUCUAAAACUUACUUAGAGCAAUAAAUAUUAACUUAUUUGAGUAGUUUCAUACCAUUAUUUUUUGUGUGUAUGGAUAUUUAUUAUUUAUUGCUCUUACAAUGUUAAGAACAAUGGACAAGGGGCUGGGGUUGUAGCUCAGUGGCAGAGCACUUGUCUAUCACAUGUGAGGCACUGUGUUUGAUCCUUAGCACCACAUUAAAAAAAUAAAGGUAUUGUGUCCAUCUACAAAUACAAUAUUUUUAAGAAAGAACAAUGGAUAAAAUUGAAUAUUGUUAGACCACACCCAGACUUCCUUUAACAGCUUCAUAUGGCAGUGGACUCUUUAACCUUAGUGAAAUCAGCUUUGCAUAUGAUUUUUAAAAAAUAAUACCAGGAAUUAAAUCCAGGGGAAGUUUACCACUUAGUUACACCCCUAGCCCUUUUUAUUUUGACACAGGGUCUUACUAAGUUGUUUAGGGCCUCACUAAAUUUCUGAGGCUGAUCUUGAACUUGCGAUCUCUUGCCUCAGCCUCUCUAGUUGCUGGGAUCAUAAGGGUACACCACUAUACCGGGCUCAGGUUUGCAUUUGAAUUGUCAUUUUUUUAAACUUGCAAAUGAUCAUAUUUAACCUUGAAUAAAACAUAUUUGGUGAACAGAUGUUUUUCCCUGAGCUUUCUUUGGAUGUGUGUGUUUAUGUCUCUCUCUCUGUGUAUGUCUCCUCAUUUGUUGUAUUUCCACAAUAAAUGCAUCAAAGACAUCUCUGAUUUUCACUGCCUUUUUUCUUUCUAGGAUGACCACGUCAGUAGAUGUACUUGUGUCCAUAUGUGUCAUCUUUGCGAUGUCCUUUGUCCCAGCCAGCUUUGUUGUGUUCCUGAUCCAGGAGCGGGUCAGCAAAGCCAAGCACCUACAGUUUAUCAGUGGAGUGAAGCCUGUCAUCUACUGGCUUUCCAAUUUUGUCUGGGAUAUGGUAAGGGCACAGGCCUACUAUCUUUGUAUGAAUCUCCAUCAGGGCCAUGAAAUGGCAUAUAUAAGACAGAGCACCUGUCACUGAGAAUUGUUCCAGUUAUUCUAAAGGUGCAUGAGAAAAGGAAUGGGAGAGACACUUAUACACUUAUACACUUCCAUAACUCCAAAUAUGGUGCUGGAUGCAGAGCUGACUUCACACAGGAAAGAAUAUCUGACUAUACUGAUGACAGUUAUUACCUAAUUUCCUAUUUGAAAACUUUCCCAAGAAACAGAAAUGGAAGGACCUUAGUCUCUCCCAAGCCAGUACUUUUAACUUCUCUGAUAAAUUUUGACCUAUAGAGUCAAGAUAUUCUUUAUCUUGUUAGGAAAGCCAUAUGUUCUUUAAAAACUCCAUACAUUUUACCAUAAAUUUAUUCAUUCAUUUGCAAAUGUAUUUUUGUACCAGCUAUAAUUAAUAUAUUGCUUCUAUUUGGACCAAUAUGGAAGCCUUCAAAGAAUUUUGAAGUUCUAAUUUAAUAAUAAAGUGAAGUUGACCUAUAUUUCCUUAUGAAUUCCAUGAAUUCUAAGCCAUAAGGAACAAAUCUAGUUCUUUCCUCUUUGGAUGGCUCCUCAGAUAUUUAAAGACAACUCUCAUCUAACCAAAGUCUUCCACAGAUGAGAUGAUAUAUGAGAACACACUUAGUCAUCUCUAAAGCACUGUAACAAUGUGAUAAUGAUGGAGAUGAUGAUGAUGUCUUUACUUAUUAUACCAAGACUCUAAGACUGGCCCCAUAUUCCAUAUUGUUAAUGUCCCUUUUGAAAAGCAAAGUCCAGAAUUAACCUUGUAUUCAGGCGAUGGUUUGAAUGGUUACAAGUCUAGAGGGAAUUGAUCUUUCUUCCAUACUUCUAUUCUGCAUUUUAGAAAGAGCACUGUCUUAUUGGCAACUUGAUAGUGAACUGGAAUCUUACUUCACAAAAAUGACUGUUAAAUUGGAAAGCUUUUGUGUUAUGCUAAUACAAUUAACUUUUUAGAACUUAAACUUUACACUUAUCCCUUUUAAACUGCAUCUAGUUAAGUGUCUAUUGUGUUUUGUUUUUGUUUUAUCUUGGUCCAGUAAUUACUUCAUUCAUUUAAAAUAUACUGAGUGCUUACUCUGUGUCUGACUAUGCCAGGCAUAGGAGAUUCAGAGAUGAGAUGGAGUCCCUACCUUCAGGGACAUCACUUAUAUUCUUGUAUAUUAUCUGCCUCUACCUGGUUUAGAAUCUGCAAUUUGCUAUCAGCAUAUCUUCAUCUAAGUUGUUGAUAAACACAUUGAAUAGGAUAGGACUAAUGCAGAGUCCGGUAGCCUUAAGCUGCAAUUCUUUUAACAGCUGACAAAAAUCACUGUCACCUCCCUGCCUGUGCUUUGCCCUGCCAGCUAUGAAAUCUCAUAAUCGUUCUAUGGUCAGGUCUUUAUUUCUGCAUUUUAAUGCCUGAAGCACUGUCAGAACAGACUUUCAAAUUAUUCUCAGUGUGAUGAAACAAUUCUGACAUUCAUGUUAUGAGCGCUUACCUUACAAAUAGAUUACAUGUGAGAUUGAACUUGGGCAGACUAUAAUAUAGCAUUAAUGAUGAAACAGACACAAUCAUCUCUGGGAAGAAUAAUGGAAGCUUAUUUGUCUCCUGUGAAAUUGAAAUUCCUCCGACUGAGGAUCCAUCGUUCAGUGAGUUUACUGAGCGUGACACCUUGGCUUAGUUGUGAGAAAGACAGAAAGGGCAUGCAGUUUAUAAAACCAACCAAGGGUAAAAUGCUUGUCACAAUGUAUUGUCCGUAUUUUGAUUAAUAGUUUAUGUGGCUUCAUUAAUUCAAUAUUAUUCUCCAAUAUGUUUGUCUGCCCUUUCUUGUCUGGUGAUGGUAAAGACUUGGAAUGUGCUGUAUUUUUGACUUACGAGUUAACUUUAUUUCCUUGUUUUCUCUUUUAGUGCAAUUAUGUGGUUCCUGCUACAUUGGUCAUUAUCAUCUUCAUCUGCUUUCAGCAGAAGUCCUAUGUGUCCUCCACCAACCUGCCUGUGCUAGCCCUUCUUCUUUUGCUAUAUGGGUAAGGCACUUUUGGGUAGAGGACUCUAAAAGUGGGUAAGGCAUAUAGUACCCAAUGUCAUAGGGAGGGUAGAGGACUCCAAUGGACAUUUAUCUUCUUGUCUCACCAGGUGGUCAAUCACACCUCUUAUGUACCCAGCCUCCUUUGUGUUCAAGAUCCCCAGCACAGCCUAUGUGGUGCUCACCAGUGUGAACCUCUUCAUCGGCAUCAAUGGCAGUGUGGCCACUUUUGUGCUAGAGCUCUUUACCAACAAUGUGAGUUCUGUAGAAAGAGCACCUCCUACUGGGAUGGGCACUUCUGGGUGCCAGAGGACAGUGGUUAAUUAGGAUCCUAUUCCACUUCUCUGUGACUUUGACUCUGCUGACUACUCCGUCCUCUUUCAGAUACAGCCUUCCGUGGUCUACACAAUACCUUUGUCUCCUGCUGUGCCUUAUAUUUCCCUGGCCAAACAUUUCAGUUUCUUCUGUCAAGUUCUUUUAUGCUUCCAUUUCAGUGUCACUUUGCCCAAGGCUCAGUCCUCUGUCAGCUUUGCUUUCCACUUGAGACACCAUAUCUGGGCAAUGCCAUUCAAUCCCAAGGCGUGCACCACUGCCUUUCUCAGUGUCUUAUUGUUCUCUCAGAUUUAUGCCUUGAUUGUUCCCUCGAACUCUACUCUCCCAUUUUCACAUACCUGGUGGAUGGCUUCAUUUAAAUAACUUAUAGAUACCCAGAACUGGAUAUGUCGUCAUCUUUCCCCUUAGAACCUAGUGUUUCUCUUGCCAUCCCUGUCAUACUUGCUGGCAUUACCAUCCAAUGCAGUUGCCUAACCCAGCUCUCUUGGAAUCAUCCUUGAUGCUUUGCUAUUGCUUAUUUCACAUGUUUGACUGGUCCCAUCAGUUCUUUCAGUUACACGUCGCAUAAACAAGACUCCUUCCAUUCCUGUUGUCACUGCCUUUGUCCAAAUACCUUAGCUCAGCACACAAGGGUUUCAUAGAUGAACAACCUUUCCUGGCCGCUUCCCACUACACCCUUUCUCAAAGCCCUGUAACUUUAGCAGAGUUGUCCCGUAAACUCAGUAUAAUCCUGUAGGCUUGGCUUGAAAUGCCCUUCUUGUAUUGCAGAGCCUGGUACUAUUCUCCCUGCCCUUCAAGAUUUAGCUCAAAGGUGAUGUUGUGCUACUCUGCCCUUUGGGAUGUGCUCUCUUUUUCCCUGGGCCCUCAGAGCCCUCCGUUCUGCCUCUAGUACCACACAUAUCCAGUUACAUAGUCAUUUCCUAUUUCCAUGUUUCUCUUCCUAACCACAGAGACUAUUUAUUCAUUAGCUUUUACCUCUCCCAUGCCCCAGCACAGUGCAUCUUACAAAUAGUAACUUCCUUAAUCCCUGGAUAUGUGGCCAAUGUUGGCUGGGUAUCAUAAUAAUUUUUGAUGUAUUUAAGAAGAUUUUUAUAAAAUUCUAGCAAAAUCCUAAAAUUCAAAUAUUGACCCAGACACAAGCAAUUUGCUUUUAAAAUAUUAAGCAAAUAUUUUGUUAUGGAUUUGCUUCUGGUCAAACAUAGCCUUGUUGCUAUUCUUUGUUCAUUUCUUUAUACCCACAGCAUUACUCCAAAGUUUUUUAAAAAUAUGGAAAAUGCCUACUCCUAUUUAUUGGUAUCCGAAUUCAAAGGUUCAUUUUAUUCUCAGGGAAUCAAAUUGUUUCUUUACUCCCAUAUUUCAGACUUGGAUACAUUUUUAGCCUAAACUAUGAUUGAUAUCCAUACUUUCUCUCUCUGUUAUCUUUUUAGAAGCUGAAUAACAUCAAUGAUAUCCUGAAGUCUGUGUUCUUGAUCUUCCCACAUUUUUGCUUGGGACGAGGGCUCAUUGAUAUGGUGAAAAACCAGGCAAUGGCUGAUGCCCUGGAAAGAUUUGGUGAGUGGAGCAGUGGCUGCUAGAGGUUUCAGAAGAGAUGGCAAUUGCAUGGGCCUUGGGCCCUAGCUUUUGUUUUGGAAAGGGACUGAUGAAUGGGCACUGGAUGUCCAUAUUCCUCUUGCCCCCCUGAAUGUUUAUGCCAGUACAGCUGUUCUGGUGUAGUGUGACAUAGCUAUUUAUCUGUGAAAGGGCAUUUUUGGGAGUAAGGAAAAUGCUGGCAUUUGCUUGUACCCAGUGCCUCAUGCUACUACUUGAGUUUAUUGGAAUUACUGAAAAAGUAACACAGCAUUGGGACUUAGAUACAGAACAAGAAUCAGAAGGAGAGAUGUACACUUUGACUCUAUUAGGAAAAUCACAGGCCUGGAGGUCAUAUAUUAUCUUUUACACAAUCUAUAAAAAGAUAAUUCACUGCAGCUCUUUCUACCUUUAGAGUGGUUAAAAAUAUUUCUCAUAUCAUCAUAUGACUGUCAUUCAUCUACUGGCUAAUGUAGUUAGAUGGGCCAUGUCAUUUGACGGACAUAGAAGAGGGACUUUCUUCAACUUGGAGGUACAAAGGAGAUGUAUAAGGAAUUUAAGGAAUAGUUAGAUAAAAUCAGGUGACUUAAUUGAGUCACUGGGUUACAUUAUGUGCCGUUGAAAUGGUCAUCUUUUUAAUGUGCUUUCUAGUAUUUCUUAUUACUAAAAACUUGGAAUUCAUUAAAAUACUGACCUUAAAAAUUAUCCUGGAUUGUUUGCCUUAUCUAAAAGGAUUUUUGGCCUAUCUCAUUCAAAAGAUAUUAGCUAUCUGACAUGAAGUUAUAGAUCUAAGACAUGUUGGCUCUAAAAUUCUGAUUGAUACAGGGUAGUAGUAUGUUCCCACAAGUCAGAUUUGAAAAGUAGUCACUCUCAUUAUUUUUUCUCCUUUUCUUUGGUAAUAGCCAUUGGUGUUUCUAGGAAAAUAGGUGAACUGGACCCCAUGUUUGAAGAAGGACAUGGUUCUUGACACCUUCAUUCUGACUUGAUUUCUGAAUUUUGUUUACUAGGGGAGAAUCGCUUUGUGUCACCACUCUCUUGGGACUUGGUAGGACGAAACCUUUUUGCCAUGGCUGUGGAAGGGGUGGUAUUUUUCCUCAUUACAGUUCUGAUCCAGUACAGAUUCUUCAUCAGGCCCAGGUAAGCUUUUGCUCAGAACUCAUGGAGCACUUGGUAGAGGGUCACAGAGGGGACACAGGGAAACACUUGCCAAGGAUGGUUGGAUCGAAUUUGAACUCAAGAAAAUCAAAUUGAUUUUCCUAUUAUGGGCAUCCUGCAACGCCUACCCUGCCAAGGCUGGAAGUUGUGGCAAGCAGGUUUUAGGAGAUUGCUUUAGAGACUGGAUUUUGUUUUUAAAAAGAGUUUGAAAGGUUGUUUUUCUUAAAAUUUUUCUUCUAAGACCAGUGAAAGCAAAGCUUCCUCCUUUGAAUGAUGAGGAUGAAGAUGUAAGGCGGGAAAGACAGAGAAUUCUGGAUGGUGGAGGACAGAAUGAUAUCUUGGAAAUCAAGGAGUUGACUAAGGUGAGAUAGUGAGUAGGGGCUAUUACAGGCUUAAUUUUUCAGUUGUAUGUGCUGGAAACUACCCUAGUUGCUUAAUGAAAAAGCUUGCUUCCCCAAAUGUGCAUCUAUACUAAGCUACUGUCAAUUUAAUUUUAUUUUAAAGAUACAUGGAAACUUCUUAAUUAGAGAGUCUACUGAGAAUACUUUUGUAAUGUGAAUUUCCAUUCUCAAAUUUAUUUCUUUUACUUAUAUUUAUUUGUGUGUUAGUUAUUAAAACAUUAUAUUGUUAUGUUGUAUGCAUGUACAGAUAUGUAACAACAAAUCCCAUCAAUAUGUACAACUAUAAUGCACCAAUAAAAAAUGAAGAAAAAACAUACUAAUAUUAUAUAUCUAGUCAAAACUGAGGUAUGGAGAAUAAAUUGUUGAUUUUAAAUUUUAUAAUCACCAAAGCUGACAUGUCUCUAAUGCCCGCUUAGAUGGCAGAAUCCCAAAUUUCACUUUUUGUAACACAUAGAAUAUUUGAAAUACUUUGAUUGCAAAAUUUUAUCCUGUAGAAUCUAAUUUUAGGCUGGGGUUGUGACUCAGUGGAAGAGUGCUUGCCUAGCACAUGUGAGGAACUGGGUUUAAUCCCUGGCAUCACGUAAAAAUGAACAAAUGAAGUAAAGGUAUUAUGUCCCCCUACAACUAAAAAAAAUUUUAAAAAAAUUAAAAAUGAACUAUAAAUAAUACAUGGAAAAAAUAUGUAGAUAUUAGUGUCUGAUAUAUUUUUUAAAAGACCCAAAUUAAAAAUUAAAAAGAAAUUCACUUUUAUUUUGAGCUUCAAAGUUACACCUGGUUGGCAGAGAGAGAAAUGGCUCUUAGCACAUCAUAUAUGACUUAGUCUUAUUGACAGAGUCUUAUUUCAUGGCGUGUUUGGGUUAUAAUCCUCUCUGCCACAGUUGCUUGGAAGAGCUGUGAGUCACUGAAGCUCAUGAAUUUGCAUUUUGUCUGUUGCAGAUAUAUAGGAGGAAGAGGAAGCCUGCUGUUGACAGGAUUUGUGUUGGCAUUCCUCCUGGUGAGGUAAACACACUUUGUCUGCAUUGUGUUUGUUAAUUCACACUGUAUCUAUCCAAUCAAAUAACCAUGUUUAUAAAGGAUGAAAAUGGCUUUCAAAGUUUCUCUCCUUAUGCCUGUGUGAAGCAAUCAGUCAUCAAGAGAUUGGGGACCCCUUAUAUCAAGAGAAUGAUUUUGGAUAAUCUCGGGCAUUUUAAGAAAAGCAUGUACACCCAAAAUGUGCUUUUGUGAUCUAUUUCAGAGGAUGAGGGAAUUCAAAUAGAUUUUUCUCCUUCUCAUUUCUGAUGUGUCCUUUUAUGCCCUUUAGUCAAAUAAGGUGGUAUAAUUUGACUAACUGGCUUUCAUUACUGUUUUUCACACAUCCAUUAACUUGGUCUUAAUCUGACAACUCAAAUGGUACUUAAAAAUACAGACUUGCUGAAAAUGAUCCCAUUAUAAAAUACAUAUUUAAUAUCUGUAUGAUGUCCUAAACCAAAAAGAUAUUUGUCAUUGAUAUUUAAGAAUGAUGUUUCAGGAUGAUGUCAUAUAAAAAUGAAGCUCAGUUGGCUAUUUUCUAGGGUUGUUCAAAUUUAGUUUUAGUAGUUUGAUUAUACAACUCACCUGGUCUUAUUCUUUCAGUGCUUUGGACUUCUGGGAGUUAAUGGUGCUGGGAAAUCAUCCACUUUCAAGAUGCUAACUGGAGACACCACUGUUACCAGAGGGGAUGCUUUCCUUAACAAAAAUAGGUGAGAAAAGAAGUGAUCUGUAUUUUGUUACAAGGACUUUUUUUAGUUUUAAAGAAACACAUUGUUAUUUUUUGAUUAUAAUAGUACACUUUAGAUUUCAUAAAAAUGAAACUGUUAAAUAUAGUAAAGUUUAAAGAAGAACAAAAAAAAUCAUCCAUAAUUUCACUACCUGGAGAUAACCACUCUACAUUUUCUUUCAGUCUUACUGCAUCACUUUUAUCAGCUUUUUCAUACGUGUAAAUUACUUGUUUUUAUUUUUUAUUUUUUUAAAUAAUUACUUUUUAGUUUUAGGUGGACACAUAUCUUUAUUUUACAUUUAUGUGGUGCUGAGGAUCGAACCCAGUGCCUCGUGCGUGCUAGGCGAGCACUCUACCACUGAUCCACGACCCCAGCCCAAUUACUUGUUUUUAAAGAACAAUUCAGUAAUUCUUAGUGAAUUCACAGAAUUGUGCCAUCAUCACUACAAUCCAGUUUUAGAUGUUUUCUAUCACCCCAAAUCUGUCUUUCUACACAUAUAAAUGUAUCAUAAAAUUGAGAUUAUUCUGCAUAUAGGUUUAAAAUUAGUUUUUAUUGUUAAUGGUUAUAUUAUGAAUAUUUUCCAGUGGGUUAAAAAUACAUUGCUCCAUAAAAUUCCUCUGUGUACAUGUACCUAUAAUUUGUUUAAUCAAUUCCUUAUAAAUGUUGGGCAUUUAUUAAUUUUUAUUUUUUACUAUAUAAAUAUGUGCUUGUAUACAACUUUUAUUGUUUCUUUGUAUUAGUUUCUACAAGGUAUUACCUGCUAGCUCAUCUUCUAGAAAGAGUGGACCCACUGAUGAAGCCAUCACUAGGCUGUUUUCUGAGACUGUACAGUUACAAAGCAGUCUGAUCUUUGGGAGUACAGCAACACAUUAGAGGCCUGUUAGGCAGUAUUAACAUUGAAUGCUCUAAAUAUGUGGGGUUUCUUCAGGCUUUCUAUAUGGAUACAUGGUACAAAGGCAGUGACCUUUAAACUCUUCUGAACCAUGAUCCAUGUAGGAUAUAAUAUUUUAUACUUCAGCCUGAUACACACAAGAUACAUUAACACACAUAUGAUUUAAUGAAAUUUUUCAUAAAUAGUACCUGCUGUUACUACUUAAAAUACACUCUAAUAACUCUUAUUUUAUUCUCUAUCAUGUCAUUUAAUUUUGUUGUUGUUGUUGUUACUGGGGAUUGAACUUAGGGGCACUCAACCAUUGAGCCACGUCCCCAGCCUAAUUUUAUAUUUUGACUAGAGACAGGGUCUCACUGAGUUGCCUAGUGACUUGCUGUUACUGAGGCUGUCUUUGAACUCAAGAUCCUCCUGCUUCAGUCUCCAAAGCCUGUGGGGUUACAGGUGUGCGCCACUGCGCCCGGCAUAUCAUAUCAUUUAAAAAGUGCUGGUUGUGGAUUUAUUUUAUAAAUCACUAAUGGGAGAUGACUCUAAAUUUGAAAACACUGAACAGGGGAAUAGCCAAUAAUAUUGAAGAGUGAGGAAACUGAUGUACUCGUUGAUCUUUUUUCCCCCUUAUCAAUCAUUUCAGUAGCAACUUAAGAACCUUAAAAGAACAGAACUUUUGGGAAUACCACUGUUCCCUAGGCUUAUUUCUAAUGCUCCUGGGGCACUUAGCAAUGGCAGCAGUAACUGGCUCAACCUAAGGUUUAUCAUAGUAAUGGGUUAUAAGAACUGACUCAGUCAUAAUUCUGGAGAAAGCUGACACUGGGAGUUCUAAAUAGAUAAGCAGAGAUGAAUGACCACUGCCAAAAGGCCAAGUUCAAGUAGGUCACAACCAGUACUUUUCAAAUGACAUGUUAGAGAAUAGAAUAAGAAUUAUCAGAAUGUACUAUUAGUAGUAACAACAGGUACCAUUUUAUGAAACAUUUCAUUAAAUCAUAUGUGUGAGUGUUAAUGUAUCUUAUUGAGGGUGUGAAGUGCAGGCAUGAAAAUGGGAUAUAGACACUGAAAUUUUCAUACAUUAGGGAUUCUUAACCUUAUUGGCAUCAAAGAACCUAAAAAUUGCCCCCACCUGUAAGAUUGUAGGUGUAUUUUUCUGUUUCCACAUGUUCAGAGGGUCUACGAUAAAGGAACAAGCAAAAAACCCUUAAAAGCUAGGAGGGUUUCUGGGCUAGGUAUUUGGUAGGACCAGAAUAUGUGGAAUAUGCACACUGUGGUUGAGUCAAUGUAUGGCUCAGCAGAAGGCAGAAGGGAGCUCACACCCAGGAUUUCUGGGUCCAGAUGGUCAUGAAGACAACUUUGGGCUGACAAUGCACUUGGUACAUAUGACCACAGGAGCAAGUCUGGGAUGAAGAUGUUAAAGCUCCAGAUAGUGUUAUUUAGGUUGUUGGUAAAGACUGCUGCAGUGGGCAUGGACUCAGGGAUUUUGAAACAGGACCAAGCAUGCAUGUUUGAAAUGCUGGGAGAUACAGAUGCAAAGAUAAGGCAGGGUAGAGACAGAAACCCUGACAGAUGGGAACAGCUAUCAUCCGAGGGGCAGAAAGGCUGUUCCUUUAAGCAGCAGAUAUUGGUAUCUUUGUAAAGCACAAGCAUACUCUAUAGGAAUGUUAACCCAGAUUGUCUGAUUAGAAUAUGUCUAAAUGCUUAAAACCUAACAAGUUUUAUUUUCAUUUGCAGUAUCUUGUCAAAUAUCCAUGAAGUACAUCAGAACAUGGGAUAUUGCCCUCAGUUUGAUGCUAUCACAGAGCUGCUGACUGGAAGAGAGCAUGUAGAGUUCUUUGCCCUCUUGAGAGGAGUCCCAGAGAAAGAAGUUGGCAAGGUACCAUGGAUACUAGAAAGCCAACCUGCCUCUUUGGCAUCCUGACACCAUACCUUAUGGAUUUUCCACAUAUGACUACUUCAGGCUGUUUUCCUCAUGCAUGGGUGGGAACCCAUAAUGGUGGGGGAGUAGGGGUGGGUAGGCAUGCAUUGGUUGGGGGUGUGCAGAGAGGGAGUACUGCUCCCAUCACAUAAAUUUCCUCUCCUUUUUUCUGGUACCUCUGUAGUUGCAGGUCAUGAUUAUAGAAUCCAGUCUUAAUCAAAGAACUUUCACAUAUAAGUGUAACAAAGCAUGCUAAAAUUACCAAGGCAGACAAAAGUCAAGGUGCUUUAUCUCUCCAGGUUGGUGAAUGGGCAAUUCGGAAACUGGGCCUUGUGAAGUAUGGAGAAAAAUAUGCUGGUAACUAUAGUGGAGGCAACAAGCGCAAGCUUUCAACAGCCAUGGCUUUGAUUGGUGGGCCACCUGUGGUAUUUCUGGUAAGUGUGACUUUGGGUGGAAAACUACUGGUCUGGCCUGAAUGGAAAAUAGGCCAUUGACUGUGUGGCAGAGCAACCUUCAAGAAGAGGGGAGUUUCUUUCUUGGCACAAAUAGGGGUGACUCUGUCAAAUAGACACCCCACGUACCUGGCUUGGAGAAUCCCUAUAAGUCUGUGAGGCUGAAUGUGUGAUUUGGUCCUUCUCUGGAACAUUCUUUCUGAUCAUCUAUGUGUUCAUAACCUGAAUAUGGAGAGUGAGGACACAGCUUCAGAUCCCCUUUGUAGCUGGGUGUGGUUGUGUACAUCUGUAAGUCCAGUUACAUGGAAGACUGAGGCAGGAAAAUCACAAGCUGGAGGUCAGCCUGGGCAACUUAAUGAUACCCUGUCUCAAAGUAUUAAAAAAGGGCUGACAGUGUAUCUCAGGGGUAGAACAUUCCUGGGUUUCAUCCCCAGUAUUAAUAACAACAAAUAAAGAUCUCUUCACUGGAUCAUAGUUCCUUAAGAGAGAUAAAUGAAAAAUACAUUAGACAGCAGUGGCCUUUGAUCUCCUUUCUUUGCUAGAGAAGAACACUGAAGUUAUUAUAGGAAGAAACCUUGGGUUAAGGUUAUAGAAUAAUCUAGAUCAUAUGAAUGGUCUAGACUAUAACCAGAUAAGCUGAAGUAGACUAGAAUAAAAAAAGAAGAAAAGGAAUUUUACUCAAACCUUAUCCUGACAAAGAGAAUUUUUAGUAUAUACUUGUUAGUAAUGAAAAGAUGAUUGAAACUAAUGGCUCUUUUCCUUCCCUAUUUAUUUGAAGAAAUUUGUUUAAUUUUUAAAAAAUUUCCUUAGAAUAUUUGAGUUUCUUGCUUCAAUGAGACAUUCAUAAAAGUGAACUUGUUCUAAGUGAGUUUGAAAUUUAUUCUGUUAUUUUGGUUCAAAAUAACUAAAAUAGUAAGUUAAAACUUAUGAUGUUUAAGAAUGCUUCAGCUUUUAAAAACAAGUCUAUCUUUGGUGUUUUAUUUAUAGCAAAUGAUAAAACUUAUUUUACUUUAAUUUCAGGAUGAACCAACCACAGGCAUGGAUCCCAAAGCCCGAAGAUUCUUGUGGAAUUGUGCCCUAAGCAUCGUCAAGGAGGGGAGAUCAGUAGUGCUUACAUCUCAUAGGUCUGUAGUGAAGUCUUGGCUUGGCUUUUACAUUGUGUUAUUUGUAAAUCUGCUAAAUAGUAUACAUGUUCAUUUAGUAAAAGCUAGAAAGUACAGCAAGGCCAAGGUUACAUUUAUCACCUGAAAUUGUAUUACUUGAAAACAUCUAUUGUUCUCAUUGGCUUAUGCAUGUUUGCAGGGAUUUCCUAUGCAAACCUAUGUGUACUUGUGUGUAUGUAUUUUUACAAACAAAAAUGCAAGCAUAGUGUAUAUAUAUACUCUGAUCUUUUUCACUUAAUAUUAUUGUGAACAUUAUUCUAAGUCAGUAAAUUUAAGUAUGUCAUCAUCUCUUAUAGCUGAAUGGUAUUCCAUUAGUAUAUAUCCUAAUUUAUUUAAUUCUUUCCAUUUGUUAGACAUUUGAAUUGUUUCCAACUUAUUCACAAUUCUAAAUGGCACUGCAGAGAGGAGCUUCAUCUGUAUAUCGACAUGUCUUUAGAAUAGGAUGUGAUUAUGCACUGGAAGCUGGGAAACUUUUUUCUUUGAAAUGCCAGAUGUCAUGGUGAUGUUGUGAUGUUUAUGGGAGCAUGUCUCUGAAACUAAAACUUUGUUCUGUUUUCCCACAGUAUGGAGGAAUGUGAAGCUCUUUGUACUAGGAUGGCAAUUAUGGUCAAUGGGAGGUUCAGGUGCCUUGGCAGUGUACAACAUCUGAAAAAUAGGUAAAAGAGACUAUUUCUUUAGGAUAGCACCUAUUUAGAAACCUUGAUGAUUAUUCUUUCAUUGGUGUAUAAAUGGUAGCUUAAAAAUAAAGAGAAAUUAAACUGGGAAAAAUAGUAUGGUGCAAAGAAUCAGGGCUUUGAAGUCAAACUGAACCAUAGUCAAAUUCUGUCUUUAUUAUAUACUGGUUGUUUGACUCAUAAGCAAGUUACUUAGCCUUUCUGAGAGUCUAUUUCCCAAGAAUAAUACUUCCUGGCUUUGCUUUAUUUAUGAAAUUAAAAAACUCACAUGACAGUGUGAUUAACAGCACAAGUUUUGGCGUCUAUGCAAAUGGGUUUGCUUCCCCUCUACCACUUAGGAACUUUGUAUCAUGGGCAAGUGACUAACUCCCUGGGCUUAAGUAACAUCUGUCAGACUUCAUGGAUCCAGGUGAGGAUUAAAGACACUGAGAAACAGGGCACUCAGCAUCAGGGCACUGAGCAUCUGGCACUGCUCAUAGAUUCUCAAUAAAUGAUAACUGGUUCCUUCUCUCUGAAACUGAUCUCUGGGUUUUUCAGGGACCUCCCAUUUUCAUGGCACAAGUUGGUUUCUCAGAGGUAAAUAUUCUUCUGAGAAGUUUCCUGGGGAUACUUCAUUUGGGUGUUUUUUUUUUUUUUUUCCUGCUUUCAGGUUUGGAGAUGGUUAUACAAUAGUUGUACGAAUAGCAGGAUCCAAUCCUGACCUGAAGCCUGUCCAGGAAUUCUUUGGACUUGCCUUCCCAGGAAGCGUCCUAAAAGAGAAACACCGGAACAUGCUACAGUACCAGCUUCCCUCUUCAUUAUCUUCUCUGGCCAGGAUAUUCAGUAUCCUCUCCCAGAGCAAAAAGCGACUCCACAUAGAAGACUACUCUGUUUCUCAGACAACACUUGACCAAGUAAGCUUUUAGUGUCAAAAAUAGAUUUUCUUCCCAGGUUGAUGAUUCCUGCCUACUCACACCUUCACCACAAGCCUGAGCACAGUUCAGACUAUCUGUGCUUGAAUUCCUCAUCUAUGAUUACUAGCAAUGCAUUUUACUAAACCUCUGUGAACCAAAAAGGAAGAUAAUGCUUUCUACCUGACAGAAUUAUUAUGAGAAUUUACUGAAUUAAUACUCCAAACAACUAUAAUUUAUUGAGUACCUAUCAUAGAUAGGGCAUUUUGCUAUGUGCCUUGUCCCAUUUAGAUAACAAAAACUACUAAACAGAUCCUGGCAUUUGAUAGGUUUUCAGUAAAUGUUCUCUUCACUCUUCCCUUUAAUCAAUGGAAGUUGGUGAUGUGGGAUUAACACAGAAUAUGAAUUUUUAAAUGAUUAUUAAUGUUUUUCAAGUAUCUUAUCUUCCCUCACACAGUUUUCUAGUUAAUCUACUUAUGCAAUUCUGUAUUCUCCUGCCUGACCUAAUUUCAACAUGAGGACAAUGCAAUUAGAAUAAAACUGCAGCUAGAAUAAAGAAAGAACAAGUCAAGAGGUACUUAUAAAGCCCUUCUUUGUUUUGACAGGUAUUUGUGAACUUUGCCAAGGACCAAAGUGAUGAUGACCACUUAAAGGACUUGUCAUUACACAAAAACCAGACAGUAGUGGAUGUUUCAGUUCUCACAUCUUUUCUACAGGACGAGAAAGUGAAAGAAAGUUAUGUAUGAAGAAUGUCGUUCAUACUGGAUGGCUGAACAUAAGGAAGAACGAGAUCUUCCUUUACACUGUGUGAAGUGUUCCAGAGGAACAGGCUGGAAGUUUUUGUGGGAAGAAGUAAACUGGAUACUGUACUGAUACUAUUCAAUGCAAUGCAAUUCAAUGCAAUGAAAACAAAAUUCCAUUACAGGGGCAGUGCCUUUGUAGCCUAUGUCUUGUAUGGCUCUAUGUGAAAAAGACUUGAAUUUAGUUUAUUACCUUUACCUAUGUGAAACUCUAGUAUGGAACCCAGUGGACAUUUGGGUUUGAAGUCAUACUUUUUUGUUCCUGUGUAUCCUCACUGGGAUUGCAGCAACAAUUCAUCAAAUAACCAUGGCCAGUGAUUAUCAAAAUCAAAGGCGUACAUCCUCAUCCAUUAAGCCAUCCCAUUCCAGGAGACCGGUUUCCUGGUGACACAACCAUUGCUGGCAAUGAGUGUGCCAGAAUUACUAGUGCCAAGUUGCUCAGAAAGUCUGAAACACCAUAGUGUGUAACAUACACCUUUGUAAAGCUGCUCUUCUCAGAGUCUAUCAACAUCAUUAAAUAUCAGGUGACAAAAUGGUGCCAUGUACGGCUAACGUCCUUCUUUGAGUCCCUUUUUGAUGAGCUGCUUUGGUGGCUGUAAUAUGUAAAGUAUGGAUAUCUCUACACACAGGAAACUUGGUUCCAUUGUUAUGUUGCCCCAUUCUUGGGAGCCAUGGGUUUCUAGGGUCUUUCUGGGACUGUUUAAAUCUACUUAGAUCCUGGUAAGAAGCAAAGGCUCAGCAGCCAAACUGUUGGAACUGUAAGUUGCUGAAGUCAAGGCAUGGGAUUAAAGAGAUGGUGUAUUCAAACCUAGUGCCCAUUUGUCCUGAUUGCUAACACGGUACACUGCAUCUCAAAAAUUUUGUUAUUUGACACAGGUGUAGUAUUAUUUCUGGCUUUUCGAAUUAAUCUAGAAAUGAAAAGAUUGAGUUAUAUUUUGACAAAAAUCUUUGUACUAUUAUGUCAUUUGGAAUUUUCAGUUAUAUCAGUGAUUUCUGAAACCUUAGAAUGACCUCUUUUAGGACCUGUGGUAUAGAGGAGUAUGGUCACACUGCCUCACUAGCUUUAUUUUUCCUAUACAAAUUUGCAGAUAGAAUGUCUGACUAGUGCCUAGUGACUAGAAAACAACAUGGUGGUCAAGAUCUCAUGAUAUUGUUGUUGAAUUUAAAAUCACGUAGAAUACUCUUAAAUCAGUUCAUCAAUCAAGUAUUUUUUGAGUAUAUGCUAUAGCUGAAUGUGUACGUAUAGAUGGAUGGAUAGAGAGGAGAAAUUAAGAAGAGAAAUUAAGUCUCAGUAGAUUUCCCAUGCCAUGUUAUUCAGCUAACUGGUUUACAAAAGAUAGGUUGUUUUAUUGUGAUUAUGGAAGCCCACUUAAAGAAUAUUGGCUAGACUUUUUUUUUCUUUUAAUAGCAACAGUGCAAAAGCCAGAAAAGGUCGCAAGGCUGAACAAUGGAUUCUUUCAAAGAGAAAUCAGCUAGCUUGGGAACUUGUUGAAUACAACUUGUACUUAUGACAUUUAGUACCUCCACAUAAUUGGUUCUGCAGAAAUGUUAGACACCCCAUUAAAUCUCUGACAAUCUCAAAUUUUGCAUCUCUUUAAUCAUUAAACUAUCCUGAAAAAAAUAAAAACAGCAAAUGCUUCCACAAAGAAUAGUUUUCAGACUUAAUCUUAUUUUAAUUUUUAAAUUAAAAAUAUUAUUUCACUAAUGCUCAGUGUCAUCUUUCUUGAGACAAAACAAAAAUAUGAGGGAAUUGCUAUUUGGCAAAGUUCAAGUGAACUUUCAAUAUCAUCAUUAAUUUAUUUUAACUAUUUCUAAAAUUUAAAUAUUAACUCUAAAGGUAUACAAUUUCAGAUAUAUUUCAAAUGUGUAUGUAUAUAUAUGUGAAUAUAUAUACAUAUAUAUUUAGAUUCAUAGACUGUUAAGUAACUCCUUGCUUUAAAAGAAAAAUGAUUUUCAAAAAAUUAAUGUCAUUAUUUUCUAAAAUGAUAAAGCAUAUUUUCAAUAACUGUUAGCAUGAGAUUACUACAUUCAUGACAUUUUCAAAGAUAUAAGAAUAAUUUAGUUUUUAAGAAUAAUUUAGUUUUUAAGAAUAAUUUAGUUUCUCAUUAAUUUUAAAAAUAAAAUAAAAAUCUGGUGGUUUUCUCAUUUCACCAUGAAUCACUCUCAUUCAUGAUAUUAAAUCCAUGAGUGACUCUUUGCUUCUAAUUACUCUGACUUCAAGGUCACAUUUUAAAACUUCAAAGGCACUGUGAACUAUUUUGAGAAAAAAAAAUUAAAUGUAGAUUUAAAAGAGUCUUUCUGAAGCUAGAAAUAAUAUACAGUUCUACAUUAACUUCAUUGUUAUUGUGUUACCUUUUAGACUAUCCAAAUAGUAAUCUUAAAGUUCCCUGUGUAAACUUAAUUAUGGUAGAAAUUUUUACCAACUCUAUCCUUAGAUAAAAUUUCUGUAUAUUAACUGUGGAAAUGUAACUAUGUGAGUUUCAUAAAUUCUCAAAAAGUGUUCAAAGAUUUCUGCUCUUGCAUCUUUUGGAUACCUUGGAAAACUUACUAACUGUGAAUAUAAAAAAUACAAAAGAAAAUAACAAGUCCUCUCUAUAUAAAUACCCAGCACUAUUCAUUGUUAUAAAACAAACAACCAAACCUCAACUACUGUAUUUUGAUAUCUGUACUGAAAGCAUUUCUUUGUGACUAUUAAAUGUUGCACAUCAUUCAUUCACUGUAUAGUAAUCAUUGACUAAAGGGAUUUGUCUAUGUUUUCUUCUCAUGGUUGUAUAUAUCAGGUAAAAUUUUUUCCAAAGAGCCAUGUGUUAUGUAAUAAUGAACCACUUUGAUACUGAGAUAUUAAUUUGUAUUUACUAGUAAUAAUGUAAUACCAUAGUUAAUACUGCUCUAAUUCUUUUCAAAAUUGUUGCAUCCCUUUUUAUAGAAUGUUUAUAUUUCCAUAAGGAUUAGGUAUGCUAUUAUUCCUUCUUAUACCCUUGGGUAAAGCUGUUUUUGUGCUUUUUCUUUAUCAUUGGCCCUUCAUUCCAAGCACUUUAUGCUAUCUGUAAUGGAUCUAUUUUUGCACUGGAAUAUCUGAGAAUUGCAAAACUAGACAAAAGUUUCACAAUAGAUUUCUAAGUUAAAUCAUUUUCAUUAAAAGGAAAAAAAAAACAAAAAAAUUUGUAUUGUCAAUAACUUUAUAUGAUGUAUUAAAAAGGCUUAUUUCUAUGUUGUAUUGAGUCACGAAAUAAACCUGUGACAGUUCUGUUGUCUAUGCAAAUUUACUUUUGUGGAUUCACAGCACCACCUGCUGUUGAAGUGUUAAUAAAGCCUUGCAAAAGUAAGAAGAAAUGUCCCACAUAGAUCUGGGG
rnacentral:lncRNA from 1 species